rnacentral:lncRNA from 1 species
UGCUCUGAUACUCUAGAUCUUUAACAUUGCUUUAUUAUGUGUUUAGACGCCAUAAUGUGUAGAACAUAGGCGGGUCUGGCAAUGUGGGUGUUGUUCGGCAUCGCGGCGGCUUCCGCUGGGAUCCCGGGGCGUGACAAAGAGGAGAGAGGGCAAGAGCAGAGAGAGUCCGGCGUGAACGAUCCGAAGCACCAAGGAUUUUUGUCAUCGUAAAGUUUUCCUACCGUUAGAUUUAACCUCUAAUUAUUUUUACCCGUAGAUCUUAAUAUUCAAGGCCAGACCACUUACUUUACUCAACCCAGGAAACCACAUCAUUAAUCACCGUUUCUCAAUCCAUGGCUAAAAUCAACAGCACCAAUAGUUGGUGUAUCUGAUAUAUACUAGCCUAGUUCUAUAUAUAACUAUAUAUACUAUAUAUAAAUAUAAUAAGUCCGGCUAUGGUGCUUGAUAAAAGUACCAAGUAUUAUGUGGCUUGUAAUUUUACCAUCUAGAUAUACUCCUCUGAUUAUUUUAACCGUUAGAUUAUACAUUCAACCAACUCAAGCCUCUGGCAUGUCCACUCAACCCUAGGGGCCCACAUCACCUAACUCACUAGCAUUCCUAAGAUCACACGUAACAUCUACAAGCAGACACCAAAACUGGUGACCUUUUAAAAAUCAUAGAGCUCAACUUAAUAUAUAUUAGAUUAUAUAUAUAUAAGGAUCUACUCCUAUGAUCCUAAUAGUGCUUGUCUUUCACCUCUAACCAUUCACUACCCACCAUCAUCCAACCUUCAAGCUCUCCAUCCAAUAGUUAAAAACUUAAAAGCCCACCUUCUACGUGCUUUUGGAGUAUUCUAGCUAGCUCAACUAUAUAUAUAUAAUAAUAAUAUAUAUACUAUAUAUAUAUAAUAGUGAGAACUAAAUUAUACGUAUCGAAUAUAAAGAUUGAUUUUUCAAUUUUUGGACCCUUAGAUCAAGAAUGUAUGGUGGAUAUUGCGGUCCGCCCUUAGGGUUGAGUAGUAACCCAGGUUAAGUGGCCCCAUAUGAUACAAUAGUAAUAAUUCAAAAAAUUAAAAUGAUCAAGACAACGUGAUAUCUACUGAGCCAAAAAAGUUCGAAAGCACAGAUCUUCUAAACUCCAACAGCAAGUCAUGUGUGUGUAUAUAUAUUAAUAUAUAUAUAUAUAUAUUAUAUAUAUAUAUAUAUAUAGAUAUAUAUACAUAUACUAAUUAUAUCUCCAACCAAAUACAUCGUCCAGCACCAAGGAUUUGGUGCUAUCGAAUUCCUGCAUUCCUUAAAUUUAAUCCUUGCAUAUUUUUUCCGCCCGUUAAAUUAUACUAUUCAAUCCAAACCACUAACUCCAACANNNNNNNNNNNNNNNNNNNNNNNNNAGUUUGGAGUUUAACGGUGUAGAAGAAUCUAAAUUUCUUCAAAUUUUGAUAGAAAAUACUUUAAACUAUAUAGAUUAAGGUUAACAUUCUUGAUCUUGAAUUUAAAAGUCCUAUACUCAAAUUUUAAAAAUUAUUCAAUUUUCACCGCCCAUUUUGAUAUAAUUUAUUUACUAAGUAAACGAUAUCGAAAAAAACUAAAAUUUUAUUCCUAAGACAUUCAUAUACCCUAGAUCAUAUUUAACGGUGUGGAUCGUUGAUUUGAACGCCCUAUGAUCGAAAACAAACACUAUAGUACCGGAGCUCAGUACUAUAGAUAGUAUAGUAGCCUAAUUCUAACAAACACUAUAGUCCAGCUGCUAUACUAUCGGUAACACGGAGGAUUCCGUGCUACAAAGUUCUUUUCGAUGAUGCGGCUUUCAAAUCGACGAUCGGCUCCGUUAGACAUGAUCUACACUAUUGAACGUAUUUGGAAACUAAAUUUCAGAAUUUUUCGACAUCAUUUGGCUAGUGAUCAAAAGGUCUCAAAAUUGACAAUUUUAAUGGUAGAUGUGAUGCAUUUGUAAAUUUAACGGUGUAAAACAAUCCAAAUCAGAUGAAAUUUUUAUAGAAAAUUUUUUUUACUAUUUAGAGUAAGAUCAGUAUCUCUGAUCUUAAAUUCAAGUCUUCUAUCAUCAUUUUUUAUGAGAUUUUUAUUUUCAGCCGUUUAUUUUUAGACUACUCGUUUGAUAGGUAAAUGAUGCCAAAAAAUUAUAAAAUUUAGUUUCCAAAUACUUUCAAUAGUGUAGAUCAAGUCUAACGGAACCGAUCGUCGAUUUGAAAGUGGUAUCAUUGAAAACAACUUGGUAGCACGGAGGUGUCCGUGCUACCGAUAGUAUAGCAGUCUAACUAAAUUUCAGAAUUUUUCGACAUCAUUUGGCUAGUGAUCAAAAGGUCUCAAAAUUGACAAUUUUAAUGGUAGAUGUGAUGCAUUUGUAAAUUUAACGGUGUAAAACAAUCCAAAUCAGAUGAAAUUUUUAUAGAAAAUUCUUUUCACCAUUUAUAGUAAAAUCAGUAUCUCUGAUCUUAAAUUCAAGUCUUCUAUCAUCAUUUUUUAUGAGAUUUUUAUUUUCAGCCGUUUAUUUUUAGACUACUCGUUUGAUAGGUAAAUGAUGCCAAAAAAUUAUAAAAUUUAGUUUCCAAAUACUUUCAAUAGUGUAGAUCAAGUCUAACGGAACCGAUCGUCGAUUUGAAAGUGGCAUCAUUGAAAACAACUUGGUAGCACGGAGGUGUCCGUGCUACCGAUAGUAUAGCAGUCUAGCUCUAUAUAUAUAUAUAUAUAUAUAUAUAGAGCAGGGCUACUGUGCUAUUAGGAGCACAACACUCCUUGUGCUCCUAACUUUGUAACCGCCCAUCAAGUUUGAUGGACGGUUAGAAUGAGAUAGGGAGGAGAUAUUGAAGAGAAAUUUAAGAAGAAGAGAAAUUGAAACACUCAAUUUCUCCCCAAUAUCUCCUCCCUCUCUUAUUCUAACCGCCCAUCAAACUUGAUGAGUGGUUAGAAAGUUAGGAGCACAAGGGGUGCUGUGCUCCUAAUUGUGAGACCCCAGAUAGUCCUAUAUAUGAGAUAUAAUAGGGCUAAACUCUUAACCCGGCUUAAGCAUUUUGGGUGGUGGCAAGGCCCAAGAGGUUAAGAGAGUUAAGCGUGCUAGGACGGGAGUAGUCCUAAGAUGGGUGACCCCCUGGGAAGUUGGGGCGUCACACUAAUAGUACAGUAGCCCUACUCUAUAUAUAUAUAUAUAUAUAUAUAUAUAUAUAUAUAUAUAUAGUACGUCUCCCGUGCGUUCGAAAGUACGGAGGCCUCCGUGCUUGUAAGUUAUUUUCGAUGAUAGGACAUUUGAUUUGAUGAUCGGCUCCGUUAUGCAUAAUCUAUGCUAUUGGAAUUAUCUAGAAACCAAAUUUUAUAAUUUUUCGACUUCAUUUACCAAACGAUCAGAGGGUCUCAAAAAUGACUAUUUUAACGGCCAAUGUGGCACGUUUUUAAGUUCAACGGUAUAGAAGUAUCCAAAUUACAUGAAACUUUAUUAGAAAAUUCUACUUAACAUCAAGAGCAAGAACAAUACUUCUGAUUUGAAAUUUGAGUCCAUUAUCACUAUUUUUUAUGAGAUUUUUAUUUUCAACCGUUCAUUUUGAGAUUACUUGUUCACUAGGCAAACGAAAUUAAAAAAUUAUGAAAUUUGAUUUCUAAAUGGUUCUAAUAGCGUAGAUCAUAUCUAACGGAACCGAUCACCGAAUUGGACGUCCCAUCAUCGAAAACAACUUACAAGUAUGGAGACCUCCGUACUUUCGAAAGCAUAGGAGCCUAGCUCUAUAUAUAUAUAUAUAUAUAUAUGUAAUAUAUCGAAUUUCGAUUAUAAGCUAAUUGUGAUCAAAUUGAUCACAAUUAUGCUAAAAUAAAAAUUAAGUGUUUCUAAACUUAAUUAGUAGCUUGAGAACAGCAAUUGACAUGUUUUGGAAGUGUGAGAGUAGACACGAAUGGAAUCGAAGUGGCUAAAGACCUCCAAUUGCUAUUGCUACUCUAAAGCUGAAAUUUUUAGUUGAUUUGGUCAAAAUGAUCAAAUUAAUACAAAAUUGAAAAUUAAAUGCUUCAAAAUUAAAUUGAUAAUUUGUAAGGGUUUAUUAGCAUUAUUUGGAAGCAAUUAGACGUGUUCGAAGCGAACUAGACAUGCAAAACGGUCUCAAAUUGAUGCUGCCAAGUUCUUGUUAGUGCAGGGACCAAACUGCGAACCUGCAGGGACUGGAUUGCGAACCUGCAGGGACUGAUCUGUGAACUGUUAGACUGCAAUGCAGUUUUCAAUUUUUGAAGGGCUAAGGUGCAAUUUUUCAACCUUAUCAUCUUACCCCAGUGAAAUUACACCUGUCUGGUACCAGAGUUUCCAUUUCCCUUCUUAUCUUUAUCUCUUCUCCUUUUCUUUUUUUCUCUCUAAGUAAGGAAAAGCUGAGAAGUGAAGUACCAGCUUGGGAAAACCUGGUGGGCUGAAGAAGAAAUUUGAUCCCAGCAAUAAACCUCUGCUGAUUGGAGUUACUACAAGACCUGGAAAGCAUAUAAUCAAGGUAAACUUGAUUAUUAUUUCCUCCUGGCUAGGUUGGUUUCUUGUAAAAGAUAGUUAUAUGGACUUUGGUGUUGGCUGCUUGAGGAACCAGUUCAUGGUGCUGCCGAAAUGCAAAGUGGAUUAAUUGAUGCUGCAAGCAAGUUUAUUCAGCAUCAAAUUAAAAUUGGAGCUGAAAGAGAAUUGAUCCAUAAAAGGAUUCAUUGCUGCUGAAAUUUUAGAUUGCAAAUGGAGAUUUGAGGCUUUUGAGAUAGUAAAAGCUGAAUAGAAUUGAAGAAGUACUAAAUCAAGGUAAGGUAAAUUGUUGAUCAAUUCCUGAUUAAAUUGUUAGGAAUUAUUGUAGAAUGGGUUUAAAGGGAACAAUUGAUGUACUCGUAGAAGUAAAACUAGUUGCUAUAUGCUUGUAGGGGGCUGCACAAGGAGAAGAAGUAGUGCUGAAAUUCUGCACAUAGUGCAGAAUUUCAGCCUUAGAGAUUCCUGCUGUGGAGCUUCUUUGGUAAUUCAAGCUGCAACAAAUUUGGAGCUUGGAAUUUAGGUGAGAUGGAUACUUAUUUCUUGAGUUAAGCGGUCUAGAAUUACUUUAAAGGAGUGUGAACAAAACAAGCCUUUGUUUCAUACUUGUAGUAAGCUGUAAAGGAGAGGGUGUGGUGCUGGAAUUUCAGCACUACGCAAAAUUUCAGCAUGAAACAGAUUUUAGUAAAAGCUGAAAACAAGUCAGGAGGAGCUCUAAAUUGAGGUAAAUAACUUAACCCUUAGCUCAGAAUUAAUUAUAGCUGUAAAGGGAUUAAGCUAGGAUAUGUAGUGGUUAAUAGAAUCAUAAUAAGAAACUGAUUCUCAUGUGCUGAAAUGAGUGCAUCGGAGCAGAUUUCAGCAAAUAAUUCAGCAUAGAGAUUGGUUGNNNNNNNNNNNNNNNNNNNNNNNNNUUCGCCGUGCGGGAUUGGGCGCCGAAGUGGAUUGCCGUGGGCCAGGCUCAUUCCUAGGGUGGGGAUGUUGACUACCACGGGGCCAUUAGGCUCGGCACCGGCCAGACAGCCUUCGGGUGGGUCUCAGGGCCAUAGACAGCCUUCGGGUGGGUCUCUUCAGAUUCGACUUGAGUAUUCAAUAUGACAUGUGGACAGAUGACGACUUAGAGUAUUAUUUGGACAUUGACUAGAAUAGUAAACAACGGAACUUUACUAUUUCGCAUUGUGAACGUUAUGAUAGUUGGAGACUUAUACUUCAUGCAUAGUUGCUUCAUACUUAUGCUAUUUAUGCUAAGUAGAGAUAUCAUGUCGUAGUAAGUUACAUUUUACUUACCUUUCGUUUUUCUACAUUUAUAGUCACUAACAUCUCUUGUAGCCUUGGGCCUUGUGGUGCAUUCACUGAAGUCAGUAAUUGCCCACUGGGAACUAUAUUUAAUAGUUCUCACGCCCUGUUUUAUGGUUUCCUUUUCAGAGCCUUCUGCACCGGCGGAGGCACGGGAUCGCGGCAAGGGGAUCGCUUAGCUAGCUAGCGAGAAGCGGUACUCUGCCUAGGUGGUUUACUCUUCUUUUUGUAGUUGAGAGUGAGUGAGAGUUUCUGUAUCCAUGUAUAGAGACUACCUAUGUAUCUACCUAUAGCACUUGUAUUUGGGAUUUCCUAUUGUAUUUACCUUAUGUCUUAUUUAGUGGAUUUACAGUUUUUCCUUAUCCUUUGUUGUAGCAUUUAGACAUUUAUCAUGCUCUGAUACUUCUAGAUGCCUUUUAACAUUGCUUUUAUUAUUGUUGUUUUUAGACGCCUUAUAUGUUGUAGACAUAUGGCGGGUCUGGGCACGCGCCGGGCGGGCUUCCGCUGGGUCCCGGGGCGUGACAGAGAGAGAGAGAGGGAGAGAGAGAGAGAGUCCGGCUGUGGAACUAUCGAUAGCACCAAGGAUUUGGUGCUAUCAAGUUUUCCACCGUUAGAUUUAACCCUCUAAUUAUUUUUACCCGUUAGAUUAUACUAUUCAACCAACCACUUACUCAACCCUAGGGAACCCACAUCAUCCUAACCACCGAUUUCUCAAUCCAAGGGCUAAAAAAUCAACAGCACCAAUAGGUUGGUGCUACUGAUAGUAUUCUAGCCUAGUUCUAUAUAUAUAUAUAUAUAUAUAUAUAUAUAUAGUCCGGCUAUGGUGCUUGUAAAAGUACCAAGUAUUUGGUGCUUGUAAAUUUUUUACCAUUAGAUCUACUCCUCUGAUUAUUUUUAACCGUUAGAUUAUACUAUUCAACCAACCACUUACUCAACCCUAGGGGGCCCACAUCAUCCUAACCACGCAUUCCUAAAUCCAACGGCUAAAAAUCUACAAGCACCAAUAACUUGGUACUUUUAAAAUCAUAGGAGCUCAAUUAUAUAUAUAUAUAUAUAUAUAUAUAAGGGAUCUACUCCUUGAUUACUAAUAGUGCUUGGAUUUCACCUACCAUCAUCUACCACCAUCAUCCCAACCUCACGUCUCUCCAUCCAAUAGUUAAAAACUUAAAAGCACCACCUUCUAGUGCUUUUGGGAGUAUUCUAGCUAGCUCAACUAUAUAUAUAUAUAUAUAUAUAUAUAUAUAUAUAUAUAUAUAUAUAGUGUAGAACUAUUAUAGUAUCGGAAGUAUAGAGGAUUUGAUUUUUUCAAUUUUUGGACCCUUAGAUCAAGAAUGUAUGGUGGGAUGAUUGCGGUCCGCCUUAGGGUUGAGUAGUAACCCUAGGGUUAAGUGGUCCCCAUAUGAUAAUAGUAUUAAUUCAAAAGUUAGAAAUGAUCAAAGAGCAACGUUGAUCUAUGAGCCAAAAAGUCGAAAGCACCAGAUCUUCUAAACUUCCAACAGCAUAGUAUGUGUGUGUAUAUAUAUAUAUAUAUAUAUAUAUAUAUAUAUAUAUAUAUAUAUAUAGUCCAACUAGAAUACUAUCGAUAGCACCAAGGAUUUGGUGCUAUCGAAUUUUCCACCAUUAAAUUUAAUCCUUUGAUUAUUUUUUCCCGUUAGAUUAUACUAUUCAACCAACCACUAACUCAACCCUAGAGGGCCCACAUCAUCCGAACCACAUAUUUUUCAAUUCAAGGGCUAAAAAAUUAAUAGCACCAAUAGCUUGAUGCUAUUAAUAGUAUUCUCACUACAACAAAAACGGUCUAUAGCGACACUUUUNUCCGCGGCACGACGUCGGCGACAAAAUACUCCACCCGAGCUCCUCCACGAUCGGUCUAGCUAGAGAGAGAGGGAAGCAAGCAAAAUCUCCUCUCAGCUCUCCUCACACCUGUAAAUAAUAAGGGAGUAUGUGGGUGACAUAAACGAGGUGAGAAAAGACCCAAUUGCCCUCUCACCUACCCUGGUGUACCGGUACACGGGCCUACGUACCGGUACAAGAUGCAAACCCGAUAGCAGUCUGCUCGUAGCCUGUGCAGUGUACCGGUACACCCUGCUGGCUGUACUGGUACGGCAAGCAGAGAAACCUGCUAUUUGCAGAUUCUCUUGCUAAAUACUGCUCUCGCGUCGCACAGAGUCCGUUUUGCGUCUAUUCGUGCCAACAAGACUCAGGCUUGUCCCGACACUCUCCAGAACUGUCGACAAGCCUUUACCGCCAAACACCAGGGAUCUCACACUCUUCUCUACUACAAAAAGUUUCGUCCGCGAAACUUAAGUAUACCUCAGCUCUGGGCAUCGAACAGGUAGGGAUAGGACUCCCUCAUCACCGUCUCAAGCUCCCAAGUCGCCUCCCGCUCCUCGUGAUUAUUCCACUGCACCUUCACAUACAGGAUGACUCGGUUGCGCAAUUCUUUCGUCUCUCGAGCAAGAAUCCGCAACGGUCGCUCUCGUAUCUCAGAUCCUCGCCAAUCUCGAGUUUAGUGAAGUCAAUCACGUGAGAAUGAUCGAAAACAUAUCUCCUCAAUGCCGAGAUGUGGAAGACAUCAUGAAUGUCAGCUAUUCGCAGGGGUAGAGCGAUCCUGUAAGCAACUGGUCCCACUCGCUCCAAUACCUCAAAAGGGCCAACGAAACAUGGACUAAGCUUUCCACGUACUCCAAAUCGGCGAAUCCCUCUGGACGGCGAGACUUUGAGGAAUACAUGAUCUCUAAUCUGAAACUCUAAGUCUCGCCUUCUGGUAUCGGCGUAGCUCCUCUGACGGCUCUGGGCUGUCAAAAUGUGUCGUCGAACAACUCUCACCUUUUCCUCAGCCUCUAACAAAAUCUCAGGCCCAAACAUCUUCCUUUCACCUACAUCAUUCCAACACAAAGGGGAUCGACAUCUGCGUUCAUACAAUGCCUCAAACGAAGCCAUCUGGAUGCUCGCUUGAUAACUGUUGUUGUACGCAAACUCAGCUAGUCUCAAAUGUCGAUACCACCCUCCUCCAAAGUUCAGGACGCAUGCUCUCAGUAUGUCCUCUAGAGUCUGAAUUGUCCGCUCUGACUAACCAUCUGUCUGUAGGUGAAACACUGUGCUGAACUGUAACUGUGUACCCAAGGCUGUCUGCAAACUCCUCCAGAAGUGUGACACAAACCUCGGAUCCCUAUCAGAUACGAUUAAAAUCGGCACGCCAUGCAGCCUAAAAAUCUCAUCCGGAUAUAGCUCCGCGACUGGACAAGGUGGUCUGAACCAGUAAGAAGUGAGCAGACUUGGUCAGUCUGUCCACUAUCACCCAAAUCACAUCGUAGCCACCCUACGCUCUAGGUAAUCCCACGACGAAGUCUAUCGUGAUCUGCUCCCAUUUCCACUCGGGCACUGGCAGACUCUAAAGCUUGCCAGUAGGUACCUGAUGCUCGGCCUUUAUCUGUUGACAAGUCAGACACUGAGCCAUAAAUCUGCCAAUGUCCCUCUUCAUUCCAGUCCACCAAAACUGUGCCUUCAAGUCCUUAUACACCUUGGUUCCACCAGGGUGAACCAUAUAAGGAGAACAAUGAGCCUCUUUCAGAAUGUCCUCUCGGAUCCCUGAAUCCGCAGGCACACACAGUCGGUCCAUGUACCGCAGCACUCCCGAACUGUCCACAGAAAAGCCCUCAGCCUGUUCCCGGUCUAGCUGCUCUCGAAUCAUCGACAAGUACGGAUCUCCACUCUGUUUAUCUCGGAUCCUAUCCAACAGAGUGGGCUGCAAGACCAAAGACAUCAGUCUCGCUAUAGAUCCAGGGAACACUAUCUCGAGCCUCAACCGCUGUAGCUCCUCGAGUAACGGCCUCUGCUCUGUGAUCAUCAAACUCAGGCUCUGCACUGCCUUCCUACUCAACGCAUCUGCCACCACGUUCGCCUUGCCGGGAUGANUAUAUAUAGAGAGAGAGAGAGAGAGAGAGUAGGUCUUGUGUGCUAUUUGGAGCACGGAGGCCUCUGUGCUCCUAACCCGUUUUCGAUGAUGGAGCUUCCGAAGCGAUGAUCGGCUCCGUUAGAUUUAAUCUAGCGUAUUUGAAUUAUCUAGAAAAUAAUUUUUGUGAUUUUUCAGUAUCAUUUUCCUAGUGAUCGAAAGGGUUUAAAAUCAACAAUUUUUAAUGGUUGAUGUAUACCGUUUGCAAGUUUAACUAUGCAGAAGUGUUCAAAUCAGAGGAAAUUUUGAUAGAAAAUUUUUUUAUACUAUUUACAGCAAGAUCAAUAUGUUUGAUCGAAAAUUUUCAUGCUAUAUCACCACUUUUUGUAAGAUUUUUAUUUUCAGCCGUUGAUUUUGAACCCUUUCGAUCGUUAGGUAAAUGAUAUUGAAAAGUUACAAAAUUUAUCUUCUAGAUACUUCAAAUAUGCUAGAUCAAGUCUAACAGAGCCGAUCGUCGAUUCGGAAGCUCCAUUAUCGAAAACGGCUUAGGAGCACGGAGGCCUCUAUGCUCCAAAUAGCAUACAAGACCUUCUCUCUCUCUCUCUCUCUCUCUCUCUCUCUCUCUCUAUAUAUAUAUAUAUAUAUAUAUAUAUAUAUAUAUAUGCUAGGGCUACUAUCCUCUUAAGAGGAUAGUAGCACUUUUCCUAUCAAGUUGUUCUUGAUGAUAAAGAUUUCGAAUCGAUGAUCGGAGCGUUGAAGUUGAUCUAGAGUAUUUGAAAUAUCUAGAAACUAAAUUUCAUAAAUUUUAAAAAUUAUUACAUGGUGAUCAAAGUGUCGUAAAAUCGACAAUUUUUGACGGCCUAUAUGAGCCGUUUGCUUGUUUAACGGUACAGAGCAAUCCAAAUUGUUUGAAUUUUUUAUAGAAAAUUUUUUAUACUAUUUAGAUAAUGUUUGAUAACUCUGAUUAUGAAUUGAGAAAGUCUAACCUAUAUUUUAAGGAGGUUAUUCAUUUAUAAUCGUUCAUUUUUCAAACUCUUCGAUAAACUUGAUAACGAUUUUUAAAUAUUACAAAAUUUGGUUUCUAAACAUUUUUAAUUGUGUAGAUCAAUUUCAAUGGUACCGAUUAUGAAUUUGAAGCUCCGAUCAUUCAAAACGACUUGAUAGGACAAAAUCCUCAAUCCUAUUAAUAGGAUAGUAGAUGGAAUAUAUAUAUAUAUAUAGAGUCCGGCUACUAUACUAUCGAUAGUAUCAAGCCCUUGGUACUAUUGAGUUUUUUACCGUUAGAUCAACCCUUUGAUCAUUUCCACCCAUUAGAUUAUACUAUUAAACCAACCACCCACUCAACCCUAGGGGACAACUAUCAAUUUAUCCGGGGACCACUAUCAUCCUAACCGCACAUCCUUUCAUCCAGCGACCGAAAACUCAAUAGUACCAAGGGCUUGGUACUAUUGAUAGUAUAGUAGCAUAAUUCUAUAUAUAUAUAUAUAUAUAUAGAGAGAGAGAGAGAGAGAAGAGAGAGAGAGCUAGACUGGUAUACUAUCGGUAGCAUGGAACCCUCCAUGCUACCAAGUUGAUUUUAAAGAUGCGGCUUCCAAAUUGACGAUCUGCUCUGUUAGGCUUGGUCUACACUAUUAAAAGUAUUUAAAAACUAAAUUUUAUAAUUUUUUGACAUCAUUUACUACCCCCAAUCAUCUCUCCUCCCUCACCCUUGUGCGCCGCGCGCCUCCCAGCUGCCGCCGAUCUAGCCCUAGCUGACGAGCCGUCGUCACUGCCACCUUUUCCUUCCUCUCCAUCUCCUCUACCACCUUUCUUCCUGUUCAUCUUGGCCGAGGGUGGUGCAGGGCGCUCCUCUCCCUCCAGCCUCCCUCCGGCGACACCUCCGGAGCCCCGGCGACCCUCCCCACCGACUGCCGCCGUCCCCAAGCGCCGCCGCCGUGGCAGCAGCAGCCCUGCGACCUUCCUAGGAAGAUUUGGGCCGAGGUGCUAUUGCACCCCUUCCCCCGCACUGCCACCGCCCGAGGCAACCCCCGCAACCCCCUCCGACCUCAAGCGAUCCAUCGCCAACCGCCCCUAGGCGCCCCAACCCGCGCCAUGGCCGGAGAAGCCGCCUGACCCGAGGCUUGCUUAGUGCCUGCUCGGGUUACUCCAGUGCCGCCACCGCCGCCACCUCUUGCCGCCGGCCAACGCGAGCCCGGGCCUCCCCCCCGUCGACCACACCCACUUGCCACCGGCGCACCCACCGCCGGGCUGCCACCGGCUGUGCACUGGCCUCAUUGUUCCGGUAAGCUUAAUUAGGCUAUUCUUUUGAGCAUUUCGGGUUGUUUGCACUAUUUCGGCGAUCCGAGACCGUCCCGAUGCCUCCUGAGAUAAGCACGGUGAUCGUUGGUCAGCGCUGAUCACAGUGCUCACCUCACUUAUGAUAAGCGAAUUUCGAAUCUGUGUUUCGGCGCGGUCUACCCCGAGUGAGAGCAGUUCACUGAAUUUUAGGUCGCUCCCGCAACUUUGACAGUGAGCCGCUGUGUGGGAGGUGACCUCUGGACUGAUCGUCCAAGGUUCGAAGCCCUUGCGGAAAAUCGAAUAUCGAUUUCGGUGCAUUUUCGGCGAAAUUCGCCGGCGGAACGCGGUAUCGGUUCGGAUUUCAUCCGAUGGUGUUUGAUUGCCCUGAGUUUUGUCGUUGAGCCUUGUCGGUUGGUCACCAUUGUUAUAUCGUGAGUUCGGAGAUAACGGGUGAGCGACGGUGGGUUCUGGUGUCAAAAUUAACACUUUUGAGAACUCGGAUCCAAACGAUUAUCCGGCGAUAAUCGUUUUGAUGUGUGACCUUGUGUUUGCUGCCAAGACAUCCAAAAUGAUGUGUUUUGUGACAACGGGUGACUCGUGGCACAAGUCGGUGAGUUUCGGGACACUUAGUGGGUCCCAGCGAUGUCCCGGUGUGAUUGUCGGGACUUUCUGCAAGUUACGGUGAUCGAUUUUACCAAAUCCGAGGUUUUGUGUGGGAUUCGUGAUUUGUGUAUGUUAGAUUAGUAGGUUAGACACUGACCCAGUGGACCCUCUGUAGGUUCGGUUGACGAUCGUAUACAGUUUGGAGACAGGCGCGACACUGAUAUAGGUGGGUGCUUUGAGCUGGUAAUCGGUGAGAUCAUUUCACUUUCCUCUUCCUUGUCAUUACACUUGCAUAUCAGUACUUUAGUCUCUACAUGUCAGUUGCCUUUAUUUAUCAUUUGUUCAUCUAUAUCUUGAUAGUUGCAUGAUAACAGUUGUUAGUAGACAUGUAGAGCAGGCUUGCAUACAUUGUAUAUAUGUGGACCUCGGGUCUAGGCAACACGUUGACUCCUUUGUCGUGUAUUUCGAUCUGGUUUAUCCACUUGGAAACCUUGUUGUGGUUUCUCACCCCCCAUUUCCCCAGGUAGCACGGGUAAGGAGUUGAUUCUUGGCGUGAUGGGAAUACGUCGUAGCUAGGCUGCAGUAGCGGUCGUCACCCUAGUUAUUUUUCUUUCCGCAUUUAACAGUUUAAAUAAUAAAAUGGUUCAGUUAGAUGAUCAUUGUUAUUGCGUGAACAAUCGUGAACUUGUCACACCCCGGAUUACUCGUUCCCCGGGCACGCCGACAAAUUCGCCAUAUACAAAGGAAUUUUUCCUAUAUACGAAGCGAUAGCUGUACCUGUAAAUCAUACAAUACUACAAACAGUAGUAUAGAGCUGCUAGAAGAAUCAAUAAUAAAACAAACCGAGUUCCAUAUACAUACGCCAAAACCAAGAAACAAAACUACUCGCACUGGCGAGUUAAAUAUAUGUAUGUACAUGAACUCCAACCAAAAACAACUACCUGCUGUAGGGGCACCUCUAGCUCGGCUCAAAGACUACCGCGGCAAGCUCCAAGUCAUGCAUAGGAUAAUUCUUCUCAUAAUUCUUUAACUGCCGUGAAGCAUAGGCAAUUACCCUACCAUGCUGCAUUAGCACACUACCCAGUCCACUGUGCGAUGCAUCACUGUAGAUCACAAAUCCUUCCCCCAUCACAGGAAGGGCAAGGAUAGGAGCUGACAUCAACCUCUGUCUCAACUCAUCAAAGCUCCUCUGACAAUCCUCACUCCAGAUGAAUCUAAUCCCCUUUCGCGUCAAUCGAGUGAGGGGUGUGGAAAACUUCGCAAAGCCUUCUACAAACCGACGGUAAUAUCCUGCUAUUCCAAGAAAACUCCUCACCUCUGUCACCGUCGUCGGUCUGGGCCAACCCCGAAUCGCAUCAAUCUUCUUCGGGUCAACUACUACUCCUUCUGCUGAUAUCACGUGGCUCAAGAAAGCAACCUCCCGUAACCAGAACUCGCACUUCUUUAACUUGGCAUACAACUUCUUCUCUCUCAGAAGCUGUAGCACAGUCCUCAAGUGCCCCUCGUGCUCGACAUCGCUUCGGGAGUAUAUCAAGAUAUCAUCUAUGAAGACUACCACAAACCUAUCCAAGAACGGCUUGAACACUCUGUUCAUCAAAUCCAUAAAUGAUGCAGGGGCAUUCGUCAGUCCAAAAGGCAUCACUGUAAACUCAUAAUGCCCGUACCGAGUCCGAAAAGCGUCUUGGGAACAUUCUCGGCCCUCACCCUCAGCUGGUGGUAACCGGACUGGAGAUCAAUCUUCGAGAAGACACAAGAUCCUUAUAGCUGAUCAAACAGGUCAUCAAUGCGCGGCAAAAGAUACUUGUUCUUGAUGGUCACCUUAUUCAGCUCUCGGUAAUCCACGCACAACCUGAGCGAACCAUCCUUCUUCUUUACAAAUAACACCGACGGUUCCUAAGGUGAUAUACUGAAUCUAACAUACCCCUUAUCCAUCAAAUCCUCAAGCUGCGCCUUUAGUUCUCUUAGCUCAGCCGGUGCCAUCCGAUAGGGUAUCUUUGAGAUUGGUGCAGUUCCAGACACUACAUCAAUCACAAACUCAAUCUCUCUCUCCGGCGGCAUCGUCGUCAACUCAGGGAGAAAUACAUCUGAAAACUCACGGACUACAGAAAUAUCCUCGAGUCCCGGCGCCGACGUAGGUACCUCAACAAUAGUCGCCAGAAAGGCAACACAUCCUCUACUCAUCAGCUGUCGAGCCCUCGCCGAAGAUAUCCAAGUCGCAAACAGUGUACUCCUGCAGCCUCUAAAAGUAAACUCCUCCUGUCCUGGCUCAUGGAACGUCACUGUCCUCGCCCCACAAUCGAUCGUAGCAUAGUAGCGCGCCAGCCAAUCCAUACCGAGUACAACGUCGAAGUCCUGCAGCUGCCCUAACACCAACAGGUCUGCGGGCAUGCUCCACGAGUCUAACUGCACCGGACACGACCAACUACACUCUGCAACCUGGAAAACAUGGUCCGGGAUCUGCACCUCUCGUGCCUGUGACAAUACUCCUAACUCUAGACCAUAAAACAAUGCAAAUGCUCGGCUAACAAAAAAAUGCGAGGCACCAGUAUCAAAAAGAGUACGAGCUCUAAUACCAGAAAUGAAAAUGAUACCUGCCACCACUCGGUCAGCUGCUGAAGAGUCCUCCACCUGGGCUGCAUAGACCCUGCCGCUCGGAGCCUGCUGUCGCCACUUGUCCUGACGCUGCAUAAACGAUUUGUCCUCCUGGCGGAAGCUCGAAGCUGCUCCAAAAGACGACUGAGAUACCGGCUGCGCUGAUGCAGUGGAUGGCGCAGGUGAUGCUGCACGGGGACAAGCUGACCUCAUAUGUCCGGCUGACCGCAACCAUAACACCUGCCCUCUCUUUGCUCGCACUGCCGGGGCCAGUGUGAUCCCCCGCAGAUCACACACUGCGGUGUCCUCUGAGUCUGUCCCUGCUGACGGAAUCCCCUGGGACACUAACGCCCCGAAGGCCCACGACCUUGAGAACGUGAUCGUGGAGGCCUCGGCGGACGCCUGCUGCUCGGCUGUCCAGCAUCAUCUGAAAAGAGGCGCUUCCUAUCCUGACUCUGCCCCACGGCCUGAGUCCUCUCCUGUAGUGACACCUCACCUCUCUCUACCUACAAGGCCUGCUCUAUGGACGCAUCCAGAGUUCUCGACCUCUGCGUCCACGCCAACCUGAAUAUGUCGCGUCUCAGCCCCUGCUCAAACAGAUAGACCCUGUGUGCCUCGUUCCUAGCCACAAAUGGCACACAGUUCAGGAGUCGAGUAAACUCUCGAAUGUACUCCUGUACUAGACGAUCCUCCUGCUGAAUCCUCUUUAAAUCCUCCUCGAGCUUCUAUUUCACACUGUUGGAAAAAAAACAUCCCAAACAGCAUGCCAUAAAACUCAUCCCAUCUGAGCUGCAACGCUACCAGUCCCUGUUCUCUCCUCACUCUCCUCCACCAGGCGUGGGCAUCACCUGCCAAGCAAUGGACUCCCAAAGACACCUGCUCUCCAUCAGGAAUGAACAGAUCAUCAAAUAACUUCUCCAUCGCACUGACCCAUCUCUCAACAAUCCAGGCCUCAGUGCAACUGCCAUCGAAAAUCGGUGGAUUAAAAUGGCGAAAUCAAGCCAACCUUUCCGUCCACCGCUCCUGCUCGGCCUCUGUCAACUGUACUAGCCCCCUAGCAGGCGCAACUGGCGCUACUGGAACUGCUGCUGGCGGAGGGACUGCUGUAGCUGGAGCUGUCACUGGGGCAGUCGGAGGUGGAACAAACGACUCUGGUGCCCUCGGUGCUGAACUCUGGGCCGAAGCUAGCCUCUCGCACAUCCUCUCCAACAACUCCCCCUGCAGCCUCGUCACCUCUGUCAGGGCGGCUAACUAUGCACUCAAGUCUGGGGAUGCACUCGCCUCUGGUCGAACACUCUGCUCCUGCCGGGCACUCGGCUCUGCAUGCUCAGGCAUCUCGGAAGGUCCCGCACGAUCUUGCGACAACUAGGCAUGCUUUCGCAACGACGGUCGACCUCGGCGACGAUACAUAGCUGAAAGGAACAGAUCGGGGUCAGAUGAAGUACAAACAAUCUCGACCCAAUCAUCGAAAGUCUGGAAGGCAGCUCCUGCUUUCCUCCAAAAUUAUGUUGUCUGUAGCCAACAUAAUUUCUCAAACCAAAAUAGGCACUCCUUCAAUCACUCACUCCACUCUAGGAGGAGUUAGAAUAAUUAAUCAUUAACUUUCGCAAUAAAUUACGCCUCUCGCGUCUUGCCUUCCUAAGGCUUGCCAACUUAGGUUUCCCAGGUCCCCACGACCUAAUGCUAAGCUCUGAUACCAACUUAAUCUGUCACGCCCCGGAUUACUCGUUUCCCGGGCACGCCGACAAAUUCGCCGUAUACAAAGGAAUUUUUCCUGUAUAGGAAGUGAUAGAUGUACCUGUAAAUCAUACAAUACUACAAAUACUAGUAUAGAGCUGCUAGAAGAAUCGGUAAUAAAACAAACCGAGUUCCAUAUACAUACGCCAAAACCAAGAAACAAAAUUACUCGCAUUGCCGAGUUAAAUAUAUGUAUGUACAUGAACUCCAACCAAAAACAACUACCUGCUGUAGGGGCACCUCUAGCUCGGCUCGUCGGGUAGGGCUCUAACUUGCGACGCCCUUGCCUCGAUCCUGAUCGGCAACAGCAGCAGCCGAAGACAAUGGCUCUGCAAAAACGGGGUAACAACAGGGCGUGAGAACCACUGUAAAAACAAGUAGUCCUCAGUGGGUGCCGCCCUCAACAUCAUCGGUCCACCCACUAAGUCUACAGAAGGGAGCAAAGAUAGUAAUAAAUGCUGGAAUAAAAUCUACAGCUACCAUUCAUUACACUAUUAUGCUCUAAGCUGACCUACUGUAGUAAUGUCAAUCCUGACCCAUUCUCUUUAGGGACUGUAAACAUACCCGUCCUAGGGAGUGUGAACACACCCGGCCCGCCCAGUUGAGACUAUCCAGCUACCUCCACACUAUCAGUCCGUGGAGAGCAAGUCUAGCCGGCAUGAACGACACCAACGCGAAAGCACAACACCAGUCUCCGGAGUGGCACUCGUGGGAGCUGCCCAACCGAGUAUGCAACGUAUCUUUGUCCAGCUCAAUCAGGCUCUCUCCAGCCAAAGUCCAAGUAACCGACACUAACUGGUCUAACAACCCACAGUCACGGGCCCUCAGCACAAUCCGACGCCAAAAAGGCGAUAUGGGUCCACCGUCCACCCUUACGGCACCCAACAAUCCGGAACCCCUGAACGCUACUGUAAAAAAAUAUACUCGGCAUCCCAGCACGAGCGUAACUAAAAUCUAAACUACCUGGGGUAUCCGCCGCCUCGAUACUGCGACGAUACAAAAUUACAACGGCUCCUAGAGCUAAAUAAGGUAGUGUAAACAGGUGACAGGUCCAAAUCGCUGGUUUUCUCCUAAUUAAAUUUUCAAAUCCAACAUGUAUAGUUUAACUAAAAUUCCACACAUGCUUCAAAUUCAGAUUUCAGUCAAUAUGCUACUCAAUGAAUUUAAGCCAGUACGAAGUAUAAACAAUCGAAAACUAUACAUGUUUACUAAUAUUCACUUAGGAGUAAACCCGAUAAAACCCACCUCAAAGGCUAAUCCCUGGCAGUGAAAAAGGUCACCGGAGUCCCUGCCAAGCUCGGUGCAACCCAACGAACCAGCGACAACAACACUCCACGGAUCUAGACAUAGAAACCAGAAUAAAUACCAAUUCUGCUCAAAACAACAGCAGCAAAGUGGAACAGGGUUUCGACCAAGCUAACCUUCACCAAAAUUGACGAUCUUGGGCUUUGUGGAUUCCUCUCGAAGUCCUGAAUCCAACAACCAAGUCUCGCUGCAAUCCGACGCUCCUACGUCGCACACGAGCCGAAACGUCAACGGUCGACGCAGGAAAUCUGCGAAACAACAUCCUUGAGCUCGGAAGUGAUAAAAACUUGCCAAGGUUGGAGGUAUUGAUGAACAUCUCACCUCAACAGCGACUCUAGCACCGGCGCGACGUCGAGAACAGCGAAAACGCACUCUGUCCGGCCUCCUCGCGAUGCUACCGGCAACAAGCGCGCGCUCAAAUGGCUCCGCGGCACGACGUCGGCGACGAAAUACUCCACCCGAGCUCCUCCACGAUCGGUCUAGCUAGAGGGAGAGAGGGAAGCAAGCAAAAUCUACUCUCAGCUCUCCCUCACACCUGUAAAUAGUAAGGGAGUAUGUGGGUGACAUAAACGAGAUGAGAAAAGACCCAAUUGCCCUCUCACCUACCCUAGUGUACCGGUACACGGGCCCACGUACCGGUACAAGAAGCAAACUCGAGAGCAAUCUGCGCGCAGCCUGUGCAGUGUACCGGUACACCCUGCUGGCUGUACCGGUACGGCAAGCAGAGAAACAUGCUAUUUGCAUAUUCUCUUGCUAAAUGCUGCUCCCGCGUCGCACAAAGUUCGUUUUGCGUCUAUUUCGCGCCAACAAGACUCAGGCUUGUCCCGACACUCUCCAGAACUGUCGACAAGUCUUUACCGCCAAACACCAGGGAUCUCACAGAACUUGUAUGAGUUGAUGCUUUCUAUUAUGCAUGCAACGGAGUUUUAUGAAUCUUCAGUAUUUGAAUUUAUAUAUUCAUGCGUUGUGAUUUUUUAUCCCUCUAGAUAGUCGAUUUUCGAAAAUGGAGUUUCUGAGUGGGAAACAGUUUUAAAAGAUUUUCGAAUAAUUUUCAUGGAUGAACAAAUAGAGUUUAAAAAUAAAGCUUCCGUAUAUGGAGUACUUUUAAAUAGCAUGAUUGUUGUAAUGUGCAUCGCAUUAUCCAGCGCCUAAAGAGUGUUUAGAGGAUAUAUCAUCUUUAAGGAUCGCUAGCUGUAUGCAAUUGCAUCGCAUCAAUUGUUUGUGAAUUAGUGAAUAUAGGUUGUGAGUUGUGAUCCUAUUAUUGUUAUCGUUGGGUACGUUGGGUAUGCCGUGCAAAUAUAAAGGAGACUCUGUCCAUGUGAGCAGAGAAACAUUGUGCUUGUGGCAGAUCUGUACGCCACAAGGGCUAAGUUGAAUUCAAAAAAAAAAUGGCACGUUUUCCGCAAUUCUGAUUUCUAAAAUAGUAUCUAUUACAAAAAGGCUUUAAAAAUCCGCCCGGGGCGUGACAAUCCAUCAAUUGAUUCGAGUUUGAAGUGUUCAAUACUCUUAGCUCUCUACUAUUUCUGUAAGCUUCGUGAAAUUUAUAGUUGGGAUACUAUAUUUUUAUGAGUAUAAAGCAUUUUAUCCUCAUAAGCCUUUUUGAUAGUGAUGCUUCCAAAUUGAUGAUCAUAUCAUUAAAUAUAAUUUAAAGCAUUUAAAAUUUUUUAAAAAUAAAUUUCAUAAUUUUUAAAAUUAUAUUAAAGUCCAUCAAGCGGGUAUAAAAUGAACAAUCAAAAUUAAACGAUCUUCAAAAAAUAGAUGAUAGGAUUCUUUAAUUUAAGGUCAAAGUUAUUGAUUUAUAUCUAGAUAAUAAAUAGAAUUUUCUAUCAAAAGUUCAACCAAUUUUAGGGCAUGUUUGGCCUAACUUCUGGAAAAGUGUUUUCUGCAUAAGUGAGUUUAGUUUAAAGAAUUGAUUUUGGUGAAAAGCUGUAAAGCGUUUGGCUGAGUUUAGGCAAAAGUUAUUUUUCUGAAGUGAUUUUUUACAAUUGUUUGCUAAAAAAAUUUUAAUGAUUAUAUAUAUUAAUAUUUUUACUAAUUUCUUUUUAAAAUAAUUUAAAAUUAAAAUUAAAAUUUGAAUUAAAAUUAAAAUUUUAAAUUUGAAUUAAAAGUAUAAUUUUUAAUUUUCAAAUUUGUAUAAAAAAUAAAUUUGAAAUUUCAAAAUUUUAAAAUUUUAAAUUAGAAAUUUUUAAAUGUAAAUUUAAAUUUUUAAUUUUUGAAUAUGAAUUUAUAUUUUAAAUUUCAAAUUUAAAAUCUAAAUUUAAAUUUUCAAUUAAAUUUAAUAUUUGAAAUUGGUCAAAUUCAAAUUUUAAAAUUUAAAAUUUAAUUAUAAUUCAGAUUUUUAAUUAAAUUUUAAUUUUAAAUUUAAAUUUUAAAUUUUAAUUUGAAAUUUUGAAUUUUGAUUUUAAAUUUUGAAUUUUGAAUUUUGAAUUUGAUUUUGAAUUUUAAAUUUUAAACUUUUAUAAUUUUAAUUUUAAUUUUGAAUUUUUGAAUUUUAAUUUUAAACAUUUUAAUUUAAAUUUAAAUUUUUAAUUUUAAUUUUUAUUUUUAUUUUCUUAUUUUUAAUUUUCAAAUGUAUUUAAACAUUUAAAUUUUAAAUUUUAAAUUUUAAAUUUUAAAUUUAAAUUUUGUAAUUUGAAAAUUAAAACUUGUAAUUUUAAAAUUUAAAAUUUGAAAUUAAAUCUAAAAUAAAAAUAAAAAUUUUAAGUUUGAAUCCAAAAUUAGAAUCAGUUUUGGAGAAGUAGAUUUUGUCUGCUUUUGCUUCUGGGGCCUUCAAAAUCAGUUUUCUGAUUUUAAAAAAAAAAAUCAGAUUUUUCAUAUGUCGUUUCCAAACGCUCUACUAAACUCAAAAUUGAUUUUGGGUUUAGAAUCAUUUUUGAGAAGCUAGGCCAAACACUCUCUUAAUUUUUGUUAUAUUAGCAAGUAUUUCAUAUCGACCGUUAUAAAUUAUCAAUUUUAAAAUAUUUUAAUCGUAAGAUACAAAAUGUUAAAAAAUUAUAAAAUUCAAUUUUAAAAAUUUUAAAUACUCUUAUUCAUAUUUAACGUUAUGGAUUAUCGGCUCGAAAGCUCUAUUAUCGAAAUACAAAGGUAAAUGGAUAUCUAUUCUUUCUACAUUAAAGGAGGGUUUGGAGGGACCAAAAGGUGACAAGUGUCCCAACCCCGAACCCUCCUUUACUCUCCCUCUCGCUCUAUAUAUACUAGUGAAGGCACCCGCGCGUUGCAGCGGGUAGAUUCUGUAUAAAUAAAUAAAUAAAUAAAACUGUAGAAAAAAAUUUAGAUAUUAAACUCCAUUCCAUGCCUAAAUUUUCAUGAAUAGUAUAAAAAAGAAUGAGUUGUCACUAUAUCGGAAAUAGAGAUAUUUUAGUUAUAUUUUUAGUUUAGCAAUGAUGUAUAUAGUGUAGGAAUUCACGCGAUGCGGUGGGUAAAAAUUAAAAACUUAUAGAGUUCUUACAUUUUUUCGAGAAAGGAGUGAUCGAGGUUAGGAGUGGGGGUCGUAUAAAAAUUUGAAAUUAUUGUAAAUGGGCGCGACCACACAUCCUCCUUGAACGCGGCGCCCCUGUCCGCGGUCUUGAGCGCCGCGCACACCUCGUCAAGGGCCUCGCGGAUCAUCCGCUCGAACCGCGCGCCCACGAACGUGGCGAUAGCGAGGUCCGCCAUGUGGAGGAAGGUCUCCGGCCGCUCCUCCUCCGGGGUCUCCUUCUAGAUGGCCACCGCCGCCUGGACGAUGGCGGGGCCGGCGGAGAGGAGGCGCCGCCGAUCGGAGGGGCGGCAGCGAGGGAGGGUGCGGAGGAAGAGGAAAGGUUGGGGUUUUAGGGUUUGGGAAGGAGAGCAGAAGAGCUCGACAGAGAGAUCACGGAUGUGGGGUUUGGGGUUUAUCAAGCUUUGAGAAGCUAUAUGUCACGCCCCGGGGCCGAUUUUAAAAGCCUUUUAAAAACCGAGUUGCGGAAAACGUGCCAUUUUUUUUUUUUUUUUCAACCUGGCCCACGCGACGUACAGACCCGCCACAAAUACAAAGUUCCUCUGUCCACUCGGGCAGAGUCUCCUUUGUAUUUGCACGGCGUACCAACGAUACAACAGGAUCACAACCACAACCUACAUUUACCAAUCAACAACCCAAGCAUGAUAUGCAUUUUCAUACAGCUAACAAUUCUUAGAAUGAUGCAUGCCUCUAAGCACUCCUUAGGCGCUGGAUGAUGCAAUGCACAGUACAACAAUCAUCCUAUUUAAAAGUGCUCCCCACACGGAAGCUUUUGUUUUUAAACUCUAUUUCAUUCAUUCAUAAAAACCAUUCGAAAACAUUNAUUAUUUUUAUAUAAUUUUUAUUUAAUUAAUAAUUAGACUUAUAAAACUAUAUAAAAAUAUUAAAAAAAAUAAAAUUUAUUAUAAAAAUAUUUUUAUAACCGUAGUAUCGCGCAGGUAUUUCAGUAGUCUACCAUAAUACGAUGGUAAGCGGACAUCUACCAUCGAACGAAGAAGACGUUCAUGAGAGAGAGAGAGAGAGAGAGAGAGAGAGAAAAUAGCUACAUUUAGGAUAGGUCAAAUUGCCCCUAAUAAAUGUUUAGGGGCAAUUUGGUCAUUAUGAAAAAUAUAACUUAUCGGCUUGAAGACCGCUUCGUAUUGGGGCCCAUUGGGGCCCAUUUUUCGCUAGUCAGCAAAAUAAAAUUUGGACAACAGUAAUUAAAUAGACAAAUAAUUCUCUAUAUUUUACUAGUGGAUUUGACUCAUCAUGACAUAUAGAAUGUGAUAUGAUAUAUGAACACAUAAAUUAUAUUUUUAUCAUACUUUUUUGUCGCAUUUAUAAAGUAAUUUGUCUGUAAUGCGUAAAGUAGUCCAUACUGCAAAAGCUUUCGGGUUAGAGAUUUUAUGAUUAAAAUUUUAGCUGCAAUUUACGGCUUCUUUUAUAUGGCACAAUAAAAUACCAGACACGGGCGGUGUCGAAAAAUACACUGUUCGACAGAGUAAAGACUUGGCAAAAUGAGGAUGGCACUAAGGGUGCGUUUGGUUCGCGCUAUUUUUUUAAGAUUUUUAGUAAUAUAAUGGGAAUAAGAAAAUAUGACGGUGUUUGGUUAAAGGCACUAAGUAAUCUAGUUGGUAAUAUUAGAUUCACUUGGGAAUGAGAUUCAUCCUAAUGUACUAAUCUCAUUCCCUUGCGGGAGAGUGGUAUCCUCGUAUUAAGGAAUUGGGUAAUUAUAAUAUGUCUAAUCUCUUUCUUUCUCCUUACCCGCAGACUAGUUAGUAUUAUUAUCUUUUACACUCUAACAUCAUAUCUCUCUCUAAACUUAUCUUUUUCUCUCUAAACUUCAACUCUUUUUCUCUCUCUAAACUAAGCUCUCUCUUUCCCUCUUUUCUUAAAAUUUCAACUCUCACACUCCCUCUAAUCUCGACUCUAUUUCUCUUCCUAUUAUUUAAUUAUGCUCUCUCUCUCUAACCUAUAUUUUCUCUCUAUUUUUUCUAAAAAAAUGUUGAAAUUUUUUGUAGCAUUAUCUAAAAUUUAUUAAAAAAAAUUAAUUAAUUAAUUGUAUAUUUUUUGUAAACUUAAAUAACAUGACUAAAUAAUAUGACCGUGCGAACCAAACACAUGAAUGCCACAUUCUUAGUAAUAGGAUGAAUAGCAAUAAGAUUCUCGGAUAUUUUUUUACUCAUAGUAAUCUUUCAUAAUACGAACCAAACAUGCCCUAAGGGUGCAUUUGGUUCGCACUAUCUUUUUAAGAUUCCUAGUAAUGCAAUGGGAAUAAAAAAAUAUGACGGUGUUUGGCUAAAGGCGCUAAGUAAUCUAGUUGGUAAUAUUAGAUUCACUUGGGAAUGAGAUUCAUCCCAAUGUACUAAUCUCAUUCCCUUGCGGGAGAGUGGGCAUCCUCAUAUUAAUGAAUUGGGUAAUCAUAAUAUGUCUAAUCUUUUUCUUUCUCCCUACCCGCAGGCUAGUUAGUAUUAUUAUCUUUUACACUCUAACAUCAUAUCUCUUUCUAAACUUAUCUUUUUCUCUCUAAACUUCAACUCUUUUUCUCUCUCUAAACUAAGCUCUCUCUUUCCCUCUUUUUCUAAAAUUUCAACUCUCACGCUCCCUCUAAUCUCGACUCUAUUUCUCUUCCUAUUAUUUAAUUAUGCUCUCUCUCUCUAACCUAUAUUUUCUCUCCAUUUUUUCUAAAAAGAUGUUGAAAUUUUGGUAGCAUUAUCUAAAAUUUAUUAAAAAAAAAAUAAAUUAAUUAAUUGUAUAUUUUUUGUAAACUUAAAUAACAUGACUAAAUAAUAUGACCGUGCGAACCAAUCACAUGAAUGCCACAUUCUUAGUAAUAGGAUAAAUAGAAAUAAGAUUCUCGAAUAUCUUUUUACUCCUAGUAAUCUUUCAUAGUGCGAACCAAACGUGCCCUAAAGUUUAAAAGACUAUUAUUUGUCAAUAUUAUAGCAGGAUUUGUUAUAUGAUUUUCUACCAAAGCAAUAUAUUUAUGUGUAAUCUACUAUGCUCCCAAAGUGGUGUGGAUGAUUUUCACUUUUUUACAUUUUCAUCGAAAAUGGUAGAGUUUGAAUGAUAAUGAUUUUUUAAAAAAUUUAGUGGUUUUUAUGAAAAAUAAUAUUAAUUUAAAAAUUAACAAUGAUCAAAAUGGUUGAUCUAAAUAUUAAAAAAUUAAAAACACUGCAUGAAUGAUGUUUUCGAAAAUACUAUAGCCGGACCCUAUAUUUUUUUGGACUUUUUUUAUAUUUAAUCCCCUCAAAAAAUAUUUACAAAUAAUCACAUAAAAUUUAUUUUUACAAGAUUGAUCAUGUUCCGGCCACGCAAGCACCACGCGGGCGUGAUUGAUCGUAGGUUAAAUUUAAUAUGAUGAACUAUUUACCAUACUUAGAUAUGGUGAAUGAUUUAUCGUGUCCUUUUAAUACAUAUUAUUUAAAAGGACACGGUGAAUUAUUUUCUUAUUAGUUUUUAAGUAAUAUAUAUCAAAAGAAUAUAUACGAUGAAUAAUUUACAGUGUUCAAUUUAACCUCACUGUCACACCCACGUGACACUCGCGUGAUGCCUAUAUGGCCGGGAUAAAGCUAAUCUUACUAAUAUAAAUUUUAUGAAACUAUUUGUGAGAAAAAAAAAAUUGAAAGAGUUAAAUGCAAAAAAAAGAAAAAAAAAAAAAGAAAAAAAAAAAAGAGCCCAUAUUUUUGUAGCCAUUUACAAUUUUUUUAACAUAUAUUUUUCAUAUGUGACUAAUAAACGUACGCUGCGACGGAGGGUUAAAAAGUUGCAACGACUUACGCAUUGGAGACCUGGCAUUUCCAUAGCUAAAUAUCCGUCCAUAUCAAGAACUAUACGUGCAAUUAAACCAGCUAGGUAGGAGCCCGGAAGGCGGGCUUUUGAUUAUCGGGUUGCUCUCGAAGAAGUUGAAAGGCCGAAGCUCGAAUCCCCCGGUUAACAGCGGCAUCAACGGAAAAUCUUCCUGGCAGGGGAUGUGGUGAAAUCCGACUGUGUACCACAACACAAUAUCCGUGUUCUUGAUCAAGCGAUUCCUGGUUAACCAAGAGAGAUCUUGAGAUGAGCCAUCAUUUUUAUUUGGAGAAAGCUUUAGUUCAAGAAAACUACUCCUUACAUAAGAAUAAGCCAGUUUGAUCGCUAACCUUUGGGUCCAUACGGCCAAGCCAUCAUCUCCUCUGCUCUGGUCGACGUAAAGCCCGGCGGCCCACUUCUCGGACUUGUUGUAGGCCGUCACCCACACCUGCUUCUUGGUGAAGCUGGCCCGGCGCUGCGGAUAGUCGUCAUCCGUCAUCAACGAGCCUGCAGUCCCCGCGCCGCUGAUCAGCCGGUACCCCACAUCGUUCCCCAUCUUCGUCUUCUUGCUCGGAUUCACGAUCAGCAGCUCUAUAGGUUCUUUUCCCACGUCAACCUGUGCAUCGGCCUCUGUCUCUGCUGUCUCUUUUACGACCGUCCAAUAGCUCUUCCGAGGGGAGUCGGACGAGGCCAACCUCACCGUCUUGAGCUUGGACUUGACGAAGGAGUUGUCGGUGCCGUCGAUGUCAAGGUCGAGAUAGUAAGUGAUGAAGUGGUCGUGGUAGACCGCGAUGGUGUUCUCAGCCAACAGACUGCCGUGGGGAUCGCCGGUUAUUUGGUCUGCAUGGGUGUAGGAUGAACCCUUCACUUCAAGGAGGCCUGUCAGUGCUACCUGUAUGAGGCAAGAAAGAGAAAUCAUGUAAAUUCUGUCCAGCAGAAAGUCAGCUGCUUCGAAUUGAACUAAUUUGUUAAGUUGAAUGAAUUCGUAUCUUCAUAUUGGAAUAAAAUAUGAUUAAAUUGAUUUUUCAUUGUUUACAUUUUUUAAUUAUUAUUCUUGGUUUUCCUAUGGACUUUGUAGCCAUUGGUAGUUAAAGAGCCCAAUCUGCAUAAAAAUUCAUUGAUUUUGAGUUUUUGUAAAAAUAAUCUGUCUUUUUAGAUUUUAUAGAUUGUAUACGAAUUUGACCAAAAUAUUCUUAUUCUUCUUUCUCUUUCUUUUUUUUUCACGCUCAUCUUUUUUUCGUACGGUUCGUUUUCUUCCUCCUUGCCGUUUCUCCUUUUUUCUUCUCCCACUCUCUCCUUUCUUUUGCUCCACCACCCCGACGUCAAAGUGCUCCUCUCUCUUACUUUGCUCGCCUCUCCGCUGAUCGAUGCCGGCUCGGAUAUGGCAUAAUUUACGAUAUGGUGGAAUUAUGGCCGCAGACGGUGACAGUGACAACGACGAGAGUGUCGCAAGUUUUGAGGACGAUGGAGAGAGAGAGCGCGUCGGGACGGAGGCGGUGGCAGCUGCGGCAAAGGACGAGGAAGGAGGUGUGAUAACAGAAAGUGACAUAGAGGGUGAAAGAAAAAAUAAAAAAAAAAAAGUUUUUUCUCCUAAAAAAAAUCAUUGUGUUAUAACUGUUAAAAGCAAACAAAAGAAAAAAUAAAUAAAUUUAUACUGUUUGAGAUCAAAGUUGCAUUAUUCGAGAAUAAGUCGUACUAUUUGAGACAAAAUUACACCAUACAAAAAUAAGUUGUACUAUUUUUGGACUAAACACUGUUUGAUAUUAAAUUGUACUAAUUGAGAGAAAAAAAAAAAGGAGAGAAGAAGAGGAUAAAUUGUACUGUUUGAGACGAAAGUUAUACUAAUAGGCAGUGUUUGGUCCAGAAAUAAAGGGGAAAUAAGCCCUUGUUCCCUUCUUCUUUCCCAAACGUCGCGUUUAGUAUCCGAGAACAGCCGGUAUAAAGCUGGAACUGAUGUUCCAUCUUUUUUCUUAAAACAAGCUUGUUCCUAAGUGGGAACAAGAUUAAUUAAAGUCUAAAUUUAGUUUUACUUAUGGUAUUAAAUUAUUAAUUAAUUUAAUUAAUAUAUUUAAAUCAUUAUUUUUUACUUAAAUAAUAAAAUAAUUAAUUAAAUUAUUAUUUAUAAUUAAUUAUUAAUAAUUUAAUAUAUUUAUCUAUAAACUAAUAUUUACAUUGUUUCUAUCAAUCUAAUUAAAAUGAUAUCGAAAAAUCAUUUUUAUAGGAUUUUUAUUUUCAGCCGUUAAAAAUUAUAGAUUUUGAAUCCUUUCGAUUGCCAGGUAAGUGAUAUUGAAAAAUCGCAAAAAUUAUUUUCUAGAAACUUCAAAUAUGCUAAAUCAAGUCUAACGGAGCCGAUCACCGAUUUGGAAAUUCCAUCAUGGAAAAUGGCUCAGUAGCACGGAGGCCAUCGUGCUCCUGAGAGCACAGCAGUCCUCUAUAUAUAUAUAUAUAUAUAUAUAUAUAUAUAUAUAUAUCUCAAGAUCAUCUUGUAUGANUGUUAGAACUUUACUCGCUCUGAUAUCAUUAGUUGCUUGUUAUCUCACUUCUCUUAUUUGUUCCAUCUCUUGCUUUUACUUUCGCUUUUCUUGUAGACGCCUUAUAUGUGUAGACAUAUGGCGGGUCUGGGCACGCUACCGGGAGGGCCUCUGCCGGUCCCGGGGCGUGACAUGUAUCCACUCAAGAUUGCUCCGAGAUCCGUAUUUUACACAAUCACAGUGUAGUUUCGAAACUCCUUUCGUAAUUUCUUGUGUCAAUAUAGAAAAAAUUAAUCCUUAAAUUAUGCUAGCAAUUUCAAAAGAAUUACCUAUAAUAUAGAAAUCAAUUAUUAUAAGAGAAUCUCUCUCUUAUAAUUAAAAGAGAGCUUUAUAUAAAGUCUUCCUUCUUUCACACUUCACUUUGUGUUCCACUUCUUGAGGGAGAUUACUCUCUUCUUUUUAUAGGCCUAAAAGCCAUUAGGCGGAGAGUAAGCUCCUCUAGUUGUUACAAAGAGAAUGGACAACCACCAUAAAUGAGAGGAAAUGAACUCCUCUCAUUUAAUAGAUGAAACAGAGAAAAAAAAAAAAAGAGAAGGAAGAACGAGAAGGGAGUUUUCUUUUCCAAUUAAUUAACUAUAUCAUUAAUAGGGUGAGUCACUACAACAGAAUUAGGUUAUAGGGACACAUGUUUGGGACACUUUUGAGUAAGUGUCCCAUUUAUGCUAAAACUUAAAAAAAAAUAUCUACUAAUGCCUAAAUAUAAAGCCCAAUCCAAUCAAAAAUAAAAGAUUACUCUACUCAACCCACCACACCCAGUCCAUUUGGCCCGAUUACAAACAGAAAAGAAAAAAAAAAGAAAAAUCAAUUACCAUCUUUUCUUCUCUCUUCAUUCAAUCCACUGAAAUUCUAGACGAAGAGCCUUUCCUGUCGUUCUCCUCCGCCACCGCAGCCAACGAGAUAGAGUUUCGGCGGUUGCUAAAUGCUUAAAUAAGUGUUGGUAAAUUAGCAGCACUCUUUUAGGUUAUAGCGACACUCUUUAACUGUCACUAUACACCUAGCGACCCCACAUAUAGCAACACUUUUUAAAAGUGUCGGUAAUUUUAGCUAGCAGCACUUUUUUGAUAUUUACCUAUAUUUAAAAGUGUCGGUAUAAACCAUUUUUGUUGUAGUGAGUGAAUGCAUGAAUUUACUUUUCAUUCUCCCUCACUCAUUUUCAUCACUUUGUAACUCCUCCAUUAAUAUUUAUUAAUUGAGAAGUUGAUAAGAGAAAGAUAGCUUUUAAUAUUUUUUGUGCACUUGCACCGUAUGCAACAAUUAUAUUUAACUCUAUAAUUUUUAAUUUCAUAAAUGGGUCCUUCUUACUAAACAACUUAGCAAAUAAAUUCUUACUUUACUAUUUCAGUAUGGUCUCUAUAAAUUCUCCAAGCACUCAAUCACACGUAGUUUUAUUGUAUGUGACCACAUAAGUUCUAUUUCACCUAAUAGUAAGAUGCGAUACUAAACUCUUUUAAUAUUACCAUUGGAACUUCUUUCGUAUAGACCAAAAUAUUUUUGUCUCUCAUAACUGAAUGUGAUUAACCAUCUUAAUCACUCUCGUUUUGGUCUCACAAUCCACAAGUGACACCUAAUAUGGUGGUUGUUAGUGUAGCUACGACCUAAUAUGGUGGCAGUUAAUGUAGCUACGACAGGCGGGACGGGUAUGUUCACAGUCCCUAGUGAGAUUGGGUCAGAGAUUGCUUUUCCUACAGAUUGUUAGUGUUGUUUCAUGAUAGUAUAGUGGCAUGUAGCUGUAGAUUAUUUUCAGUUUCUUACUAUCAUUGAGUAUACAUCUGUAGACUUAGUGUGUAACGACCCAGCCCACUAGCAACAAUAACUCGUUGGGCCCAACCGCCGGCCCAAAAUGCUUAAGCCCAGUUAUUAUUACUAGUGUCUAAGUCUCUUAUAAACCCAAUAACAACCCCAUUCCCAUCCGAUGUGGGAUUAUUGGGGUGUCACAGACUCCCUCCGUUAAGGCCCUGACGUCCUUGUCAAUCCAAACACACACACAGCCCAAGAUCGCCAGGCGAUGUGAGACUCGUCUCACUAGCCAGUCAUCUAGACCCUAGCUCAGCCGAGACUCGCCACACAUGUCCAGCUGGUGAACCGGCUCUGAUACCAAAUGUAACGCCCCAACUUCCCAGGGGUCACCCAUCCUAGGACUACUCCCGUCCUAGCACGCUUAACUCUCUUAACCUCUUGGGCCUUGCCACCACCUAAUAUGCUUAAGCCGGGUUAAGAGUUUAGCCCUAUUAUAUCUUAUAUAUAGGACUAUCUGGGGUCUCACAAUCAAAAUUUGUAACGCCCCAACUUCCCAGGGGGUCACCCAUCCUAGGACUACUCCCGUCCUAGCAGGCUUAACUCUCUUAACCUCUUGGGCCUUGCCACCACCCAAUAUGCUUAAACCGGGUUAAGAGUUUAGCCCUAUUAUAUCUUAUAUAUAGGACUAUCUAGGGUCUCACAAUCUCCCCUCCUUUAAGCCCUGACGUCCUCGUCAGGCUCAGACUCACAAGUACCAGGCGAUGUGAGACUCGUCUCGCUAGCCCGUCAUCCAGACCCUGGCUCAGCCGAGACUCGUCUCACACUUCCGGCUGGUAAUUGGCUCUGAUACCAUUUGUGACGCCCCAACUUCCCAGGGGGUCACCCAUACUAGGACUACUCCCGUCCUAGCACACUUAACUCUCUUAACCUCUUGGGCCUUGCCACCACCCAAUAUGCUUAAGCCGGGUUAAGAGUUUAGCCCUAUUAUAUCUUUUAUAUAGGACUAUCUGGGGUCUCACAUAAUGGGCGAGCCGUUGAGGUCGGUAGCGGUACCCACUGAGGACUACUUCUUUUUACAGUAGUUUUCACGUCCAGUUGUUGGAAUCUUUUGCAGAGCCUUCUUCUUCGGUUGCUGCUGCUGCUGAUUCGGAUCGAGGAAAGGGAGUCGCGAGUUAGAUCCCUUCCCCGUUGCUGCUGAUCUAGAGUAUACCAGCUACAGGUUGUUGUAGUUCUUUUUGGUUCAUUACAUACUAAUUUUGUAUCUCGCUGCCCAGAUGCUAUAUGUAUGUAUUGGACCACUGUUAUUAUUUAUGUUUUAUUUCUUUUUUUUGCAGCUCUACACUGCUAGUUGUAGUGUUGUGUGAUUAAAGGUACAGCUAUCGCUUCGUAUACAGAAAAAAUUUCUUUGUAUACGGCAGAUUUGUCGGCGUGCCCAGGGAAACGAGUAAUCCGGGGUGUGACAUUUUGUCUACAUCAAGUGUAAAAAUUUAUCGUAUGGAUCAAUUCUAUUUUUUAAUAGUCAAUAUAACAAAUAAAUAUAAAAUUUUAUUGCAUAGAUCAAUACUAUUUUUUAAUAGUCAAAAUAACAAAUUCGUAUGGUUUUUAUCCUUUUUUUUUUUAGUCCUUCUUAUAAUUUAUUCUUAUAUUUUUAUUGCAACAAUAGUUACUUAUUCUUCAGUUGAUUCUUUUUUAUAUAAUUCUUUGAAUCUUUUUUUACUUUCUUUACUUUAUUUAUUUAUUUAUUUUUACGAAAUCACGUCCUUCACUAAUAUUAGAGAGUCAAAAGUUUAAUAGACGCUUUUCUUUCUUUCUCCCUUUUAACUCACGCACCUACUUUUCUCCUCCUUGCUACCUCCGCUCUAGCCUUUUUGGCUGGAUUUUGGCUAGGCAUCUAGCUAAAAAUCCAACUAUUAGUGUAGUAACCCUGGAAUUCAGCAGCUGAGGCUUGUCGACAGCUCUGGAGAGUGUCGGGACAAGUCCGAGUCCUGUUGGCGCGAAAUAGACGCAAACUGGACUCAGCAGGACGCGAGAGCAGAGAGUUAGCAUUGCAAUCUGCAAAUUUCAGAUUUUCAGCAAUUGGUACCAUUACCGCACAGAGGCGUACGGGUACCCAGUGCAUUUUUCUGCGUAGACUGCUCUCGGGUUGGCCAUUCUGCUGCGUGGUACUGGUACAACAUUGGAGUGGUACCGGUACACCAGGGUAGGUAAAGGACUUUUUGGUCUUUUCUUGCCUCGUUUGUUUCACCUUAUCCCCUCUACAUUAUAUAGGAUGGAGAGAGAGGCUGAGGAGGGGUUUUGCUAUGCUCUCUCUCUCUUCCUCUUGUGCUCGGUCGUACGCAAGGAGGAGCUUGGGUGGAGGCGGAUUGUCACCGAUGUCGUGCCGCGGUGCCGUUUGAGCGUGCGUUCGUCGUGGUAGCGUCGUGGGGAGGCUGCGCGAGCGUGCAGUUUCGCUUCUUUCGACUUCUCGCCGUUGUUGGAUGCGCUUUCGAUGUGGGUUAAAGUGAUGCUUACCAAAUUCUACGGGUUUCCUCCUAAUGCUAUAUGUGUCGACAACAUGUAUUUUUAGCUUUGUUUAGUAUAUUGUUUAGCUCGAUUCUUAAAAUUUCAUGCCUAUGAACUUGAAUUGGAGCGUAGAAAAUUAGCUAAAAUAUACAUGUUGAACUUGGAUUUGACUUAGGAGAAAACUGACGUUUCUACACCGCCAUUUGAACAAACUACCAGAUUUAGCUCUAGGAGCCGUAGUUUGUUUGUAUCGACGCAGUUUGUGGACGGUGAAUACUUAGAAUAGUGUAGAAUAUAUUUAUACUCGUGCUGAGGUGCCGAGUGUAUUUUUACAGUAGUGUUUAGGCUGUUCCGGAUUGCCGGGUGCCGUUGAGGUUGACGGUGGACCAAGAUUGCUGUUUUUGCAUCAGAUUGUGCCUAGGAUACGUGAGUUCAGUUGUUAGACCAUGUUUACUUGACUAUAGCCUGUGAGAGUCUGAUUGAGCUCGACAGAGAUACGCUUGCAUACUCAGUUAGGUAGCGCCCAUGAGUGCCACUCCGGAGUCGGGCUUUGUGCUUUUGCGUUAGUGUCGUUUAGUCCUGGUUGAACUUGCUCUCCACUGACGACCUGGUUUAGUGUCAGAUUGUGUAGUUUCGACAGGCGGGACGGGUGUGUUUACAGUCCCUAGUGAGAUUGGAUCAGGCUUUAUUAUUUCCUACAGAUUGUUGGUGCUCGACCGAGAUAGUAUAGGUACAUAUAGCUGUAGAUUUAUUUCAGCUUUCUUACUAUACUUGUUUACAUCUGUAGAUUUAGUGGGUGAGCCGUUGAGGUCGGUAGCGGUACCUACUGAGGACUAUUUCUUUUGUAGUAGUUCUCACGCCAGUUGUUGGAAUCUUUUGCAGAGCUUUUUUCUUCGACUGCUGCUACUGCUGAUACGGACCGUGGAAAGGGAGUCGAGAGUUAAAUUCCUUCCCAGUUGCUGCUGAGCUAGAGUAUACCAGCUACAAGUAGUGGUAGUUUUUGUGUUCAUAUACAUACUUUUAUUGUAUCUCGCUGGAGCGAGUGUUUUGUAUAUCAGGAUACUUGCAUGUAUAGUGAACUUAUGUUUUUAUAUAUAUCAUUUCUUCUAGCAGCUCUAUACUACUGGUUGUAGUAUUGUUUGAUUACAGGUACAGCUGUCGCUUCGUAUACAGGAAAAAUUUCUUUGUAUACGGCGGAUUUGUCGGCGUGCCCGAAAAAACGAGUAAUCCGGGGGUGACAAUUAGGUUCGAAUUUUUGCGUUACUUUACUUAUUAUUUCUCUAAUAUUAUCUUCUAUGUUUAUGAUCUAUUCCAUAAUUAUCUAAAUUUUCAUCUUUCUUUUGCUUUAUUCUUUCGCUAUUCAAAACUCCUCUUUCUUUCAAUUUGUUCACCGUCAUCGACUUUAUGCCUAUCCUUCGUGCUGAAGCUUGGUAGACUCGGAGAUAAGGACGUCUCCAAGGUUGAAAAACUAAGAGAUAUAGGCAUUCCGCUGUGAGUCGCAGGACAAAAGUUGGAUCGAAAAUACAGUAUAGAUAAUUAUUUUUAUCUAUAUUAUCUAUAUUAUAUUUUUCCAUAUUAUGAGCUUAAUUAAUUUGUUAGUUGGUACAAUGGUUCAGGGAUUGAUUCAGAUAAUUUUCUCUUUUCUUCUUUAGGUUCGAAAACGGUUAACUUUAUCUUCUUUUUUCUUAGUUUUGAGAUACUUAUAUUUUUUCCUUCUUUCUUGAUAUAAAAUAUACUUAUUUUAUUUUUCAAAAAUCUACAAUGACGUAACCAAGCUCUCCUAUGUUUUUUAAUAAAAUGCCUACUGGUGUUAACCUUUUAUAAGUUGCAUUUGGUUUGGUUAUAAGUAAGAACUACUUAUUACAUGGAUAGGUACAAGUUCAGAUAUAAGAAGAAAUUAGACCAAUUUUGCAUUUCGAUAAAAAUUUUGCUUCUACAAAUAAGAUAAAUAGUGUUUGGAUGGUUAGAUUGGAACAAAGGGAUUAAGAGUUACAAUUUUAAAUUAAAAUUAUCUUAUCUAAUUAAUUAACAUCAAAAUAUUACUUAAAAAUAAUAAAUUAAUAUUAAUAAUUAUAAAUUAAUAAAUAAAUUAAUUAAAUAAUAAUAAAUUUGUGUUUGGAUGAAAAUUGAGUUAUUCCUAGANNNNNNNNAAUUAUAAAUAAUUAUAAAUUAUAAAUUAAUUAAUUAAUAUUAAAAUUAUUAAUUAGUUAAUUAUUAAUAACUAUAAAUAAUAAAUUAUUAAUAAUUAAUAGUAAUAAUAAAUUAUUUAAUUAUAAUUAAUUAAUAGUAAAUAAAUAAUUAAUUAAUAAUAAAUUAAUUAAUUAAGAAUAAAUUAACGAUAAAUUAGUUAAUUAUAAAUUAGUAAAUUAAUUAAUUAUUAAUUAAUAAAUAAAUAAAUAAAGUAAUUUUUAAUAAUUAUAAUUUAAUUAAUAAUAAUAAUUAAUAAACUAAUAAAUUAUUUUAUAGCUUAAACAAUAAAUAUUGAUUUAAAUAUAUUAAUUAAAUUAAUUAAUUAUUUAAUACCCAAAUUAAAAUUAUUUUUAAACUUUAAUUAACCUUAUUCUCACCUAGAAACAAGUUUGUUCCAUAGGAAAGAUGAAACAACAGUUCCAGCCUUAUAUCGGCUUAUUCCAAAAAUCUAAGAACUACUAUUCUCGGGUACCAAACGCAGCGUUUGGGAACAAAAGAGGAAACAAGGGCUUAUUCCCCCUUUGUUUCCUAACCAAACGCUUCCCAAAUUGCUAUUUGGGAUUAAAGGGGGAUAACCUCUUAUCCGAUCCUCCAUUAACCCUAAACCAAACAGUGUUAAAAAACUAUAAAAAAAAAAGGGGAAAACUUCAAAAACCCCCCUUGUGGUUUCAAUUUUUUUCACUUUAGUACUCUGUGGUUUAAAAUGUAUCAAGUUAGUACCCUAUGGUUUCUCACUUUAUCACUUUAGUACCCUGUGGUUUAAAGUGUAUCAAGUUAGUACCCUGUGGUUUUGCACUUUAUCACUUUAGUAUCCUGUGGUUUUAAUUUUGUAUCAAGUUAGUACCCUGUGAUUUUUUAAAUCACAAGGUACUAAAGUGAUAAAGUGUGAAACCACAGGGUACUAAAGUGAUAAAGUGCAAAGCCACAGGGUACUAAUUUGAUACACUUUAAACCACAGGGUACUAAAGUGAUUAAGUGAGAAACCACGGGUAGUAACUUGAUACACUUUAAACCAUAGGGUACUAAAAUGAAAAAGUGUGAAACCACAGGAGGGUUUUUGAAGUUUUCCCAAAAAAAAAAGAAAAAAAAAAUUGUUACCCCAAAUUUGAUGGAGCCACUGGCCUUGAAUUCCCAGUCCAUCACAUAAUCGUAAUUCCCCAGCGCAGCCACCAUCCUCACAACCAAACUCACUUCCGGUCGCACCUCCCUUAUCUGCAAUUUCACCAUCAUCAUAAACAUAAAGCCCAAACCCAUAUAUCAACCUACCGAAAAAAAAUAAAAAGAGAAAUCUAAUUACUAAAAAUACACAUGCAGUUACUUUUAAUCAUAUUGCCUUCAUGCACUUACCACUCCUUCCGGUAACCCGAACUCCGUGUGCCGCCACGCAACGUCGCCGGCGUAGCGCUGGAACACGCAGAAAACGUUCUCAAUUUUGAUAGGCUUGCCAUCCUGCCCGGCGUAGUACCCGUCCAAGAAUGCCGCGCCGGCUGGGCAAUCAGCCUCGGGCACGAGAGGGGAGGCCCACAGCCCGAACCCGAACUCGCCCUCGUCGAAGAACGUCCGGUAGUACCACUCGUCGACCGGGUCCAUGUAUGGCACGAACAGCUCCGACACAAACCCUCGGUAGAGGACGCGGCGGCAUGCACACUUCUCACCAUCGUAGACGGACGCGAGGGAGAUGAUGGCACCGGCGCGGACGUCGUAGCUCAGGUGGAACUCCCAGUUAGCCCACCUACAUGAAUUAAAUUUUUAAUUGAGCUUCAAUGCUUUUAAAAGUACCGGAUUAUUCGCGCUUAUAAAUUUUCGGCUUUUGGAUAAAGAAAUGUGCGAUUAAAAUAAUACCGGUCCUUUAAAAUUGAGUGGAUAAUUUGUUGAAUAGUAUAAUUUAACAAGUAAAAAUGAUCAAAAAAAUUAUAUCUAAUUGUUAAAAAAUUACAAGCUUUAAAGAGUUUUGUGCUUUUAAAAAUAUCAUAACAGGACUCUAGAAAAUAAUAUUAUAGUAUUUUAUAUUCAAUAAUAUGCUGUUUGGAUCGCUCAAAAUCUUCAUACGAUAGUUUAUGCUACAAAUUCCCUCAAGCGGAAAAUAAGAGAAAAUAUAAUAGUUUUCUUGGUUGAUACCUUUUGCUUCGAGUUAUAAAUUUUUAUUUUUCUCCCCAGAUUUGUGCAUAAAUAUCUAAUAACUUGUUAGAAAAUGGAAAAAAAAAAAAAAAAAAAAACAAUUAGGCGUAGUAGCUAGCUUAGCUCCGUAGCUACCUGAUAAUGUUGCCGUUGAUCUCGAACCCUGUCCCCUCCGGCUGGCCGACCGAUCCCGACUUGGUGCGCCGCCGGUAGUCGGUCCCCUCCGCCUUGGGCACCGGCAGCUGCACCCGAUCCCUAUACUGGACGAUCUGCAUCUCAUCCAUAUCCACCACAAUCGUUAUUCCCUCCAGCGGCCUCGCGUAGAAGUUCGCGGCCUCCCCCGCCACGAAGCACGGCACCUUCAGCACCCUCUUCCCUUUCUUCCGCUCUCCGAACCAUCCCACAGAGAACGUGCUGCAUAUCACUUGGCUCAAAUCCACUCCUCUCUUCGCAACCGACUCGAUGAACGGCGUGUAGCUCAUCGGUAAGCUCACGGCCGCCGCCUGCUCCGCGAGAGUGAAGAUAGGGUACCCGAUGCCUCCGUAUGUAGAAUCGGAGAUGAUUUUGCUAUUGGUUAUAUCGACGUAGAUUUCGCGAGUCUCUUUCCCGGCGCGGGCGACGACGAAGGCUCGACGGGGCGGUCGCGGAGCGGCGGUGGGGUUGGAUAGGAAGGAGAGGAGCUGGGGCUUGUCGGGUUCGUCGAGGCCGACGUAGUGGAAGGAGAGGGGGCCGGAGGAGGAGCCGAGAGGGGACGCAAGGAUUACGCGGCGGAUGGCGGUGAUUUCGUCGGGGGUGAGGGAGUCGAGAGGGUGAGGAGAGGUUGAGAUUAAUGAGCACGAGGUAGAGAAGAGUGAGAGGAGGAGCGCCGAGAAGAUCAAGGGGAACAUUUUGGGGAUGAAUUAAAAGGUAACUCUGCUGCUGGAGUGAAGAGAAAAGCUGCACAUGCUUCUUAUGCCAAUGAUUCAAAAGCCGGCCGAUUCGGUACUUGCGACGGUGAUCCAAUCGAUAAAAUAGUUGGAUUUAAUAUUUGGAAAAACUUCAAUUAAAAAAAAUCAUGUGAUUUGACAUUUUUUCACUCCUAUACUUUAUACUUUAGAGUGUAUCGAGUUAAUACUAUGUGGUUCCGCACUUUCUUACUUUAAUACCCUGUGGUUUAAAGUGUAUCACGUUAGUGUUAUGUGGUUUCAUUUUUUUAUCAAGUUAGUACCCUGGGUUUUCAUUUUUUUUUUAUUAUUCAUUUUGGGAUAUUUUUUUUGUUAAAUCAGUGACACAGUUAUAGUUAAAGAGUACUAAAAUGAAUAUUCAAUAAAUCUAGAUAGGAUAUCUGAAAUUUUUUGUAUAUAAUUUAACGAAAUAUUAAAUCACAGGGUACUAAAAUGAGAAAAUGCGAAACCACAGAGUACUAACUUGAAACACUUUAAACCACAGGGUAUUAGAGUGAGAAAGUGCGAAAUCACAGAGUACUAACUUGAUACAUUUUAAAUCAUAGGGUACUAAAAUGAAAAUGUAUGAAACCACAUGGGGGUAAUUUGAAGUUUUCCCUUAAUAUUUUGAACCAUUUGAAUCAAUAACUGCGUCAUUGAAUCUGUAAAUCGAUCCGAUUUUACUUAAGCUGAACAGUUUUUUUUUUAUCAAAUUAUAUUAAAAAUUCAACAGUUUAAAAUUAACUUAACUAAUUUUAUUUUCUUAGCACGUAUAAAUUUUAUAAAAAAAAAGUAAAAUUAAAAACUUAUAUAUACUUAAUUUGGCCCAAAAAUUAAUAUUCUAUAAUUAAUUAUAAUAUUAGAAUAAUAAUAUUUAUUGGCCUUUUUGCAUAAAAAAUCCACUUAUUUUGGGCUUUUGCAAAAUCGGGUCACUUUCUUCGUUUUUGCAGAUUCGGUCCGCUUUUUCAGCAAACUGACCAAAAUACCUUCAUUACUUUUUCUCUUUCCUUUUUCUCUCUUCUCUUCGUUCUCUCGUUCUUUUUUUUUUCCGCCGAAAAAAAAGGCGAAGGCCGGAGCACCGCUAGGCGGGCUCUUCUUCUUCUUCUUCCUGCAGGAGCAAUUUUUUUUCUCUUUUUCUUUUUCUUCUUCUUCUUCCUCCUGCUGGAGCAUUUUUUUUUUCCCUCUUCUUCUUCUUCUUCUUCUUCUUUUUCUUCCUGUAAGAGCACGAAGCGCGCACAGCGACUUCCGGCCUCGCCACAGAGCCCGACCGCUCGACCCCGACGCCCCGCUCAAGCCGGGGAAGCUCUACUUCCUCGUCGACCUCCCCCGCGCCGACCCCGAGCCCGACCACCGCCGCGAGGGCGCAACCGGCGCCGGCGCCGCACGUUCCUACUAGUUGGGCCCGAAGGAACGGCCCGCGUCGACACGAGCGGCCGACGCUCGAAGCCCGACGUGCCGCUCAAGGCCGGAAGCCUUUACUUCCCUCCCACUGCGCCGACCCCGAGCCAACCACGCCGCGCGUCGAUUUCACCAUUACAACAUUUAAUGGUAAAUGGUGGCACCAUUAACCAUUAAUGGUGAAAUUACACCAUUACACAUCUAAUAGUGUAAUGGUGUAUGGUGUAAUGGUGUAAUUACACCAUUACAGCCAUACACCAUACACUAUUAAUGGUGUAAUGGUGUAAUUUCACCAUUAAUGUGUAAUGGUGCACCAUUACACCAUUUACGAAACCCGGCCAGCCGGGACAGCGAGCGCCCGCGCGGAGACCGCCGAGUCGACGUGCGGCCUCCUCCGCCGGCAACGGCGACGGAGAGGGAGGCGUGGCGUGCACCGGCCAACCUCAAAGCCUCGGCGACCCCGACCUCCCCCGGCUCCGCUCGACCCGACGCCCGCAGGCGCCGCGUGCACUGCCCGGCGUGCUGCGGCGCCAAUCGAGCUCGGUGGCAGAGCUCGGCUCGGGCGCCGUCGCCGCGGCAGAGCUUAGCCGCGGCGCGGCGACGGCGACGGCGCUGAGGCGUUCUCCGCCAGAGUGGCUCUGACGGCCGCGAUCGGCCCGAAGCUGCUGCGGAGCGCGGCGACGGCGGCGGGAAUUGGUGGGUUUGGUGGACCCGUGCUUGGGCGCGGAGUACGACGCGGAGGAGGCCGCGGAGAUGGUGAGCUGGCGGCGGCGGUGCAUUGCGGGAGCCCGAGCUUGAGGCCGUCCAUGGCGGAGGUCGUGCGGCCAUGGAAGGAGAAGGCGUGCAAGUCGAUCUCAGCCGUUCGUGCGAGAUCGAACGGCAAGUGUGAUUCGUAAUUUCUCUUUUUUUUUUGUGUUUUCACUUUGUGUGUGGUAUACUUAUGGAGUGGUGAUUAGAGGUAGAGUGAAAAGGAAAGGUGAAAUGAGAAACAUUGAAAUGUGUGAUAGCCAGAAAUUGUUUGUUGAGAAAUAAAAAAAAUAGUAUUGCAGAGUUUUGUAUUGAGUUGCCAGCAAUAUUUGAUAAUUUUGUUUCAAUGAUGAUUAUGAUGAUGAGGAGGGGAGGAGGAGAAAGAGGAUAUGAUGACGCCGACGCCGCGCCCACGCCGCCCCGCCGUGCCUCGUUCCUCUGCGCGGCAGUAGCGGCGGUGAAGCUCUGCGCGGUGACGGCACCCCAAGCCGAGCUCUGCUUGCGGAGCUCGGGGGCGCCGCGGCACGCACGGGGCCGGUGCACGGCGGCCGGCGCGGCGUCGGGGGUCGAGCGCAGGGCAGGGAGGUCGGGUCGGCCGAGCUCGAGGUCGGCCGUGCACGCCAAGCCCUCCCUCUCCGUCGCCCCCCGCCGCGAAGGAGCGCGCACGUCGACCCGGCGGUCUCGCCACGGGCGCUCGCUGUCCCGGCUGCCGCGGUUCUUCGUAAUGGUGUAAUGGUUACACCAUAAUGGUGAAAUUACACCAUUAAUGUGUAAUGGUUACACCAUUUAAUGGUGUAAUGGUGAAAUCGCGCGGCGGUGGUCGGGCUCGGGGUCGGCGCGGGGGAGGAAGUAGAGCUUCCCCGGCUUGAGCGGGGCGUCGGGGUCGAGCGGUCGGACUUGUAGUCCGACGCCCGGCCUUCCUCGGGCAACUAGUAGGAACGCGCGGCACCGGCGCCGGCGCCGGUUGCGCCCUCGCGGCGGUGGUCGGGCUCGAGGUUGGUGCGGGGGAGGUCGACGAGGAAGUAGAGCUUCCCCGGCUUGAGCGUCGGGGUCGAGCGGUCGGGCUCCGUGGCGAGGCCGGAAGUCGCCGUGCGUGCCCCGUGCUCUUACAGGAAGAAAAAGAAGAAGAAGAAGAAGAAGAGGGAAAAAAAAAAUGCUCCAGCAGGAGGAAGAAGAAGAAGAAGAAAAAAAAAAGAGAAAAAAAAAAUUGCUCCUGCAGGAAGAAGAAGAAGAGGAAGAAGAGCCCGCCUGGCGGUGCUCCGGCAUUCCCAUUUUUUUUCGGCGAAAAAAAAAAAAAGAACGAGAGAACGAAGAAGAGAGAGAAAGAGGAAAGAGAAAAAGUAAUAAAGGCAUUUUGGUCAGUUUGCUGAAAAAGCGGACCGAAUCUGCAAAAACGAAAAAGGUGACCCGAUUUUGCAAAAGCCCAAAAUAAGUGGAUUUUUUAUGCAAAAAGGCCAUAUAUAUUUGAUAUAAUAAAAUAUAAAAUAAAAGGUAAAUAUUUAUGACAUUAUAUUAUUAUUGAUUGAAUCAGUAAUUCUUUUUUUUUGAGAGAAAGGUAGCAUGCUACCGCUUCAUUUAUUAGGGACGUGAAUUUAGCAAAGGGGAGAAGCAACUAGGCUUCAAAAAAAAAAAAAAAAAAAAAAAAAAACACAACCUCUAAACACAGUAUUCCUCCCACGCACUAACGGUAACGCGAAGAUCCGUCAGCACCUGUCUCACCGUGCGCUUUGUGUCGUCAAAAAUUCUUCUGUUUCGUUCUAACCAGAUGGCCCGCCAGGUAGCUAGUAGGAUAACAGACUCCUUCCUUCCUACAGCUCCCCGUUUACCCCGACACUCAUUCCAAAGGCUGUCAAUAGACAAACAUGCCCUUAGGAAGGCCUUAUUAGGCAAUAAGCAUCCCAGCAGUGCACGUGUAACAUCACAAGUUAAGAAUAGAUGAUCAACAGUCUCAGCUUCAUCCAAACAUAGCGUGCAUGCGGCCACGCCCAACCAACCCCUCUUCGCAAGAUUGUCCUUAGUGAGCACUUUCUUCAGCAAUACCAGCCACCCGAAGAUUUUCACUUUAAGUGGGAUUUUACUUAUCCAAAUCAUCACAAACUUCAUCUCAGUUACACCGUCGUUCUGCAUAAAAUUGUACAAAGAUUUAACCGUAAAGACUCCCGAAUUACACCAUCUCCAUAUAGUUUCAUCCCCAAGUUCAGAUAGGUUGCAGGUGUUAACUAGAUCUUUCAAUGCCACGAUUGAGUCGUCGUCUGCGGUGGAGUAUGCCGUAAACCCUUGUAAAAUCCUUUGCCACCUCCAGCCGUCCGUGCCUAUAAACUUCCCAACUCGUUGGUUUUUCAUAACUACGGCAUUGAAUAUAUGCAGGAACAUCGAUUGAAGAGAUAUUUGUGCACACCUUCUGUCCCUCUAAAAGCUCACGGAAGUACCAUCCCCUAUGCUGUAGGAGACCCCGCACCAGAAAAUCUCUCUAGUUAACAUAACACUCUGCCACCACUGGGAGAACGGUUUGAAUGAGAUUCCUUCUCUCAAGGGUAUCCUUCUAGUAUAAUACGCCCCUCGUAUAAAAUUUCUCCAGAGAGUAUUCUUGUCUGAAAGGAACCUCCACCACCAUUUAGCUAGUAACGUCACGUUCAUUAUCUCUAAAUCCAGGACCCCAAGGCCGCCCUCCCUUUUGCUCCGACAAACCGUCCUCCACCGGACCAAACAUUGACCCCCGAAAAUGGUACUCCUUCCUUUCCAAAAGAAGGCUCUCCGAAGUGCUUCAAUACGUUUAACAACCAAUUUUGGUGCUCUGAACACAGAAAAGAAGUAGAGGGGUAGGUUCGAGAUUACCGAGUUGACCAGGACUAACCUGCCCCUAGUGGAAAGGAGUUUAGCCUGCCAUCCUUCUAUCCUUCGUUCAAUCCUGUUGAUAAUUGGCCACCAGUCUGACUUGCGUAGUCUUCUAUUCGUAAGUGGAAGUCCCAGAUAUCUUGUAGGGAAAACACCUACUUUGCACCCUAAAAUUUCAGCCAAUCUGUCGCCUUGUUGGAUGUUUGAACCUAAAUAGAACAGUUCCGACUUGCUCCUGUUAAUUUUCAACCCCGAGGCCCACUCGAAGAUAUGCCAGACGAAACGGAGAUUCCUCACUUGUCUUUUCUUGGCCUCAUAGAAGAAGAGGGUAUCAUCAGCGUACUGAAUAAAAGCUACUUUUGUAUCGUUAGUAGGCCCCACCCCUUUCAACAGGCCGCUGCUAACAGCUUUAUUCAUCACUCUUGCCAGACCUUCAGCAACUAAGAGAAAUAAAUAGGGCGAAAGGGGAUCGCCCUGGCGGAGGCCCCUCUUAGUUUUAAUCCAUUUGGUCGGGGUGCCGUUAAUAAGAACAGCGACUUUCGCCUUAUCUAUACAUUGUUCAAUCCAACUACACCAGAUAGGCGCAGCCCUGAGCCACUGCAAGAUCUUCAGAAGAAAGUCCCAACUCACUUUGUCGUAUGCUUUUUCGAAAUCAGCUUUUACACCGACAGUCUCUACACCCAUUUUUGAGCACCAGCUGACCACUUCACUUGCAGUUGCAAACGAAUCUAAGAUUGAUCGACCCUUAAGAAAGGCUGUUUGCGAAGGAGAAAUAACACCAUGGAGAAUGCCUUCCAGCCUAUUAGUGAGUACUUUCGAAAUAAUUUUUUGUACUCCAUUAAUCAGACUGAUAGGCCGAAAAUCAUUAGCUGUCUUCGCCCCUUCAUCUUCGGAAUUAGACAGAUGUACGAAUAGUCAAGGGGGGCGGAGUUUAGAGACCCCCCAAACAAAUCACUGAAAAUAUUGAACAAAUCCGCCUUGAGUGUUUCCCAGAACACCUGAAAAAAUCUAAGGUUGAAACCAUCCGGCCCCGGUGCUUUAUCUCCUCCAAGUUGGAAGGUCACUUUUCUUAUCUCUUCCAUGGAGAACGGUAUAGUGAGGUUGCUGUGAUUUAAUAACAGCCUAUCUAAGAACAGCUCGCUCCAAUCACCUGUUGACCGUCUAUCGCCUCCUCCAGGUGCAAACACUCAUUUAAAGUGCACAUAGAAAUAUUCCUUUAAGUCCUCCUUUCUUUGUAGUGUCUUGCUAUCGUCUUCUACUGUUCCGAUGGUGUUCUCCCUUCUUCUCCUAUUAGCCAUAGCGUGAAAGAAUUUCAUAUUUCCAUCACCCUCUUUGAGCCAGUGUUGCCUAGCGCGCGUCUUCCACAGUAUUUCUUCGUCAAGGAUCACUUUUGACAGUUGCCGCUUGAGCUGAUUCCGUCUCUCAACCCGUUGAGUCGUCAGGAGCUGUUGCUCUUCCAAGGUAUCGAGUUUUUGAAUCUCGUCUGAUAAAUCCUUCUUCGUUCUGUAAAUAUGGUAGAAAUGAACCUUGGAUCACUCUUUAAUUCUUUUUCGGCAAUGUCUAAGUUUAGCCGCAAAGGUAAGUGCACUUGGUCCGGUGAGUGUAAGUUCCUCCCACCAUACAGGCACCAAAGAACGAAAAUCCUCACGCGUUAACCAUACUUCCUCGAAUCUGAACAGCCGACGGGACCUCUUAUCCGCAGUAGAUAAAACGAUCGGAGCAUGGUCAUAUGUGAUUCGCGGCAAUGCAAUUGCCUUUGUAAGCGGGAAAGACUGAUCCCACUCAGUGGAAACAAGAAACCGAUCCAACUUGGCCAUGGUAGGACACUGCUGCAUGUUGGACCACGUGAAACUCUGAUUACCCAGUGGGAUGUCGAUAAGCUCCAUAGAAUUUAGUAAAUCUGUAAACAUCGUCAUAAGGCUAGUACUCUAGCUACUCCCUCUUCUCUCAUUUCGAUUUCUGGUAAGAUUGAAAUCACCACAUGAAAUCCACCUUCCACAGCAAUAGUUUUGAAUCUUCAUUUGGAGUUGGGCUACUAUACUCUUAUGAGUACGAUCGUUUUCGUACUUAUAUAUCGUUUCGAUGAUAGAGCAUCCGAAUCGACGAUCCAUACCGUUAAAUAUUAUCUAGAGUAUUUAAAAUUUUUAAACAUUAAAUUUCAUAACUUUUUUUACAUUAUUUAUUUUACGAUAAAAAAAUCUCAAAAUUAAUAAUUUGAAACGAUCGGUAUGAGAUUCUUGUUAGUUUAACAGUGUGAAAGUAUCGGUAUGAGUUGAAUUUUUAAUAAAAAAAAUUCUAUUCACUGUCUAGAUAAAAGAUCAAUAACUCCGAUUUCAAAUUGAAGAAUCCGAUUAUUUAUUUUUAAGAUCUCGUUCGAUUUUGAUCAUCCAUUUUAUACUCAUUUGAUGGACUUUGUUAUGAUUUUAAAAAAUUAUAAAAUUUAAUUUCUAAAAAUUUUAAAUAUUUUAGAUCAUAUUUAAUGAUAUGAAUUGAAUAUGAAAAAAUCUAUGCUAAUAAGAAUAUAAUAGACCUAUUUCUUUAUCGGAUCUAAUUUUUAAAACAUUAAUUUAUUCUCGUGGGCGCGUGUGCGGAGGAGCUAAAUAAAAUUCUCGAUAUUCGUCACUAGUGUGAUUAGUUGCACUGGACCAAUAAUGAGGUAUAGGUCGUAAUCCCACCCACGAACAUUCAAAGACCAACUCAUUUUUAAUUAUCUCCUCACUUUUUUCUUUUUAAUAUUAAAGAUAAAAAAACCGACGAUUCCUAAAACAAGUGUCAAAGGGUUUGAUGGUUGAUACCCAAAACCCAAGUUCGAAUCCUACUUGAUUCACAUUUUUAGCUAAGUUUAUUUCUAAAUAAAAUAAACGAAGCGGGUAGCGUGCUAUCUAUCUCUCUAAAAAAAUAUUAAAAAUAAAAAAAAGUACACAAAAUUCUAGAAUAUUUAGUUUACAAUCUAAAAAAAAAGGGAAUACGACAACUCUUUAUGUUUGAGUUAAUCUACACAUUUUAAAUUUUAAUAUUUAAAAAAAUUGUUGAUAGAACUAGCAUAUAAAAACUUGGAUUGUAGAUGAUCAAAUUGUCGGAUUAUAAUUUUUUUCAUAUUGUAAACCUAGCAUCAAUAGCACACAUAAAUUGCAAACCCUAAAAAAGCCCUCUCUGUGUUUGGCCGCAUGGUUUGAUUUUGAAUUCUCAUUAAUGCUCAUUAGCAUGGUAUAUACAGCGAGUAUUCAUCCUCAUUCAUGCUUAUUUGAAGGGUAAAUACAAUGCAUUCUUUUUGCUUCGUGUGGUGUCCUAUCAGGCACGGUGGUUCACCUUUUUCUUUUUCUUUCUCAUCCACAUUCUAGUCGUUCAUCUUUAUUUUAAUCAAUAUUUCUAAAAUAAUAGAUUAUUUAAAUCUAUAGAUUAUUAAAGCAACAUUUCUCUAGUUCAAUUAAACAUUUUAUUCGGACUCUCAAUCGACUAUGGAUAAUUUGCAUCAACCCAACCGAGUAAGGUGAUAGCUAAUAUUAUUAGUGAUACAAUAGGGCAUUAGAUUUUUUUUAUUAAUAUAUUUUUCUUUACACUGAUAUUUUACUUUAUUUAAAUUAAAAAUUAUUUGGUACAUUUUGGUAAAAUAACUUUUUAGUAAAUUAAUUAUUUUAUUUUUUUUAAAAUCAUAAUAACCAUAUAUGUUGGGAAAUAAACUUGGAGAUUUAAUUAUGAUUUGCCUUUUAACAUCUAGAGGACGUGCAGAUUGGCUGUUGGAUUAAGGGACUCUCAAUCACUAUGGAUUAUUCGCAUCAAAUGAUCAAGACCAUUUCUUGCAAACCACAUGAAAUUAACCAUAUGCCAACAAAAAUAGAAAAAAAUAAAUCAAUAACCAGUAUUCACAAACAACAAUAAUAACAAAGUACAACUAAAAACAAUUAAUGUAGUAAUUAAUUAUGUUUUUAUAUACUAUAACAACACGACCAAAAAAGAAUAAAUUCACAAUUAAAAAAAAGCAUAUCAUAUAGAUAUAAUAAAAAGAGAACUCUAAAGUGGCCACGCGUCACCUUCCCAGCGACCCCCCCUUCUCAGCUCUGCCCGAUCCCUUCGCUUGCGCCGAGCGGGGUCACGUGCCUCCCGCCCCGCCUCUCUCCUCUCGGUAGGCCCAGAUCCGCUGCCCUCCUCUCUCCGAUCCCUCUUCUCUCCGAUCCGAGCCCCACCCCCCCGUCGGGUGUUUGUCGGGCCCUACUCUGACCUCCUCCUGUGCUCGAUGUACGUGCAUUCCAUCGCUGCGCCAGGGUUGGCCAGAGUAUGGGAGUGCCCGCGGUAUCUCUUCUCUCUGCUCCCCAUGUGCAUCCCGAUUCUUCUAUCUCUGCAAUCCCUUCCUCUAAGCCCCGAUUCCGUCCCCGACGCCGCCGGAAGUGGGUGGGGGAUCUGCCCCUUUCUUUCCUCUGCCGUCGUCCUCCCUCCUCCUUCCGGAUCUCUCAACCUACAGUCUGCUCAGGAAAUGGCAAUAAAUAGUCCUAGCACUAUGCAGAGGGGGGCAGCUUGCUUGCUUGCCUAUGUUUGAAAGGUUUGUUGUAGUUGUUUGCCGGUAGCAUCUCCUCUAAUACUCUCUUUACUGUCUUUGUGGCUUCAGCCCUGUCCUGCCAUCAUUCUUCUCGGGCUGUGGCCCCUGCGGAGCCCUAUUGUCACGUCCCGGGGUCCCUUUUUAGUUUGGAAAAACAGCGGAAACGACUAAAUUUUUUUUUGAAACACCUGACCCCAGAGUAUGUCAGAUCCGCCACAAAUACAGGGAAUCCACUGUUCACACGGACAGAGUCUCCCCUGUAUUUGCACGGCGUCGCACAAGUACAAAAGUACAAAUAGUAUACAACCACAACUAAAUGAAUAUACAGAUAGCUAUACAUUCAUACAUUCACCAUUCACACCGUAGUUUUACAUUCAAUGUUUAAACAGAAAUCCACGAAAAAUCCUUUUGAAAACUGUUUCCUACACGGAAACCUUUAUUCGUUAAAAACGCUAUCACGAGGGGUAGAAAACCUUUUAUUUUACAAAAUCCAGAAAUCCACANUAGAACAGCUAAACCGGUCGAAACGAGCUAUUGGACUAAUAUGAACGGAGUCCGAUACGCGCCAGAAGCCAACUCUACUCCGUGGCUUCUCCGGAAAACCGGAGUUACUAUUCACUUAAGUGAAAACUAAAAGUCGCGUAUCUUCUCCAUUUUAGCUCAUUUUCGCCCGAAACUUGACGAGUACUUAUGUAAUUAAAUUACACACAUAAACAUCAUCAACAGAGAGUUUAGUAGCACUGUCGAAAAAAAUCUCAGUCCUUACACCUAUCCUCGCAUUGUUCUUUCCGGACUGUGCCCCGUGCGCGUUGUACUGCUGCCUCAUCACUUUUGGUGAGUGGGCAACAAUCUAUUUGCUUUGGGGUUCUGACUCCCAACGACCUUCUUCGGUCCUAUUAACCUUUUUCUGAAAACCGUGUUUCGACAAAAAAAAUAGGCUUUAUACUUAUCAUAUAAAAAAAACCCAAGAAAAAAAGCUGAACACUUUUGAUUAACUGGGCGGUGUUCUACACGGGCUAAAUUAUUGUGCUCUUUUCUUACCUCUGUUUAGUAGCUAUAACUUAUGUUGGGUUCAGGAUUUCUUUCCCGGCCUUCUUCGGGUCCCUCAGAAAUUUGAAUUUUGCUGUUUUCUAACAAUCACUUAUUAUCGAAGUGCGGUUCCAACAAAGGCAAAAAAAUUAGUCCUUUAUACUUGACACAUAUAAAAGUGGGGUAAAAACAAUUCUGAGGUCUUUUGCUUGGAAUUUUUUGGGUUCCUCCGAAACUGGAAUUUAGCUGUUUGAAAGUCCUAUGUACUUGAUGCAUAAGAAGAAAGGUAAAAAAUUUGCUGGGUGCUUUUGAUGGCUUGGACUGUGUGCUGCUCACUCUAAAGAAAAAAAAAAAAAUUGCUUAGGCCUUUUGAUGACUUGGACUGUGACUUCCGCAUUGUGCGUGGACUUCUUUGGGUCCCUCCAAAUCUUGACUUUAAACCCCCCCCUCACCCCCCUUACCGCCCCCCUUCCCCCUUCAAGCAUUCCGCAUAACCAGCUGGUAAAAUUGCUUAUAUACUUAUGGUUACGCACUUGGAAUGUCUCUGCUGUUGCUUUCGAUAAUUCGCAAAAACGUCCUCUCUGUUAUUUCUACUUAACAUGUCUUGUGGCUAGUUGGGCAAAUAUUUAUGUGACGUUCAUUUAUUUCUGUAAAAAAAAAAAUAACCCAUCUCAUUAAGUACGUAUAAUAAUUUGCCUUUGCAUUGACCCUAGUUUCUGUCUUGGCAGCAGUUAUUGAGAUAUCGGUAAUUCAGCUUUCGAACACUAUGUUACUUGGUGAAAUUGCCGGGAAGCUGGGCGUUGAAACGCCCGAGUGUAUUGUAACUAUAAGAAAACAGACAUUUUGUGGCAAAUCUAAUGGCCACAAAAUGAAACAAAUUCGCCACAAGAGGUCUUUUGUGGCGAAACUGAUUUCGCCACAACUUCGCCACAAUAGGACCGCUACAAAAAGUUUUAAUAGCCAAAAUAAAAUUCGCCAUAAAUUGUUCUAUGAAUUUGCAGCAAUAUAAUUCGCCUCAAUACUUCUAACAUCCGCCACAAUUAGUUAACAUAUGGCUACAGAUAUUGAUUAAAAUAAUAAUAAAAUAUCUAACAUUUUGUGAGAAAAUUAUUUUUGGCCACAAUCGACAUCGUAUAAUUUAUGGCAAAUUUUAAUACCAGCUACAAAUAGUAUUGAAUUUAUUGUGAGGAUAUUUAUUUGUUGGCCACACAUGAUGUCAGAUAUUUUGUGGCAAAAUGCAAUAUCGGCCACAAUUUUAGUUGCAACUAUAGUAGCGAAAUUAAGUACUUGGUUACAAAUAGUCUCGUACAAAUUAUGGCGAAAUAUGUAUGGCUACAAAUAAUAUUAUAUUUGUUAUAGCGAAAUUUAGUUUUGGCUAUAAAUAAUUUAGAAAAUUUUGUGGCCAAAUGUUGUUUCGAUCACUAUAAUCGUUUCAAAUUUUAUAUGUAUAUAAUAUAUUGUGGCUAUUUAUUAUUUUGCCACAGAUAACUUGUAGUAUUAUUUGUUAGUGGGCGUUUUAGCUCUAAAAAAAUAGAUUUUACAGAUUAUCACCGUAUCACACUGAAUACUACUUAACCAGAAUUUAAACAUAAUAUCAAUCACAAUAUUCAAGACAUAUACGCCAUAAUACAAAAAACGACUAUAUGUUCAAGUGCCACAAUCAAAAUAAGCUAACAGUUAAUUGUUCACAUCAAGUAUCAUUUGCACCAAACCACAUAAGUUUUUAAUCUCAUCAAAGUCACAUCUCAUAUUACUGACUUUUUAGAACAACGAAAAAAAAACUCUAAACUAAGAGCGAAAUGAAGUGCCUGAGAUGAUCCAACUUGAAAAUAUUGAGUAUCCAAGACUUAGUCCUAUAGAAUUAAAAAGAAUAGUGAUAAGAAUAGUGCAUAUUAUCUAUUUUUUUCAUCAAAAAGCAAAAGAUACCUAAGACAUACUAAAUUAAAUAUAGUAUAAGCUGAAAUAAUUGCAAUUGUAUAACUUACAUUUUCUGUUGACGCUAGCUGAAAAGUAUAGACAAUCCCAUUUGUGAAAGUUGUUCCAUCAUGCUACGCAUCUGACUAAAUAAUUUAAAGUUAAAUUAUGAAAUCAUAUAAUUUUUAUCACGUGCAUGUUAAUGUGCCAUGCAUUUUACAAAGUCAAUGAUCUUUAUUCCUCUAAAAUAUUACACAUAUUUAUUGACUUAUGAAUAAAAAUAAAAAUAAAAAUAAAAUAAUGAACUCCAAAAUUAGAAAGGGAAAUAAUUAAAUCAAACUUUUAUUAGUAGAAGGAGUGUCAAUCAAAUAAAAAAGGUUUAGGGAUCUUUUUCAAAAUAAGCUAAAGUUCAAAAGAUGUUUAUAUAUUUUGACCAAAAUUACACUUAAGCAUGAGGGCAGAUUUACAUGUAUACCUAUUAAGUAAAUCAUUAACUUUAAACUUUGACCAACAUAUAUAUAUAUAUUUUCACCAAUCUUUCUUUAUAAAAAGUAAAUCAUCAACAUGUAUACCAGAUUUACAUGUAUACAUUUUAACCAACCUUUCUCUAUAAAAAAUAAAUCACCAACUUUAAUCUUGACAAAAAAAAAUUUCUUUUUUUUUAAACUUUGUUUUCUUUUCUCUAACUGUUCAGUAAAUAGUGAGGAUAUAGAUCCUAUCUAAACUAAAUAAGUGCAUAGAUGAUUUUCAGAUGGUUUAAUCCACUAAUAUUUUAUCAUCCGCAAAAAAAACUCACAGAGUAAUAAAUAUUAUUAUAAAUCAUAUAACUCUAAAAAAAAAUUGAUUAUAUAACAUCUUGUUAAACUUAUUAUAAAUACAAAAAAAAUUAAAAAACUAAAAAUCUAAAACUCUUGUUCCUAAUAAAGAAUGGGUUAUGAAUAUAUAAAUAAAAUUGCCAUAUAUUUUAUAUAAGAGUAUAAUCAUUCAAAAUUACAUCUGCAUAUUUUCAAUUAAAAAAAAAAUUCAACACCCAUCUAGAUCUAGAGAGAGAGGGAGGGGGAUAGAAAGAGCAUACUUGCGAGUGUUAGUUGGAAUGAAGAAGACCACGUUGCUCCUGCCGUUCGCGGUGUUGAAUUUGAAGGUCUUGAUCACGAGGUUGUUGCUAAUGCAAAGCGACGCGACAGUUAGAUUUGCAGGAAAUGCAAAUAUGGAGACGGCGAAAAGUUGUGGAAGCAUCCGUAGGAGAUCUCACAAACCCCAUGUUGUUAUCAAUGUCCUCUACAUAGAAGAUGAAAUCUCGAAUAUAAUGUUGCCGGUAAAGCGAGGUGGCACAAGAAACGGAAUCGCCGGAGAAGCCGUGGAAGGUUAAUGGGGUGGACCGGUCGAAGUGGGAGGCAUGCUAUGAAAAAAAUUUAGGAUUUUUAAGUUUGUUUAAGGUGUGUUUCGUUUGAUAUAAAAAAGGGUGAAAACAAAAAUUCGGAUGAAAAAUAAUUUGCAGGUUCAAACUUAAAAAUUUUUUGUCGAUCCCUCUUUUAUUUUCCACGCGAGACCGACAAAAAACGAAAUGCGUAUAGCGAAAAUCGCGGGUCACACCUCAUCUCCUCACGAGCAUGUUUUCACGCGAUCCAUGAGGCCAUUUGGCCUCAUGGACCGCGUGAGAGGGAGGUCCAUGCUGGACCUCCGUGUGUGUGUGUGUGUAGGCCAUGGCUACUAUACUAUUAUGAGUAUUGGAGUCCUCGUACUCAUAAGUUGUUUUCGAUAAUAGAGCUUCCGAAUCGACGAUCCACUCCGUUAAAUAUGAUCUAGAGUAUUUGAAACUUCUAGAAAAUAAAUUUCGUAAAUUUUCGAAAUCAUAAUAAAGUCCAUCAAGUGGGCAUAAAAGGAACGGUCAAAAUCAAACGACGUUCUAAAAAAAGAUGAUUAGAUCCUUCAAUUCAAGAUCGGAGUUAUUGUUCUUUAUCUAUGUAGUGAAUAGAAUUUUCUAUCAAAAAUUCAACAAAUUCCGAUUCUUUAACACCGUUAAACUAGCAAGUAUCCCAUAUCGGCCGUUAAAAAUUGUCAAAUUUGUGACCUCUUGAUCGUAAGGUAAAUGAUGUCGAAAAAUUAUAAAAUUUGAUUUCUAGAAGUUUUAAAUGCUGUAAAUAACGUUUAACGGUGUGGAUCGUCGAUUCGAAAGCUCUAUCAUCAGAAACAACUUAUGAGUACGAGGGCGAUCGUACUCAUUAAUAGUAUAGUAGCCGGACCCUAUAUAUAUAUAUAUAUAUAAUUAUAUAUAUAUAUAUACUAUAUAUAUAUAUAUAUACACUUAUAAUUUACGCGGUCCACGAGGCCAUUUUGGCUUGGUGGACCGCGUGAGAGGGGAUCCAUGCUGGACGUCCCUCUCGUGUCUGUGUCUAUAUAUAUAUAUAUAUAUUAUAUAUAUAUAUAUAUAUAUAAUAUAUAUAUAUAUAUAUAUAUAUAUAUAUAAUUUGUUUAUUUUUUUAUUAUAAUAAUAUUUAUUUAUAUAUAAAGAUAAAUAUAAUAUUUUAUCUAUAAAUUUGUAAUAUUAUUAAUAUUUUGAAAUAUAUAAUAAUUAUAUAUUAUGUAAUAUAUUUAUUAUAAUUUAAAAUAUAUUUAAUCUAUAAAUAGAAAUCAUAAAAAUAAUAUAUAUAAGAUAAUAAUUAAUAUAUAUUAAUAAUAUAUAUAAUAAAAAAUAUAUUAAAUAAUUUUUUAUCUUUUUUUUUUCCUGCAAACCAAAUACUAAACAACUUAAAACUUUUUUUCCACUGAAAAUUUUUUUUCACCGACAUUUGUUUUGUCCACAGUUUUACGUGGAACCAAACGCACCCUUAGAAUUUUUUUCGUUUUGCUCCAGAGGAAAAGCUGAAAAGGCGCUAUAUGCCUUGCAGUACAAGAAAGUUUCAAUAAAAAAAUUAGGGCAACCUUUUGUGGCCAACUAUUAUUUGGCCAUACAUAUAGGAGUUAUUAGUGGAGAAAUUGUAAAACAACAACAAAUACAAAGCAAUUUUUAUGCACAUUUUUACCAUUGUAAUUUUUGUGGCCAAAUAUUAUAACUAGCCACAAAACACAUUUAGAAUUUAGGGUUAAUUUCACUAGUGCCCUUCAAAAGGUUGAUAAUAUCGUAAAUACCCUCACAAAAUCAGUAAUAUCAUAAUUACCUCACAAAAUAUAUAGAUUCUUUCAAAUCUACCCUUAUUUGUAAACUCUGUUAAAUUCAUGUGAGAUUAAAAACUAAUUACCAAUUUUGCCCUUCAUCCUUGAAAGGUAUUGGAGGUUAUAGUAAAAAAAUAUAUAUUCAACUUCCUCAACUAUAGACUAUUUUGAAAAAGAUCCCUAUUUUUUUUCCUUGUGUAAAAACCCCAUUCAAUUUUCAUUUUUUUGAUUUAAAUUAACAACGGUGAAUUUCUUGGAAUUUUCGAAGCCCUAGUCCGCGUGCUGCGGCUAUCUGUACGGCAAACGACGUUUUUGUAAAUAACUUUGCGCACACUCGUCGGAUUGUCGAACCAAGCGUUCCAACGCGUUUAAAAUACCCUCAAUCAGGUUUCUACAUAAUCAAAAUAGAUCAAAACCUCACUUGGGCAAAACCCCUCUUUGGGAUGCCCUAACAUGCCAUUUUUGCAUUUCCCCUAAAUUUAUCUUAUUACUAAGCAAAAGAAAGCUUAGAUACACAUGGAAAGCUCUCUAAUAAGGUUUCAAAGCUUUUAGAACCAUCCCUAGGGCAUCUACUUCGAGCCCUAGAGAUCCACCAUGAGAGGGGUCCAAGACAAUCAUGGAUUUCAUGGUUUCAAGGUCCCUAGAGGGUUUCCUCACUUGUAGAGAGAUCAAAACCCAAAAAUCUAAGGUCUAAACCCAAACUCUAAACUCAUUUUUGCAUUAAGGACUCACCUUUGCCCAAGCUCCACCCAGGCCUUCUUGUUGGAGAGCUUCUAGAGCCACCCAAGCCUCCAAAUCCACCUUCUCCAAGCUUUUCUCCUUCUUCUCCAAGCCCUAGCCCAAGCUUUUAGAGAGGGAAAGAGAGGAAAUGAGAGGGAGAGGAGAGGAGAUGGGUUUUGCUGUGAAAAUAGGAGAGGAAUAGGCCAAAUAACAUGUUGUGACAUUUGCAAUUAGGCCCCUCAACUUAAUUCUGUAGCAGACUUCACCCCUGCUGCCAGAGCCCCUGUGUACCGGUACACGGAUUUGUGUACCGGUACGGGCCUGCGCAGAAGCCCAAACCCGAGAGCAAGGUCGCUCGGUUUCGCAGCUUGUUUACCGAUACACGGGUCCCGUACCGGUACACCUUCGCGCAGACUCAAACCCGAGAGCAACCUGUGCUCGGGUCGCUUGCUGUACCGGUACAGCCAUCAGGCGUACCGGUACACAAUGCUCCAAAUUUCAGGUUUGGCUCCGAUUCGACUCUAUUUCGCGCCGAUCGAUGCCAAACUCAUACUAAUACCUCUUUAACUCAUUUUUACCCUUCCAAACGUGUUGGAAUGCAAAAUGGUACUCACCAAUACAUUUCUCUCGACACUUUAACCAAUUUGAUUAAAGUUCGAUUAUCGUUUUCGGGUUUCGAUACGUUACAUUCUCCACCCCUUAUAUUUAGUUUCGUCCGCGAAACUAGCUUAAUUUAACUUAAAUUCAUACCUCAGUUCAGCUCGUUGAAGAGAUGAGGGUAAUGUUCCCUCAUUGCGCUCUCGAGCUCCCAAGUAGCUUCCCGGUCGUCGUGAUUACACCAACGAAUUUUAACAUACGGAAUCUCGCGAUUUCGUAGCUUUCUUACUUCUCGAUCGAUAAUGUAUGCCGGGAACUCCUCAUAAGUCAUAUCCUCUUGAAUCUUGGACGGUUCAAACGAGAGGACAUGAUCGGGGUCGUGAACAUACUUGCGGAGAUUUGACACGUGAAACACAUCGUGCACUCCCGCAAGCCUUGGUGGUAACGCUACCUUGUACGCCACCGCGCCGACCCGUUCUAGUAUCUCGAACGGUCCAAGGUACCGGGGACUUAGCUUCCCACGGAUUCCGAACCGCUUAAUCCCUCGCAUUGGCGAAAUCUUUAGAAACACGUGGUCUCCAACGGCAAAUUCUAUAUCUUUCCUCCGCUUGUCGGCAUAGCUCUUUUGCCGGGAUUGCGCCGUAGCAAGCCUUUGGCGAACAAGACGGACUUUCUCCUCCGCCUCCCGCACUACAUCGGGGCCAAGAGCCGCCCUUUCGCCCACAUCGCUCCAAUGAAUUGGAGAGCGACACUUCUUUCCAUAAAGGGCCUCGAAUGGCGCCAUCGCGAUACUUUCUUGAUAACUGUUAUUGUACGCGAACUCCGCCAUCGGAAGAUGAUCAUGCCAACUGCCCUUAUAAUCCAGUACACACGCUCGAAGCAUAUCCUCAAGUAUUUGUAUUGUCCUCUCCGAUUGACCAUCGCUUUGAGGAUGAAAUGUCGUGCUAAAGUCGAGCCGCGUGCCCAAAGCCUCCUGUAGGCUCCUCCAAAAGUAAGAGGUGAACCUCGGGUCCCGAUCCGACACAAUAGACACGGGCACCUCAUGAAGUCUCACAAUCUCGUCAAUAUACACCUGAGCCAACUUGUCCCCCGACCAUAUAAUAUGAAUCGGUAGGAAAUGCGCCGACUUCGUCAACCGGUCCACGACAACCCAAAUUGCAUCGUGCCCACCUUGAGAUCGCGGCAACCCGGUCACGAAGUCCAUUGCAAUAUUUUCCCAUUUCCAAACGGGUAUAGGUAAACUUUGCAAUUUUUCCGCCAGAAACCGUUGCUCCGCUUUUACUUGUUGGCAAGUAAGACUUUGCGCAACAAAUUCCCCAAUGUCUUUCUUCAUGCCCGGCCACCAAUAGUGCAACAUCAAAUCUUGAUACAUUUUGGUGCCGCCGGGGUGUAUACUAUACGGGGAUUGGUGCGCCUCUUGCAUGAUCGCCCUACGGAUAUCCUUAUUCUUAGGCACACACCAACAAUUUCUAAACCGGAGUGCGCCGUCGGUCCCAAUGCCAAAAUCAUCGGCACUACCGCUCUCAACUUCCUCGCGCACCUUUUGGAGAUAUUCAUCUGAAGUUUGCAACUCUUUAAUCUUCUCCAAUAGCGUCGGUUGAACAACCAACGCCGCAAGUGUCGCCUGUACUCCCGGUGCUACCACCUCCAAUCCAAGCCGUUGCAUCUCCUUUUGUAGUAAUGGCUGGGGUGUAAUUGCCGAAGCCAGAUUUUCCCCCGAUUUUCUACUAAGUGCAUCGGCCACGACAUUCGCCUUCCCAGGGUGGUAUAGAAUAGUAACAUCAUAGUCUUUCAACAAUUCUAACCACCGCCGCUGUCGCAUUUUCAACUCCUUUUGGGUGAACAGGUACUUAAGGCUUUUGUGAUCCGUAUAGAUCUCACAGUGUUCCCCGUACAAAUAAUGCCUCCAUAGCUUUAGCGCAAAAAUAACCGCCGCUAGCUCAAGAUCAUGAAUAGGGUAGUUCUUCUCAUAAGUCUUCAAUUGGCGUGAAGCAUAAGCUAUAACCCGCCCAUUUUGCAUCAAGACACACCCGAGUCCCACGUAGGAAGCAUCACUAUAUACCACAAAGGUCUCCCCCGGCGUCGGUAGAGCAAGCACCGGGGUCGUGGUCAACCUUUCCUUUAACUCCUCGAAGCUUCGCUCGCAUUCGGGGCUCCAAACAUACUUCACCCCUUUGUGUGUAAGGCGCGUUAGUGGAGUAGUUAUUUUAGCAAACCCCUCCACGAACCGCCGGUAGUAGCCCGCUAGCCCUAGGAAACUGCGGACCUCCGAUACACUCGUCGGGCGAGGCCAAUCCUUAAUUGCCUCCACUUUCCCCGGAUCCACCGAGAUACCAUCGCCCGAAAUUACAUGACCAAGGAAAGUGACCUCCGAUAGCCAAAAGUCGCAUUUCUUCAACUUGGCAUAUAACUUCUCUUUUCGGAGUAUUUCCAACACGGUCCUCAAGUGCUCCUCGUGUUCUUCCUCGGUCCGAGAAUAUACCAAUACGUCGUCAAUGAAUACCACGACGCACCGGUCCAAUAGCGGACGGAAGACUCUAUUCAUUAAGUCCAUGAACGCCGCCGGGGCGUUAGUAAGCCCAAACGGCAUCACCGUGAACUCAUAAUGGCCAUACCGCGUACGGUACGCCGUCUUGUGCACAUCCUCGGGCCGUAUCUUCAACUGAUGAUACCCCGAUUGAAGAUCAAUCUUUGAAUAUACCCUUGACCCCUGCAGCUGAUCGAAUAAAUCAUCAAUCCUCGGCAGCGGGUACUUAUUCUUCACGGUGACCUUGUUCAACUCGCGGUAAUCCACGCAGAGUCGAAGUGUGCCGUCCUUCUUCUUAACGAAUAGCACCGGAGCUCCCCAAGGUGACACACUCGGCCUCACAAAGCCUUUGUCGAGCAAGUCUUGCAACUGUGCCUUAAGCUCUUUUAGCUCCGCCGGUGCCAUUCUAUACGGGGCCUUCGAGAUUGGCGCCGCCCCCGGGACCAAGUCAAUAACGAACUCGAUCUCCCGGUCCGGGGGCAAUCCCGGUAACUCCGCCGGAAAUACAUCCGGAAAUUCGCAUACCACCCGAAUGCCUCCCAAAUCCGGGUGUUCUCUUUGGGCUUCUACCAUUGUCGCCAAAUAGGCUACACAACCACCUUUUAUCAUUUUCCUCGCCCGUGCCGCCGACACGGUCGCCGCGAAAAGUGAGCUUUUAGCUGCCUGAUACACUAGCUCCUCUCGGUUAGGCUCACGAAACGUGAUCACCUUACUCUCACAAUCUAUCACGGCAUAAUAUUUGGAGAGCCAGUUGGUCCCCAAGAUCACGUCGAAACCCCACAUCCGGUUCAACACCAAUAGAUCAAUCGGCAUGACCCAGUCACCUAUCUGCACUGGGCACGCUACACAUUCUUCGUGAACAUGAAAAGUAUGCUUGACCGAAUUUACCGUCCAAUAGUCAUAAUGGUGCACGAUCUUAAUGCUAUGAGUCCUAACGAAUGAUGCAUCUAUGAAUGAAUGCGAUGCACCUGUGUCGAAUAAAGCUCUAGCUCUGGUGCCUCUGAUCGAGAUAAUACCUGCCACGAUGUCGUCGGGGACAUGAAUCGGCUCCUUCUGCACCUGAGUGGCAAAAACCCGCCCACUCGGUGCCCUCGAUGCCUCCGGCUGACGCGAAGAAGAUGAACGUCCAGCCGACAUAGCCAGUGGUAACCCCGCCUGCUGUCUCGGGGUAUAAGGAACUGAUGCCGAGGUAGGUGCAGAAGAACCCCAGCUUUGGCACUCCCGCGACAUGUGCCCGGGCUGGCCGCACCUGAAGCACUUUCCCUCGCGCUGCGGGCAUACCGGUGGCCGAUGAUCGCCACUGCAAAUGACACAACGGAACGGCCUACCACUCCUCGACUGCUGUCGGGGAUACUGAGGGGGUUUCUUUGCAUUUGACCGGCCCCCGGCACCGCUCACCGCCCGCUUCUUCCCCUUGUCCCUUAACUCCGCCAUUGCCUCGCGCUCCUCUCGCACGUGGGCGCUGCCGUGCUCCGCCCACAGGGCUCGAUCAAAGACCUCCGCAAAGGUCGUCAACUUGAGGAUUUGCACCCUGUCACGCCCCGGGACCGAUACCAAUUUGGCUCGACCCGAGCACGUCAAACAGACGCCGAACGGAUAGGGUUUCCCCUAUCCGUCCAAGGCUCAUCACGCGUACAAAUUCAAACAAGAAAUGCACUAGCGGAAACAUACACAAACGGCUUACACGAGGAUAAGCAAUAGCCAUUAGUGAAAGAAAGGAAAACUAAACAUUUACAAGUACUAUGAUUCAUUUUUGAUCAUAUACAUUGCAUCCAUUUACAUUCAUGAUUCUUUAUACUUCAUUACACAUUGCAUCAUUUCAUUCUUACAUCACACUUACCUCAAAAUAAGCUUUACAUUCCUUUCUCAACAUCACUAGUCAUCAAAUACAAAAGAUGAACAUAGGGUACUCUUCCAACAAAAUAUAAACCCAACUUUGGUGGCCUCUGACUAAGGCACGAUACCUUUACCUCGGUCGCUCGCCGGCUCGCUCGGUCCCGGCUCUGUGGAAAUAGUGGGGUGAGAACUACAACAAAGUUCCCAGUGGGCUCGGCCUCAACAUCACCGACUUUCCCUCUAGGACUAACUUAGGCAUAAUAGAAAGGAUAAGCUGAAAUAUAGUAACCAAUCUACAACAUGAUGCUAGUAUGCCUGAACAAUAAGCAAGGAAUAUGCUCAACAUUAACAUAUGCAGAUUAUGCAAGUUCUUUGUUCUUUUCACGUUACUCUUUGUUUUUUGUUCUUUGCUCUUUGUUCUUUAUUCUUUAUUCUUUAAUCUCAAGGCUAACCCGGGGGUUUCGCCACAUUAACUUGCUUCACAUUAAGUCCAUCAUCGCAGGAACUCACCCGCUAGGACCGUCCUUCGGGUUUACUCCAACCCGUGAUGCAUAACUCCGGAGCGCAUCGCCCGAGGGGGAGCGACCGCCCUCGAGCACGGAACUCAUAGCAAGUAUGAUCAUAUCCUUAACUCAAAGGAUUUAUAAGUUCAAUCUUGACUUUACACUAGCUCUAGUGUUCUUUCAUCACUUUUUGUUGCCACUCUAGCAAUCAUUGUUCUUUACCAUUCAUUACUCUUGCUAACUCUAGCAAUUAUAUUCUUUACAUUCUUUACUUUUGGCUACCUCUAGCACUUCAUGUUCUUUACUCCCCACAUUACUUUAACUUUAAACAUUGUCAUUUUCAUCAUUCUUUACAUUACAUUGGUUCUUUACCUCACACUAUCUCUAGUGUCAUUUCACUUUAACUUUAUCGAAUGCCACUCGAUCUAUGUCAUUGUGUCACUCUGUUCUUUUGCUCACUUUGGGUGCUCACUUUUCUCUCAUGCAUACACAUAGGGUUUUCGACGUUUACAUAGUUCUCAUUCAUCAUAUUAUGCAAGUUGUACUCACAAUCAUGCAUCAUUACAUUUUCAUCAUUACUUUACCCUAAAAUGCAUGCAACAAUAUAUAUACACAUGCUCAAAUGAAUGACACAUUAGGCAUAGAGAGAAGUUCAAUGAGUUUGAGAAGCACCACCCACCUCGUAGGCUUUCAAAGGUGCUCCGACGAUUUUCUUGAGAUUUAUAGGCUCCUCGUUCUUCACCUGCGGCAAAACGAAGCCAACUUAGGCCAUUUUGCCCAUAUCUUUCUAUAAACUUUUCGUAACGUUAAUCCGAGCGCACCAACGCGUCGGAAAUACCCCCAAUUAGGUUUCUAGAGGGUCAAUUGCACUUAGAAAUCCCCAUGAGCAAAAGCCCCAAUUUGGUGCCCUAGCUCCAAUACAUAUAUCAAACCUAGGGUUUGAUCUCAAUGGGAAGCAAAAAGAGCUUCAUUAUCCUCUAAAAAGUCCAUUAGAACCAUCUUUAAACAAAUCAAAACCCUACUUAGGGUUUCACCAUGAGAGGUGAUGAAGCUCACGUCAAGCUUCACCAUUUUCAUGGUCUUGAUCUCUAAAAAAGCAAAAGAAAAGCUUCCAAUACUCUAAAAGUUCUAUAAAAACCAUCCUUGCUCUAAUCCAAACCCUAGUUUGGGAUUUAACAUGAGAAGGGGCAAAGCUUACCUCUAAGCUUGCUCCUUCCUUGCUCUAGAGAGGAAGAAGAUGAAGUUGCUUCACUCCAAUAGCUUCUUCUCCACUUUCUUCUUCUUCUUCUUCCUUCCUUUCCUUUGUUUUCUUCUCCUUCUUUGUCUUCUAGAGAGAGAGAGAGAGAGGGAUGAGUUUGGGUGUGAGGAAAUGAGAGGGAGAGGCUCUCUCAGCCCUAAACAUGACCCACAUAAUGCAUUUUUACAGAUAAGUCCCUCAGCUUUUAUCUCAUUACACUGCCCGAACUGGGCAGUUCGCGCAGCCGGGGGCCGGUCUCUCCUUCAGGGACCGGUUCCCGAAGGCUCUCCCCGCGCAGCCAGAGCUGUUGCGGGCAGGGCAACCGGUCUCUCUUUGGGGGACCAGUCUCUCGGGGACCGGUCUCUCAGGCAGGGACCGGUUCCCGAGAGCUGGUUUCUCAAGACUUAGCCGAUUUUUCGGCUGUUUCAAUUCAUACGCGUUCGGGGACCGGUCUCUCCCACCAGGGACCGGUCCCCGAGAGCUCAAAACUGCUGAAUGCAGAUUUUGAUUCUAUAGCUCUCGAAAACCUCCCGUAACUCGCUUUUAAUCAUUUCAACACCUUCGGACUUUCCGAAGUGUACCAUCCUCACUUUGGUCAAUUUGACUAAAGUUCGACAUCUUUAUUUUCCGAAUUUUCGGUAUAUUACAUUCUCCACCCCUUAAAAUAAUUUCGUCCGUGAAAUUACGCAUACCUUAACUCGGCGACUUAAACAUAUGCGGAUAUUCUCGCCGUAUGGUUUCUUUGAGCUCUCAAGUGGCUUCUCGCGCCGCGUGGUUGCUCCACUGGACUUUCACAUAAGGGAUUUUGCGACUCUGCAACUUCCUAACUUCUCGAUCGAGGAUGCACACCGGGUACUCCUCGUAUGACAUAUCCUUACGCAACUCCACGGGCUCGUACUCCAAUACAUGUGUCGAGUUGCGAAUAUACUUUCGGAGAUUGGACACAUGAAACACGUUGUGAACUCCCGCGAGUCUCGGUGGUAGUGCGAGCUUGUAUGCCACCGCACCCACACGUUCUAAUACCUCAAACGGUCCGACAUAACGGGGACUUAGCUUCCCACGGACCCCGAAUUGUUUGACUCCUCGCAUUGGCGAUACUCUCAAAAAUACACGGUCUCCAACCGCGAACUCUAAAUCCUUUCUCCUCUUGUCGGCAUAACUCUUUUGCUGAGAUUGCGCCGUCGCCAACCAUUGACGGGCAAGGCGAACUUUUUCUUCCGCCUCCCGCACCACAUCUGGGCCAAGAGUCGCCCUCUCGCCCACAUCGCUCCAAUGGAUAGGGGAACGACACUUGCGUCCAUAUAGUGCCUCAAAGGGCGCCAUUGCUAUACUUUCUUGAUAACUAUUAUUAUAGGCGAACUCCGCCAUCGGCAAGAAAUCAUGCCAUCCUCCUUUAUAAUCUAGUACUGUCACGCCCCGGGGUUCCUUUUAGUUUAAAACAUAGCGAAAAAGCGUCUGAAUUUUUUUUUUUUUUUCGAAAAGCCUGAUCCCAAAGUAUGCCAGAUCCGCCACAAACACAGGGAAUCCACUGUUCAUACGGACAGUCUCCCCUGUAUUUGCACGGCGUCGCACAAGUAUAAGAAGUCACCCAGGCACAACCACAACAAAUGAACAUACAAAUAACCAACCGUUAUAUAUAUAUUCAUACACUAUUCACCACAGAUUCACAUUUAUGCAUUCAACAUUUAAACAUAAAUCCACAUCUAUCAGUAAAAAUGUUUCUAACCACAGAAACAGAUUUUGAAAUACUACGAUGCAAAAACCACAUAAAACCUUUGAAAACUGUUUCCUACACGGAAACCUUUAUUCUUUAAAAACGCUACCACGAGGGGUAGAAAACCUUUCAUUUCAUAAAAUCCAGAAAUCCAUUUAUUACAUUCACGAAAAUCCAUAUUUUCGAAUGUAAACAAACACUGAACCACAUGAACCAACUAAACUAUACAUCAACCGAAGUAAGAAGGGUAAGAAACUAAACCGAAAUAACCUGGGUCGGAAGCUCUAUCGACCGCUACACGCGUACCUCACGCCUCGUCUCAACCCUCACCGCCNNNNNNNNNNNNNNNNNNNNNNNNNNNNNNNNNNNNNNNNNNNNNNNNNNNNNNNNNNNNNNNNNNNNNNNNNNNNNNNNNNNNNNNNNNNNNNNNNNNNNNNNNNNNNNNNNNNNNNNNNNNNNNNNNNNNNNNNNNNNNNNNNNNNNNNNNNNNNNNNNNNNNNNNNNNNNNNNNNNNNNNNNNNNNNNNNNNNNNNNNNNNNNNNNNNNNNNNNNNNNNNNNNNNNNNNNNNNNNNNNNNNNNNNNNNNNNNNNNNNNNNNNNNNNNNNNNNNNNNNNNNNNNNNNNNNNNNNNNNNNNNNNNNNNNNNNNNNNNNNNNNNNNNNNNNNNNNNNNNNNNNNNNNNNNNNNNNNNNNNNNNNNNNNNNNNNNNNNNNNNNNNNNNNNNNNNNNNNNNNNNNNNNNNNNNNNNNNNNNNNNNNNNNNNNNNNNNNNNNNNNNNNNNNNNNNNNNNNNNNNNNNNNNNNNNNNNNNNNNNNNNNNNNNNNNNNNNNNNNNNNNNNNNNNNNNNNNNNNNNNNNNNNNNNNNNNNNNNNNNNNNNNNNNNNNNNNNNNNNNNNNNNNNNNNNNNNNNNNNNNNNNNNNNNNNNNNNNNNNNNNNNNNNNNNNNNNNNNNNNNNNNNNNNNNNNNNNNNNNNNNNNNNNNNNNNNNNNNNNNNNNNNNNNNNNNNNNNNNNNNNNNNNNNNNNNNNNNNNNNNNNNNNNNNNNNNNNNNNNNNNNNNNNNNNNNNNNNNNNNNNNNNNNNNNNNNNNNNNNNNNNNNNNNNNNNNNNNNNNNNNNNNNNNNNNNNNNNNNNNNNNNNNNNNNNNNNNNNNNNNNNNNNNNNNNNNNNNNNNNNNNNNNNNNNNNNNNNNNNNNNNNNNNNNNNNNNNNNNNNNNNNNNNNNNNNNNNNNNNNNNNNNNNNNNNNNNNNNNNNNNNNNNNNNNNNNNNNNNNNNNNNNNNNNNNNNNNNNNNNNNNNNNNNNNNNNNNNNNNNNNNNNNNNNNNNNNNNNNNNNNNNNNNNNNNNNNNNNNNNNNNNNNNNNNNNNNNNNNNNNNNNNNNNNNNNNNNNNNNNNNNNNNNNNNNNNNNNNNNNNNNNNNNNNNNNNNNNNNNNNNNNNNNNNNNNNNNNNNNNNNNNNNNNNNNNNNNNNNNNNNNNNNNNNNNNNNNNNNNNNNNNNNNNNNNNNNNNNNNNNNNNNNNNNNNNNNNNNNNNNNNNNNNNNNNNNNNNNNNNNNNNNNNNNNNNNNNNNNNNNNNNNNNNNNNNNNNNNNNNNNNNNNNNNNNNNNNNNNNNNNNNNNNNNNNNNNNNNNNNNNNNNNNNNNNNNNNNNNNNNNNNNNNNNNNNNNNNNNNNNNNNNNNNNNNNNNNNNNNNNNNNNNNNNNNNNNNNNNNNNNNNNNNNNNNNNNNNNNNNNNNNNNNNNNNNNNNNNNNNNNNNNNNNNNNNNNNNNNNNNNNNNNNNNNNNNNNNNNNNNNNNNNNNNNNNNNNNNNNNNNNNNNNNNNNNNNNNNNNNNNNNNNNNNNNNNNNNNNNNNNNNNNNNNNNNNNNNNNNNNNNNNNNNNNNNNNNNNNNNNNNNNNNNNNNNNNNNNNNNNNNNNNNNNNNNNNNNNNNNNNNNNNNNNNNNNNNNNNNNNNNNNNNNNNNNNNNNNNNNNNNNNNNNNNNNNNNNNNNNNNNNNNNNNNNNNNNNNNNNNNNNNNNNNNNNNNNNNNNNNNNNNNNNNNNNNNNNNNNNNNNNNNNNNNNNNNNNNNNNNNNNNNNNNNNNNNNNNNNNNNNNNNNNNNNNNNNNNNNNNNNNNNNNNNNNNNNNNNNNNNNNNNNNNNNNNNNNNNNNNNNNNNNNNNNNNNNNNNNNNNNNNNNNNNNNNNNNNNNNNNNNNNNNNNNNNNNNNNNNNNNNNNNNNNNNNNNNNNNNNNNNNNNNNNNNNNNNNNNNNNNNNNNNNNNNNNNNNNNNNNNNNNNNNNNNNNNNNNNNNNNNNNNNNNNNNNNNNNNNNNNNNNNNNNNNNNNNNNNNNNNNNNNNNNNNNNNNNNNNNNNNNNNNNNNNNNNNNNNNNNNNNNNNNNNNNNNNNNNNNNNNNNNNNNNNNNNNNNNNNNNNNNNNNNNNNNNNNNNNNNNNNNNNNNNNNNNNNNNNNNNNNNNNNNNNNNNNNNNNNNNNNNNNNNNNNNNNNNNNNNNNNNNNNNNNNNNNNNNNNNNNNNNNNNNNNNNNNNNNNNNNNNNNNNNNNNNNNNNNNNNNNNNNNNNNNNNNNNNNNNNNNNNNNNNNNNNNNNNNNNNNNNNNNNNNNNNNNNNNNNNNNNNNNNNNNNNNNNNNNNNNNNNNNNNNNNNNNNNNNNNNNNNNNNNNNNNNNNNNNNNNNNNNNNNNNNNNNNNNNNNNNNNNNNNNNNNNNNNNNNNNNNNNNNNNNNNNNNNNNNNNNNNNNNNNNNNNNNNNNNNNNNNNNNNNNNNNNNNNNNNNNNNNNNNNNNNNNNNNNNNNNNNNNNNNNNNNNNNNNNNNNNNNNNNNNNNNNNNNNNNNNNNNNNNNNNNNNNNNNNNNNNNNNNNNNNNNNNNNNNNNNNNNNNNUCUCCCGACCACGUAGUAUGUAUCGGCAAGAAGUGUGCCGACUUUGUCAAUCGAUCCACUAUCACCCAUAUCGCAUCGUGUCCGCCUUGUGAUCGAGGCAAACCGGUAACAAAGUCCAUCGCUAUAUCUUCCCAUUUCCAAACGGGUAUUGGUAGACUUUGUAGCUUUCCCGCCGGAAAUCGGCACUCAGCUUUUACCUAUUGGCACGUUAGACAUUGCGCCACAAACUCCCCGAUAUCUCUUUUCAUACCCAGCCACCAAUAAUGCUCUUUCAAGUCUUUAUACAUUUUAGUGCCGCCGGGGUGUAUACUAUAGGGAGAUUGGUGCGCUUCUUGCAUGAUCGCCCUUCGUAACUCAUCAUCCUUGGGCACGCACCAACGAUUUCGAAAUCGAAGUGCGCCAUCAGCUCCAAUGCCGAAGUCUUCGGCAUUGCCAUUCUCAACUUCCCCUCGUAUCUUUUGAAGAUAAGGAUCCGAGGCUUGAAGAUCCUUGAUUCUUUCCAAUAGGGUCGGUUGCACAAUUAAUGCGGCAAAUGUAGCCGGCACUCCCGGCGCUACCACUUCCAAUCCGAAUCGCUGCAUCUCCUUUUGCAAUAGCGAUUGAGGCGUAAUUGACGUCGCUAAGUUCUCCGCCGAUUUUCUACUCAAGACAUCGGCCACAACAUUGGCUUUUCCCGGGUGGUAUAAAAUGGUGACAUCAUAGUCCUUUAGCAACUCUAACCACCGCCGCUGUCGCAUGUUCAACUCUUUCUCGGUGAACAAGUACUUUAGACUCUUGUGAUCGGUGUAUACCUCAUAAUGUUCACCAUACAAGUAAUGCCUUCAAAGCUUUAGCGCGAAGAUCACCGCGGCUAACUCGAGGUCGUGAAUCAGGUAGUUCUUUUCAUAACUCUUUAACUGGCGUGAUGCAUAUGCGAUGACUCGCCCAUUCUGCAUUAAUACACACCCGAGACCAACAUACGAGGCAUCACUGUACACUACAAAGGUCUCUCCCGGAGUUGGCAAGGCAAGCACCGGGGUCGACGUCAACCUGUUCUUUAACUCCUCGAAGCUUCGAUCGCAAUCGUCGCUCCACACGUACUUUACUCCUUUAUGCGUGAGGCGCGUUAGUGGAGUGNNNNNNNNNNNNNNNNNNNNNNNNNNNNNNNNNNNNNNNNNNNNNNNNNNNNNNNNNNNNNNNNNNNNNNNNNNNNNNNNNNNNNNNNNNNNNNNNNNNNNNNNNNNNNNNNNNNNNNNNNNNNNNNNNNNNNNNNNNNNNNNNNNNNNNNNNNNNNNNNNNNNNNNNNNNNNNNNNNNNNNNNNNNNNNNNNNNNNNNNNNNNNNNNNNNNNNNNNNNNNNNNNNNNNNNNNNNNNNNNNNNNNNNNNNNNNNNNNNNNNNNNNNNNNNNNNNNNNNNNNNNNNNNNNNNNNNNNNNNNNNNNNNNNNNNNNNNNNNNNNNNNNNNNNNNNNNNNNNNNNNNNNNNNNNNNNNNNNNNNNNNNNNNNNNNNNNNNNNNNNNNNNNNNNNNNNNNNNNNNNNNNNNNNNNNNNNNNNNNNNNNNNNNNNNNNNNNNNNNNNNNNNNNNNNNNNNNNNNNNNNNNNNNNNNNNNNNNNNNNNNNNNNNNNNNNNNNNNNNNNNNNNNNNNNNNNNNNNNNNNNNNNNNNNNNNNNNNNNNNNNNNNNNNNNNNNNNNNNNNNNNNNNNNNNNNNNNNNNNNNNNNNNNNNNNNNNNNNNNNNNNNNNNNNNNNNNNNNNNNNNNNNNNNNNNNNNNNNNNNNNNNNNNNNNNNNNNNNNNNNNNNNNNNNNNNNNNNNNNNNNNNNNNNNNNNNNNNNNNNNNNNNNNNNNNNNNNNNNNNNNNNNNNNNNNNNNNNNNNNNNNNNNNNNNNNNNNNNNNNNNNNNNNNNNNNNNNNNNNNNNNNNNNNNNNNNNNNNNNNNNNNNNNNNNNNNNNNNNNNNNNNNNNNNNNNNNNNNNNNNNNNNNNNNNNNNNNNNNNNNNNNNNNNNNNNNNNNNNNNNNNNNNNNNNNNNNNNNNNNNNNNNNNNNNNNNNNNNNNNNNNNNNNNNNNNNNNNNNNNNNNNNNNNNNNNNNNNNNNNNNNNNNNNNNNNNNNNNNNNNNNNNNNNNNNNNNNNNNNNNNNNNNNNNNNNNNNNNNNNNNNNNNNNNNNNNNNNNNNNNNNNNNNNNNNNNNNNNNNNNNNNNNNNNNNNNNNNNNNNNNNNNNNNNNNNNNNNNNNNNNNNNNNNNNGCUCUAGCUCUAGUGCCUUUAAUCACAAUUAUACCUGCCACGACGUCGUCGGGUGCUGCAGGUUGUUGCUCCUCCACCUGAGCGGCAAAGACUCGACCGCUAGGCGCUCUCGAUCCCUCCGGCUGACGCGGUGCUGACGCGCGCCGAGCCGACAUCGCUGGUGGUAACCCCGCAAGCUGUCUCAGGAUAGACGGUGCUGAUGCCGCCGUCGGCACAGAUGACGUCCACGACGGGCACUCCCGGAUAAGAUGUCCCGGUUGGACACACUUGAAACAUUUGCCGUCUCGCUGCGGGCAAGUCGACACCUUGUGCUCACCGCCACAUAUAACACAUCGAGGCGGUCUCCAAUUCCUCGACUGCUGUCGGGGAUACCGAGGGGGUUUCUUAGCAUUUGGCCGGCCCCCGGCACCGCCCGCCGUUCUCUUCUUGCCCUUGUCCUUCGACUCGGCAAUAGCCUCCCUUUCUUCACGUACAUGGGCGCUACCGUGCUCCGCCCACAAGGCUCUAUCGAAGACCUCCGCAAAGGUCGACAGCUUCAAAAUUUACACUUUCUCAUAAAUCCGGGGUUGGAGUCCUCGCAAGAACCAAUCCGCCCGGUCCCGAUCAUCACGAACAACGUCGGAAACACAGUCUAUGAUGUGGGAGAACUCUUGCUCGUACUCCCCUACCGAUCGAUCGCCCUAUCUCAACUUGCGGAACUUUUCUUGCAACUUCCGCUUCACCGUGUCGGGGAAGUAGUUCGCGAAUACCGCUCUCUUGAACUCCUCCCAAAGCAUAAGUGGAAGAUCGGUAGGACGAUCUCGCUUCACUCGCUUCCACCAUACUUUUGCCGCUUUCUCUAGACAAUAGGUGGCGAGGUACACUUUGUCCUUCUCCGAGGUAUUCAAGUCCUCGAAGAGCGUCUCUAUUGAGUCGAUCCACGACUCCACGAUCGCUGGCUCCACCAAACCGCCUUCAAAGGUAGGUGGAUCGAACUUCUUGAAUUGUAUGAGAGCCGCCAAAGUGCGCUCUCGCUUCGCAUCGACUGCCGCACCGUCGUGGUUUGAGGUUUCCGAACCUGCCGGUACUACCGUAACUGGCGUAGCCGCCGUUGCCGCCGCUUCCUCGACUGCCCUCGGCACUACGGCAGGGUGCACUGGUGGCUCCGCGCCCACUUGGGCCGCCACCGACUGUUAACGCUCCAUAACAUCCUGGAGCCACUGAAUCUGUUCCCCUUGGCGUUGAACAGACUCCGCUUGUUGCCACACUAUGCCAAUAAGCGCGGUCAUUUGUUCCCUAAGCUCUCCGUCGCCACUUGCUCCGGAUUGCUCGGGCACCGCAUUCGUUUCCUCCGGCAUCAACCUUGUCUGCGAUCGACGUCGAGGUGCCAUUGCUUCCUGAAAAGAAGCAACUCGCAUUAGUCACUUGACCAACAUUACUCGACCAUACCCAAUUAGGCGAAAGCAACAUACACAUUCAUCCUUGCCUCAAGCGUCAUGUCGUCGGCCGCCCGACACAAUACUAGAAGUAGAGGAUAAACGAAAUUUCAACUUAGCCUCUAAUCAUAUUAGAGACGUCCCUACUUAACCCAAUCACAUGCUUUCGCUAACUUUGAUCCCACGUCACUCACGUCUCCUAGAUCCUUAAGGUCUGCCAAUCCUAUAGGUUUCUAGGUCCAUUCCAAUUCUUUCACUCUUGGCUCUGAUACCACGAUAUCUGUCAUGCCCCGGGACCGAUACCAAUUUGGCNNNNNNNNNNNNNNNNNNNNNNNNNNNNNNNNNNNNNNNNNNNNNNNNNNNNNNNNNNNNNNNNNNNNNNNNNNNNNNNNNNNNNNNNNNNNNNNNNNNNNNNNNNNNNNNNNNNNNNNNNNNNNNNNNNNNNNNNNNNNNNNNNNNNNNNNNNNNNNNNNNNNNNNNNNNNNNNNNNNNNNNNNNNNNNNNNNNNNNNNNNNNNNNNNNNNNNNNNNNNNNNNNNNNNNNNNNNNNNNNNNNNNNNNNNNNNNNNNNNNNNNNNNNNNNNNNNNNNNNNNNNNNNNNNNNNNNNNNNNNNNNNNNNNNNNNNNNNNNNNNNNNNNNNNNNNNNNNNNNNNNNNNNNNNNNNNNNNNNNNNNNNNNNNNNNNNNNNNNNNNNNNNNNNNNNNNNNNNNNNNNNNNNNNNNNNNNNNNNNNNNNNNNNNNNNNNNNNNNNNNNNNNNNNNNNNNNNNNNNNNNNNNNNNNNNNNNNNNNNNNNNNNNNNNNNNNNNNNNNNNNNNNNNNNNNNNNNNNNNNNNNNNNNNNNNNNNNNNNNNNNNNNNNNNNNNNNNNNNNNNNNNNNNNNNNNNNNNNNNNNNNNNNNNNNNNNNNNNNNNNNNNNNNNNNNNNNNNNNNNNNNNNNNNNNNNNNNNNNNNNNNNNNNNNNNNNNNNNNNNNNNNNNNNNNNNNNNNNNNNNNNNNNNNNNNNNNNNNNNNNNNNNNNNNNNNNNNNNNNNNNNNNNNNNNNNNNNNNNNNNNNNNNNNNNNNNNNNNNNNNNNNNNNNNNNNNNNNNNNNNNNNNNNNNNNNNNNNNNNNNNNNNNNNNNNNNNNNNNNNNNNNNNNNNNNNNNNNNNNNNNNNNNNNNNNNNNNNNNNNNNNNNNNNNNNNNNNNNNNNNNNNNNNNNNNNNNNNNNNNNNNNNNNNNNNNNNNNNNNNNNNNNNNNNNNNNNNNNNNNNNNNNNNNNNNNNNNNNNNNNNNNNNNNNNNNNNNNNNNNNNNNNNNNNNNNNNNNNNNNNNNNNNNNNNNNNNNNNNNNNNNNNNNNNNNNNNNNNNNNNNNNNNNNNNNNNNNNNNNNNNNNNNNNNNNNNNNNNNNNNNNNNNNNNNNNNNNNNNNNNNNNNNNNNNNNNNNNNNNNNNNNNNNNNNNNNNNNNNNNNNNNNNNNNNNNNNNNNNNNNNNNNNNNNNNNNNNNNNGUUCUUAUUGCCCCACUUUACUUUAACUUUACACAUUGUCAUUUUCAUCAUUCUUUACAUCACUUUGGUUCUUUGGCUCACACUAACUCUAGUGUCACUUUACUUUACGUUUUCAAAUGCCACUCGAUCUAUGUCAUAGUGUCACUCUGUUCUUUUGCUCACUUUGGGUCCUCACUUUUCUCUCAUGCAUACACAUAGGGUUUUCGACGUUUACAUAGUUCUCAUUCAUCAUAUUAUGCAAGUUGUACUCACAAUCAUGCAUCAUUAUAUUUUCAUCAUUACUUUACCCUAAAAUGCAUGCAACAAUAUAUAUACACAUGCUCAAUGAAUGACACAUUAGGCAUAGAGAGAAGUUCAAUGAGUUUGAGAAGCACCACCCACCUUGUAGGUCUGUUUAGGUGCUCCGACGAUUUUCUUGGAAUUUUUAGACACCCGGUUCACUACCUGCGGCAUAACAAAGCCAAAUUAGGCUUAUUUGGCCAUAACUUUACAUACACUUUUCGCAAUGCUAUUCCAAGCGCACCAACGCGUCGGAAUUACCCCCAAUUAGGUUUCUAGAGGGUCAAUUGCACUUAGAAAUCUCCAUGAGCAAAAGCCCCAAUUUGGUGCCCUAGCUCCAAUACAUAUAUCAAACCUAGGGUUUGAUCUCAAUGGGAAGCAAAAGUAGCUUCAUUAUCCUCUAAAAAGUCCAUUAGAACCAUCUUUAGAUAAAUCAAAACCCUACUUAGGGUUUCACCAUGAGAGGUGAUGAAGCUCACCUCAAGCUUCACCAUUUUCAUGGUCUUGAUCUCUAAAGAAGCAAAAGAAAAGCUUCCAAUACUCUAAAAGUUCUAUAAAAACCAUCCUUACUCUAAUCCAAACCCUAGUUUGGGAUUUAACAUGAGAAUGGGCAAAGCUUACCUCUAAGCUUGCUCCUUUCUUGCUCUAGAGAGGAAGAAGAUGAAGUUGUUUCACUCCAAUAGCUUCUUCUCCACUUUCUUCUUCUUCUUCUUCCUUUCUUUCCUUUGUCUUCUUCUCCUUCUUUGUCUUCUAGAGAGAGAGAGGGAGAGGGAUGAGUUUGGGUGUGAGGAAAUGAGAGGGAGAGGCUCUCUCAGCCCUAAACAUAACCCACAUAAUGCAUUUUUGCACAUAAGUCCCUCAGCUUUUAUCUCAUUACACUGCCCGAACUGGGCAGUUCGCGCAGCCAGGGACCGGUCCCGAAGGCUCUCCUCACGCAGCCAGAGCUGUUGCGCACAGGGCAACCGGUCUCUCUUUGGAGGACCGGUUCCCGAGAGCUGGUUUCUCAGGACUUAGCCGAUUUUUCGGCUAUUUCAAUUCAUACGCGUUCGUGGACCGGUCUCUCCCACCAGGGACCGGUCCCCGAGAGCUCAAAACUGCUGAAUGCAGAUUUUGAUUCUAAGAAAACCUCCGGUAACUCACUUUUAAUCAUUUCAACGCCUUCAGACUUUCCGAAGUGUACCGUCCUCACUUUGGUCAAUUUGACUAAAGUUCGACAUCUUUAUUUUCCGAAUUUUCAGUAUAUUACACACCCUCUCGUAGAUCCUGGGCUGGAGUCCUCGUAAGAACCAGUCAGCCCGGUCCCGGUCGUCACGAACAACCUCCGGGACGCAGUCGAUAAGGUGGGAGAACUCCUGCUCGUAAUCCGCCACGGAGCGGUCCCCCUGUCGCAACUUGCGGAAUUUCUCUUGCAACUUCCGCUUCACCGUAUUGGGGAAGUAGUUGGCAAACACUGCCCUCCGGAACUCCUCCCACAUCAUAGGCGAAAGAUCGGGCGAUCGAUCCCGCUUAACACGCUUCCACCACACCUUCGCCGCCUUCUCGAGGCAAUGUGUGGCGAGGUACACCUUGUCCCUCUCCAAGGUGUUAAGAUCCUCAAAGAGUGUCUCCAUGGAGUCGAUCCAUGACUCCACGAUCGCCGGCUCCACCACUCCACCUUCGAAGGUGGGUGGGUUAAACUUCUGAAACUGAAUGAGAGCUGCCAACGUGCGCUCCCGCUCCGCCUCCCCCGCCGCACUAUUGGGAUUUGAAGUCCCCGAUCCCGCCGGCACCAUCGUAACUGGCACGGCCGCUGCGGCCACACCUUCGGCCGCACUCGGCACCACAGCAGGAGGCGCAGGGUGCACGGCCUCCCCGGGUGCCGCCGCCUGUUGCCGCUCCAAAGCCUCCUGGAGCCUCUGGAUCUGCUCCCCUUGGCGCUAAACGGACUCCGCCUGCUGCUGCACUACGCCAAUAAGCGCGGCCAUCUGCUCCCGAAGCUCCCCGUCGCCACCUGCUCCGGGUUGCACGAGAGCAGCAUUUGGCUCCUCGGCCAUAGACCUCGUCCGCGGUCGACCACGAGGCAACUUAAGUCGUCCACGAGGCGGCAUCGCUUCCUGAAAUGAAGCAAUUCACGUUAGUUACUCAGACAAUAUACUCGAUUAUACCCAAUCCGGCGAAAGCAUACCAGUACAUUUAUUUUCCUUCCAAAGCAUCAUGUCGUCGGCCGCCGAUCACAACACAAAGGAAAGAAAACAAAUAACAACUUUAAGUUAACCUCUAACCACAUUUGAGACUUAUUAGCAUUAACCCAAUCAUAAGCUUUCGUUAUAAUUGUUCAACGUCACUCACGUUUCCUAGAUCCUUAGGGUUUUUCAAUUCCUAAGGGUCUCUAGGUCCAUCUUAUGCUUUCACCUUUGGCUCUUUUAUGCUCUGAUACCAUAUUAUCUGUCACGCCCCGAGCCCGAUCCCUUUUGGCCGGUUCGAGAGCGUCAAACAGACGCCGAACGGGCAGAGCUUCCCCUGUCCACCCAAGGCUCAACACAAGUAUCAAUAGAGUACCAUUUGCAUAAGCGGAAGCAUACACAAUGGCUUGCACGUGGGCAAGCAAUAGCCAAGGUGAAAGAAUUAACCAUUCAAUAUACAAGUAAUAUGCCUAAAUUUAAAUCACAUACAUGUAUCCAACUAUAAUCAAGUUCUGUCACAUUCUUGCGUCAUUUCUUUUUAUAUCUCAUUUCUCCCAAAAUAUAACAUUUGACAUUUAAAGUAAAUAUCCUUUACAUCAUUCAUUAAAGCAAGUUCAUAAUACUAAAAUCAUCAAAUACAAAAGAUGAUAGUAAAGGGUAUGCAACUACAAAAUGAAAUCCAUCUCGGGCGGUCUCUACCUAGGGCGCGAUGCCCUUACUGCGAUCAUCUGCCGGCUCGCUCGGUCCCGACUCUGUGGAAAUAGUGGGGUGAGAACUACAACAAAGUUACCAGUGGGUUCGGCAACCAACCACGCCGACUAUCCCACUAGGUCUAAUCAGACAUAAUAGAAGAAAGAAUAGAUAAUAACCAACUAACAAAUGAAGCUAAUAUGCCUGAACGAUAAAUAAAACUAUGCUCGAUAGAAUGCUCAUGAUGAAUGCAAAAUUAACUUUUCAUUACCGAAUCUCAUGGUUAGCCCGUAGGUUUCGCCCUCACAAACUCACCAACCUAAAUCCCUAUGGUCGGAGAGAUAACCGCUACGACCCGACGGGACCACCCUCUAGGGAGAUAACCGCUACGACCCAGUGAUGACAACUCCGGAGCACAUCGCCCGAGGGGGAGCUACCGCUCUCGAGCAAGGACUAUUAGGUGAGUACGAUCAAUCCUUAACUUUAAGGAUUCCAAGUUCAAUCCAUUCCUUGACUCCAAGGAGAACCAUGUUCAUAUGACCCUUAACUCUAAGGUGCAUUUGUCAUAAUGUCACUAACCCAAUUCACUUGCAUUCUCUAACCUCUACUAGUGUCAUGUACACUACUUGAUCUUGUUCUUUGUCAUUGAUGCCACACUUGUUUUCUAGGUGCUAUGUUCUUGUACUCAUGCCACACUUUAUGUCUACGUCAACAUGUCACAUUUGUUUACUAACCCUUCUAGGUUCUUAUCCCUUGUCAUGCAUAUGUAGGGUUACCAAUUCUCAUUCAUUUACUACUAUUUUUCAAGCAUUAAAACUCAUGUCAUGCAAUAGAAAUUUACAAUUAACCCUACUAUGCAACAUGCUCAAUAUAAGUACAUAUGCUCAAAUAUGACGCUUUAGACAUAAAAGGAUUUCCGAUGUCCUUGGAAUGCACCACCCACCUUAGAUGGUUACAAAGAUGCUACGAUGAAUUUCUUGAAAUUUUCGAAGCCCUAGUCCGCGCGCUGCGGCUAUCUGUACGGAAAAUGACGUUUUUGUAAAUAACUUUGCGCACACUCGUCGGAUUGUUGAACCGAGCGUUCCAACGCGUUUAAAAUACCCUCAAUCAGGUUUCUACAUGAUCAAAAUAGAUCAAAACCUCACUUGGGCAAAACCUCUCUUUGGGAUGCCCUAACAUGCUAUUUUUACAUUUUUCCUAGAUUGAUCUCAUUGCUAAGCAAAAGAAAGCUUAGAUACACAUGGGAAGCUCUCUAAUAAGGUUUCCAAGCUUUCAGAACCAUCCCUAGGGCAUCCUUCGAGCCCUAGAGAUCCACCAUGAGAGGGGUCCAAGACAACCAUGGAUUUCAUGAUUUCAAGGUCCCUAAAGGGUUUCCUCACUUGUAGAGAGAUCAAAACCCAAAAAUCUAAGGUCUAAACCCAAACCCUAAACUCAUUUUUGCAUAAGGACUCACCUUUGCCCAAGCUCCACCCAAGCCUUCUUGUUGGAGAGCUUCUAGAGCCACCCAAGCCUCCAAAUCCACCUUCUCCAAGCUUUUCUCCUUCUUCUCCAAGCCCUAGCCCAAGCUUUUAGAGAGGGAAAGAGAGGAAAUGAGAGGGAGAGGAGAGGAGAUGGGUUUUGCUGUGAAAAUGGGAGAGGAAUAGGCCAAAUAACAUGUUGUGACAUUUGCAAUUGGGCCCCUCAACUUAAUUCUGUAGCAGACUUCACCCCUGCUGCCAGAGCCCUUGUGUACCGGUACACGGAUUUGUGUACCGGUACGGGCCUGCGCAGAAGCCCAAACGCGAGAGCAAGGUCGCUUGGUUUCGCAGCUUCUGUACCGGUACACGGGUCCCGUACCGGUACACCUUCGCCAGACUCAAACCCGAGAGCAACCUGUGCUUGGGUCGCUUGCUGUACCGGUACAGCCAUCAUGGCGUACCGGUACACAAUGCUUCAGAUUUCAGGUUUGGUUUCGAUUCGACUCUACUUCGCGCCGAUCGAUGCCAAACUCAUACUAAUACCUCUUUAACUCACUUUUGCCCUUCCAAACGUGUUGGAAUGCAAAAUGGAACUCACUAAUACAUUUCUCUCGACACUUUAACCAAUUUGAUUAAAGUUCGAUUAUCGUUUUCGGGUUUCGAUACGUUACAGAUAUAUUAUAAUUUGGGUUAAGAUUAAUAGUGAGGACAAGUUAAAACACGCCACAAAAAAUGUGUAUAUUGUGACGGUCAUAAAUUUCCCACAAAUAAUUUGCCACAAAAAGCCCUCCUUCUUGUAGCUGCGGAGGGUUGGUUUAUAGCGUAUGUCAACCUUACGAUCUUACGCGGUGGAUCCAUUAUUGAAAUUGUGUCACGCCCCGGAUUACUCGUUUCUCCGGGCACGCCGACAAAUCCGCCGUAUACAAAGAAAAUUUUUCUGUAUACGAAGCGAUAGUUGUACCUGUACCUAUAAUCAUAAUCAUACAACACUGCAACCAGUAGUAUAGAGCUGCUAAAAAAAGAACAUAUAUAAAUAACAUCGGUUCAAAUACAUACAUAAUAUCCUGAUACAACAACACUCGCUCCCGCAAGUAACUAACAUCAGUAUGUAAAUGAACCAAAAACUACAACUAUCUGUAGCUGGUAAAAGUCUCUAGGUCAGCAGCAACUAGGAAGGGAUCUAGCUCGCGACUCCCUUUCCAUGAUCAGUCUCCACGACAGCAGCAGUUGAAGAAGAGGGCUCUGCAAAAAGGAUCCACAACUAGGUGUGAGAACUACUGCAAAACGAACUAGUCCUUAGUGGGUACCGCUACCGACCGGCUCACCCACUAAGUCUACAGAUGUAUGCAGAGAUAGUAAGGAAAGCUGGAACAAAUCUACAGCUAAAAACCGCUAUACUAUCAUGAUCCAACACUAACAAUCUGUAGAAAAUGUAAAUCUUGACCCAAUCUCAGUAGGGCUGUUAACACACCUGUCCCGCCUGUCGAAUCUACACUAACUGCCACCACGCUAGGUCAUCAGUGGAGAGCAAGUCCAAACAGGACAAACCGAUAUCAACGCAAAAGCACUAAGCUCAACUCCGGAGUGGCACUCGUGGGCGCUACCCAACCGAGUAUGCAAGUGUGUCUCUGCCGAGCUCAAUCAGGCUCUCACAGACUGUAAUCAAAGUAGAAAGGUCUCACUGGUCUAACAACCAUAAUCCACGUGCCCUCGGCACAAUCUGAUGCAAAAACUGCAAACUGGGUCCACCGUCAACCACAACGGCACCCGACAGUCCGAAACGGUCUAUACACUACUGUAAAAAUAAGCUCGGCAUCCCAGCACGAGCAUAAAUGCAUUCUACACUAUUCUGUGUAUCCACCGCCCACAAACUGCGAUGAUACAAACAAACUACGGCUUCUAGAGCUAAAUCUGAUAGUUUGAGCAAAUGACGGUGUAGAAUCGAUAGUUUUCUCCUAAGUCUAUUUCAAGUCCAACAUAUAUAAUUUAGCUAAUAUUCUAAGCUCCAAUUCAGAUUCAAGAACCAUACAAAUCAAAUAAUCGAGCUACUAAACAUGCUAAACGAGGCUAAAUACACAUGCUAUCAACAUAUAGGCUUAGGAGGAAAUCCGUAAAAUCCAGUAAGCAUCAUUAACCCACCUCGAAACGCUAAUCCACGACGGCAGAAAGUCAAAAGAAGCGGAACCACGCGCUUACCCAGCCACCGAACGAAGCAACUAAGACGCACGUACGCUCAAACAGCUCCUCGACGCGAAGUCGACGUCGAUCUGGGCUCCAACCGCAAGCUCCACCUUGCUACGGUCAAGGAUGAGAGAGAGAGAGAGAGAGCAAAGCAGAAGAAAACCCUUCUCUACCUCUCUACAUGUAUAAAGAGAGGUGGAGGAUAAGGGUGACAACAACGAGGCAGCCAAAAGACCAAACAGCCCCUCACUUACCCUGGAGUACCGGUACCAGGCCAAUGCCGUACUGGUACCCCGUAUCAGCCUACGCAACUCGAGAGCAGCGAACAGAAUUUCUAUACAGUGGUACCGGUACUCCCCUGUGUGGUACCGGUACUAAAUGCUGAAAAUAUGCAAUUUGCAGGUUUCAGUGCUAACUUUCUGCUCUCGCGUCACAUUGAGUUUGUUUUGCGUCUAUUUCGCGCCAACAUGACUCGGACUUGUUCCGACACUCUCCAGAUGUGUCGACAAGCCUCAGAUGCUGCAAUUCCACAGCAUUGGCCACCCGGUAUACUACAAAUUGCCUGCAAUUGGGGCUCUCCAUCUGCCGAUUAUAUGACAGCCAAGGAGGAUGCAGCACGAGUUGUCAUCCAAAGGAUGAAGGAAGAACUAGGUUUGCAGAUAAAGGAUGCAAACUACGACGAUUUCAUCCUAUAUUAGAAUUUGUACAAUAAUGUUACGCUCCAGAAUAGCGACUUGGUUGGCCAGUUCACAAAUCUUAGGCGUGAGCACAGCCUCCUUAAAGAUUGUUAUGCAACUGUGGUGUCAGAAAAAGCUGACGCCAUAACUGAGCAGAUUAGAUUGCGCCAUGAACUCAAUGAUUGUGAUGCUACAAUCAACUGCCUUCGUGCUGGCCAAUCUGCUAUGGCGUGUGGCCCUUCUGAUGUAGGAUCAUCUACUUAUUUCUUCACUUCGUACUAUUUAGUUUUAGAAUGUCCAAUCGGCUUCUUUUGUACUAUAGAGCCGAUUCUCAUGGCUUCACAUGUUUUGUUCAUUUGUCGUUUUUGUGAAGAAAGCCAUGUACUAUUGCCUAUUUUUUUCUUUUUUAAUGCAGUUCGGUAUGUCAAACCUGUGGUUCUAUUGCUAAUUUGGUUUGUAGCUCGUGUUCUUUGGAUUUCUCUUCUGUCCUAUGACUUCAGGAUAUUAUGCAAGUAAAUGAUGCAAAAUGUUGCUGCUUUAGUUUAAUACGUUUUUGCUUGCUGAACCUCAGCUAAGUUAGUUAAAUAUCAUAAUAUCUUUGUAAGGACUGAGAUUUUUUCAGUGCUACUAAACUCUCUGUUGACGAUGUUUAUGUGUGUAAUUUAAUUACAUAAGCACUCGUCAAGUUUCGGGAGAAACUGAGCUAAAACAGAGAAGUUAAACGAUUAUUAGUUUUCACUUAAGUGAAUAGUAACUCCGGUUUUUCGGUGAAGCCACGGAGUAGAGCUGGCUUUCGGCGCGUAUCGGACUUCGUUCAUAGCGAUCCAAUAGCUCAUUUUGAACGGUUCAGCUAUUCUGGAACCAAUGGCACUGACGGAUUUCGGAUCUGAUGCACGGUUUUCGAGAAAAAGGAGUUUUAACAAAAAGAGAGUUUCCGCUCUUUGCUAUUCGUGCAUUUUAAAACUCCUCGUGCUCUGUGCUUGUGACCUGGGAUUAGGUGAGAGUUGUUUCUGGUACCUACUGGUGGUAGGGAAUUCAAAUUUGAAUUUGGAUUAAAGGUUUUAGGGUUUAUACUUCGGUAUAUGCGCGAUAUACGGAUUAAUUAGAGAGCGGGUGGGUUCCGUCGCGAAUCCGUGACCAAAUCUGACAAAACAAGAUGGUAGUUUGGAUGCCCUCGUUGUGCUGAACGUGAUGGUGCGAUCCGUUCGGAAAUCCGAUGAACGGAUUGUCGGAUAUUGCAUGUUGUUCGCUAAGGGGUCGAAGGUGGCAAAUCGGAAACUUCGCAAAAGUCAUUGUAUUUUAUGUACCGAAUCGCUUGAGAUCGAAUGUGGAGGUGCGUAUGUGCANNNNNNNNNNNNNNNNNNNNNNNNNAAAAAAAAAAAAAAAAAAAAAAAAAAAAAUUCGCUGUGUUUUUAACCUAAAGGGACCCCGGGGCGUGACAAUCUUCAAAGUGGUGGCAUAAAAGAAAUAGAUGCUUUGUGACUUCAAAUAAUUUGUUGAGCGAUGAUGAUACAGAAUAUUAAAAGGCUAGGCUUUAUGGCCUUCGGCAACACCUUCGUCAAAUGUUGGAUAAAAAUUUUUAAGUCAUGGAUGCUUUCUCCCCUCAAAUGAUUUGUUGGGCAAUUAUGGUUCGGAAUAUGGAAAAGGCCUAAACUUGAUGGCCUUGGGGUCCACUUGCAGCAGUUGUCGGGCCACCUUUUUCGUUUUUGCAGAUUCGAUUCGCUUUUUCAGCUGCCUGACCAAAAUGCCCCUCGUAUAAAAAAGCCUCCCACAUAUUUCUUGACAUACGUAUACCCUGCUGUACGUAGUCCAUUAACCUGGGAGCAAGUAUCACAUUUCUUUUGAUACAAAUUACACGAUUUUAUAGUACUUUGUAACAUACAAAGAAGACUUGCAUACAAUACAACGUUCUAUUACAUAAAAUUUAACAAAUUGUACAAAUAAUUAUUUAACAAAAGUAUGGAAUCAUAUAAGCUUGUCUGUAAUUCCACGCAGACAUAGUCGACGUAAACAGGUAUAGGCGGCCAAGGGAGAGUGCCGAAGGAGACUGUGAGGAGGAGGCGGCUCGCUCGGAAGGGUACGAACCAGCAACGAGGCGUUAAGAUAGACUCACAUUAUCUCGAAUGCUUCAUUUGCCAUGAGCCCGGUAGCUCGUAUGUCAAGGAAUACGCGGGAGGCUUUUUUAUACGAGGGGCAUUUUGGUCAGGCGGCUAAAAAAGCGGACCGAAUCUGUAAAAACAAAAAAGGUGGCCCGAUUUUACAAAAGCCCAAAACUAGUGGAUUUUUUAUGCAAAUUGGCCAAUAUAAAAAGUCAUAUAUUUUAAUAGAAGAAAAUGAAAAAUCAUCUGAGAAUAUGAAAGGCCAAUUUAGAAUCUAUAUCAAGGGUUGUACUCAUACUCAUUUUGGAUGAAUAAGAAAUGAUAUACUAAAUACUAUUUACUUUGUCUCAAGAAAAUUGACCGCACUGCCUGUAACGAUUAACUAUAUUUGGAAGUUAUUUUUUUAUUUGAAUUUGAUGCUUUAUUUGUUUACUCAGAUUUUUCUACCGUAUAGUAUAUUUUAAAUUACGUGGGAUUUGACUCUUCCAAUUUAAGCUAAAUUUUUUUCAGAAUUUCUAUACUUUUUUAAUAUUUGUUUUCAAUAUUUUGGUUACUAUGUUAUAAAUUUUUAUGUUUAUUUUUUUUUUUACAAAUCAUAAUGUCUCCAUUGUAUAAUGAUUUGAUUGUGGUGGAAAUUUUGAUAUAUUUGUUUAUAUUAGGGUUUAGAAUUUUUGAAAUGAUUAAUUAUUACGUAGCAUAACGUCAUAUUUGUUUGCUAAAUAAUAGAUAUGUUGAAAUUUGUUUGCUAAAUAUAUUUUUUAUUGUUUCUGAUUAAACCUACACGUCAUUACCUAUAUAAUAACGCAUCGGGUAAAUUACAUUGUUACCCCCUGAACUUUUGGCGAAGUUUCACUUUACCCCUCGAAUUUCGAAAAUGGACAUCUAACCCCCUAAACUCUAAUAUUUCAUUAGUGUUACCCCUUCCGUCAGUUUUUCGUCAAGCUCCGUUAACUGAAAACUGACGGAAGGGGUAAAACGAAUGAAAUAUUAGAGUUUAGGGUGUUUAGUGUCUAUUUUAGGAGUUUGGGGGGUUAAGUGAAACUCGCCAAAAGUUCAGAAGGUAGCAGUGCAAUUUACUUCUAGGACUCUUGACUGUAAAUUAUUUUAUAAUAAUAUGUUACUUAUGGAUUGACUACUAACCCUCAAAUAGUGAUCAUACUUGAUUUUAAAUUUUUAUAUAUUUUUUAUCCUAAAAUAAAUCAUACAAUAAUUUAUUCUAUAUUUUAUUGUAAUAAAAUAAAAGUGAAAGAAAUUAAUUAGAGUGACUUAAAAAUAAGAAAAGAGCGAUACUAACUACCUACAAUACUCGAACACUCUACUGUUAUGGUGUAUUCGCUAAUAUGGUUGAUUUACAAUAGGUGUCCUCACUUGGAUAUACAGAUUUUAAUUUUCAGUUAAUUUUCUGUAGUACUCGUUUGUCCCUUUUAUCCUUAGACGUAUUGUUCUAAAAUAUUAUAAUAUAUUAUUUUAUAUUUUUAUAUUAAAAUUUUUUAAUUGGCUGAAAUGAAGUACAAAAAUUUUAUUUUAGGCUACAAUAAAAUUACAUUGCAUAGUUUCAUAAGAAAUAAGUGUAUUUUCUAAUAAAAUAUUAUUUUAUAUUUUUAUAUUAAAAUUUUUUAAUUAGCUGAAAUGCUGUACAAAAAUUUUAUUUUAGACUACAAUAAAAUUAUAUUGCAUAGUUUCAUAUAAAAUAAGUGCAUUUUCUAUAAUAAUGCUUCUAAAGAUAAAAGGAACAAACGAGUACUACAGAAAAUUAACUGAGAAUUAAAUCUCUAUAUCCUAGUAAGCACACCUACUGUAAAUCAAUCAUAUUAGCAAGUACACGAGGACAGUAGAGCGUUCAAGUAUCGUAGGUAGUUAGUAUCGCUCUUUUCUUAUCUUUAAACCACUCUAAUUCAUUUCUUUCGCUUUUAUUUUAUUACAAUAAAAUAUAGGAUAAAUUAUGAUAUGAUUUAUUUUAGAAUAAAAAAUAUAUAUAAAUUCAAAAUCAGGCAUGAUCACUAACUUGAGAGUUAGUAGUCAAUCCAUAAAUAACAUAUUAUAAUAAAAUAAUUUAUAAUCAAGAGUCCUACAGGGUAAAUUGCACUGCUACCUCCUGAACUUUUGACGAGUUUCACUUAACCCCCCAAAUUCCUAAAAUAGACAUCUAACACCCUAAACUCUAAUAUUUCAUUCGUUUUACCCCUUCCGUCAGUUUCCGGUUAACGAAGCUUGACGGAAAACUGACGAAAGGGGUAACAUGAAUGAAAUAUUAAAGUUUAGGGGAUUAGAUGUUCAUUUUUGGAGUUCGAGGGGUAAAGUAAAAUUUCGCCAAAAGUUCAGGUGGUAACAAUGCAAUUUACCCAUAAAGCAUCUAUAUAAAGUUGUCAGAAAUAGAUGUGGUUUGAUACCUAUCGUGAUGAUUCAUUGUAAAAAAUUGAAAUGUGUAAAAUUUUUUUUUAUACUUUUCAAUAUACUUUAAAAUUACCAAAACUUAUAGAAAGUCUUUAUACUUUUCUAUAUACUUUAAAGUAAAUGUGUUUUACUCUCUACGAAAUAACUUAUAGAAAUAUAAAGAUCUAAAAUUUAAAAUUUAAAUUUUAAAAAUUAUAAUAUAUCCACCCGCCGCAUCGCGCGUGUAACGUAUCGAAACCUUAAUAGCGAUUAUCGAACUUUAACCAAAUUGGUUAAAUGCCGAGACAAAUGGUUGGACAAGUCCCAUUUCACAUUCCAACAAGGUUGGAAGGGCAAAAAUGAGUUUAAGAAGUGUUGGAAUGGUUUUGGCAUCGAACGACGCGAAGUAGAGUCGAGUCGAAACCAAAACAGCAAUCUGGAGCAUUGUGUACCGGUACACCAUGGUGGUUGUACCGGUAUAGCAAGCGACCCAAGCACUGUCUGUUAUCGGGUUGGCAUCUGCGCGGCCUCGUAUCGGUACGGGAGCCCGUGUACCGGUACGCCGUGGCUCUGGCAGCAAGGGUUGGUCUGCUACAGAAUAGAAAGUUGAGGGGCCUAGUUGCUAUUGUAGCAACAUGUAUUAUGCCAAUCCUCUCCCCCUUUUCACAGCAAACACACACACCUCCCUCUCUAAUUUCUUCCGCUUUCUCUCUCUAGAAGGUUGCCCUAGAGCAAGGAGAAGAAGGAGAAGGAGCUUGGAGAAGGGAUUUCGGGAGGAUUUGAAGAACUAGAAGCUCUCCUAUAAGAAGGCCUUGGUAGAGCUUGAGACUAGAGGUAAGUUUUUGCAAGAUAUCUUCUAGGGUUAGGAUUUAAACCCUAAGUUUUGAAGUUUUGAGUUCUUAGAGAUUUUAGAAGUAUGUUAGAGCCAUGAACACCACGAAACUCUAGUUUUUUUCAUGGUGCUCUAAUAGGGGAUUUUUAGGAUUUGCAUUCUAAGCCCAAGAAAAUGUUGGAAUGGUUCUAAAUGAGCUUCUAGAGGUUAGACAAGCUCUCUUUUGCUUGUUCUAGAGAUCAAAACCUAGGGUUUAGCAAUGGGUUUGGUUAGGGCACCAAAUUUGGGACUUUUGCCCUAGGAUUUUUCGGGGGCGAAUUGACCCCGUAGAAACCUAAUUGGGGGUGUCCUCGACACGUGGGACAACUCCGUUUAACGUUACGAAAAGGUUUAGAUGGAGUUAUUGAUAAAAAGCCUAAUUCGGCUUCGUUUUGCCGCAGGCGAAAAAGUAAAGCUUCAAAAAUUUCAAGAAAUUCACCGUAGCAUCCUCUCAACCUUCUAAGUUGGGUGGUGCAUUCCAAGGACCUCGAAAAUCUCUUUAUGUCUAAGUGUCAUGUUUUGAGCAUUUGUACAUGUUUGAGUAUUUUGCAUAAUAGGGUUAAAUUGUCAACUUUUUAUAGCAUGAUGUAAAUUCAAAUGCAUGUUAAAUACUUGUAAGAAUGUGAGAAUGGUAAUCCCUAUGUAUGCAUGAAUGUGACAUGAACCUAGAAGGGUUAGUAAACAAAAGUGACACCAUGACAUAGAUCUAACGAGAGGCAUUGAUGAGUCUAGAAUACUUAGAAAACAAGUGUGGCAUUUGGCAGGAGAACAAGAACAUAGCACUUAGAAAACAAGUGUGGCAUUUGGCAGGAGACCAAUAACAUAGCACUCAGAAAACAAGUGUGGCAUAAGUACAAGAACUUAGUAGUGUAUAUGACACUAGUGAUAGUAAAGAAUGUAAAGAAAAGAAUGAUUGAGAUAUUAUGACAUUUCAACCUUAGAGUUAAGGGUCAUUUGAGCAUGGUCUUCCUUAAAGUUAAGGAAUGGAUUGAACUUGGAAUCCUCAAUGAAGGAUUGAUCGUACUCACCUUUAGUCCUUGCUCGAGGGUGGUAGCUCUCCCUCGGGCGAUGUGCUCCGGAAUUGACAUCACUGGGUUGUAGCAGGUAUCUCCCCAGAGGACGGUCCUAUCGGGUUGUAGCGGGUAUCUCCCCGGUUAUUAGGAUUUUGGGUUGGUGAGUUUGUUGAGGGCGAAACCUACGGGUUAGCCAAGAGAUUGGGUAAAGAAAUUGUGAUCCUGCAUUCAUCAUGAGCAUUAUAUCGAGCAUCGCAUUUUAUAUUGUUCAGGCAUAUUAGUUGUAUUUGUUAGUUGGUUACUUUCUUUCCUCUAUUCUAUUAUGCCUGAUUAGACCUAGUGGGAUAGUCGGCGUGGUUGGUUGCCGAACCCACUGGGAACUUUGUUGUAGUUCUCACACCCCUAUUUCCACAGAGCUGGGACCGAGCGAGCCGGCUGACGAUCGUGGUAAGGGCAUCGUGCCCUAGAUAGAGACCUCCCGGGUGGUUAUCAUUUUGUAGUCGCAUACCCUCUACUUAUACAUCAUCUUUUAUAUCUUGAUGAUUAUGCUAUUAUGAACAUGUUAAAUGAAUGAUGUAAAAGAGUUUAUGUUUAAAUGUAAGAAUUUAUAUUUGAGAUCAUGCGAUGUAAAAGAGAAGAAAUGAUGCAAAAUUGUAAUUGAUUUCCUAAGUGUAGUUUACUUUUUUCACUAUUGGCUAUUGCUUGCCCUCGUGCAAGCCAUUGUGUAUGCUUCCGCUUAUGCAAACUUUAUACUCUAUCAGUACCUGUUGUUGAGCCUUGGGCGGACAGGGAAGGCUCUGUCCGUUCGGCGUCUGUUUGACGCUCUCGAACCGGCCAAAAGGAUCGGGCUCGGGGCGUGACAGCGUGGGUCACUACACUAGUAUAUAUUAAUUAGAAUAUAGGGUGUGUUUGGUUCGAAAUCAGAAUUGGAAUCAGAAUCAGAAUCGAAAUAAGCUGGAAUCGGAAUCGGAAUGACUUAUUACCUAAUUCUAUUUGGUUUAUCACCUGAAUCGGAAUCGGAAUAAAUCAUUUCCAUUGUCGGUGGUUGGUUCAGGUAGAUAUAAAAAAUGUAAUCAAAUUAAUAUACUAACUUUAUCUUUAUAAUAUAUUAAUUUAAAUUCAAAUUAAAAAUCAAAUAUUAAAAUUUUACAUCAAAAUUUUGAAAUAAUGCCAAAAUUUUAAAUCUUUUUUAAAAAAAUUAAACUUUGAAGUCGAGGGGAUAAUUCAAAAUAUAAAACUAAAUUUCGAUUUAUUCAAAUUCAAACCUAAAAUUACAAUUUAAAUUUUAAUUUGAAUCCAUAAAUUUAAUUUAAGUUUUAAAAUAAAAUUUGAAUAAAACUUUAUAUAAAUUAAAAUUUAAUUUAAAUUCAAAUUCAUAGGUUAGAUUUGAAAUAAUUGAUUAAAUUUUGAUUUUUAAUUCAAGUUCAAAUUAAAAUUUAAAAUUAUAUAUUUAAUUUCUAAAUUUAAACUUAUAUUUUAAUUUAAAAGUUUAAAAAAUAAAUUUAAUCUAAAUAAAUAUCCAUUCCAUUCGGAUUCAAUUUCCAAUCCGACCUAGGAGGCCAGAUUGGAAACAGAUGUGAUAGGGGAUUCCCAUUCCACUCGGGAAUCGGAAUCGGAAUGGGACUCCCGCGUACCAAACACCCACAAAUGGAUUCGCCCAUUCCGAUUCCGAUUUCAGGGUAAAAAAGAAGCGACCCAAACACGCCCAUAUUGUAGUUGAAGAGAGGGUAAAGAGAGAAGUAGUCUUAGGUCAAAAAUCUAUAAAUAUAAUGAAAGGGUAGUUAAGCCGAAGCCUCCCCGUUUGGCGGGGGGCUUCGGUGGGGCCCUUUUUUUUUCUCUCUCCUUCUCUCUCUUACUUUCUUUUUUUUAUUUUUUUCCUCUCUCUGUCACGCCCCGGAUUACUCGUUUCCCCGGGCACGCUAACAGAUCCGCCGUAUAUAUAGAAAUUUUUCCUGUAUACGAAGCGAAGCUGUACCUGUACCUGUAAUCAUACAACACUACAACCAGUAGUAUAGAGCUACUAAAAUAAAACAUAUAUAAAUAAUCCUCGGUUCAAUACAUACAUAGUAUCCUGGUACAAAAACUCUCGCUCCAGCGAGGGACUAACAUCAGUAUGUAAAAGAACAAAAAAAACUACAACUAUCUGUAGCUGGUAGCUGGUAUAACUCUAGACCAGCAGCAAAACGGGAAGGGAUUUAGUUCGCGACUCCCUUUCCACAAUCAGUAUCCGUGACAGCAGCAGCCGAAGAAGAAGACUCUGCAAAAAGGAUCCACAACUGGGUGUGAGAACUACUGUAAAAAGAAGUAGUCCUCAGUGGGUACCGCUACUGUCACGCCCCGAGCUCCGCCUAUUUGGUCGGAUUCGGGCUCGUCGACAGACCGCCGAACGGACAGAGCCUCCCCUGUACGUUCUAGGCGUCAACAAUCUAAACAAUGCAAUACAAGAGGUUCCAAACAGGAACUGUAGCAAGUAUGUAGAUUGCAUAUGUAUCGAAAACAUAAAGUGCAAACUAUGCUAUUACAAGUAUUCAUCUCAGAGAUUCUUUUACAUUUACCAUAUUUUACAUUUACAUAACCACAUAUGCUUUUAAGUUAAUAUGAAACUUAUACCAAUUACUACAAUUUUGUUUCUUUCCAUUUGAACUCUGAACUUGACCUCUUCAGGGUGUUGCUAUCUCAGUCUCAGUGGUGGGGCGCUAUCUACGAAGCUACGCCCUGUCCUCGCGCCGCCGCGCCGCUCGCGUGUAACCUGUACCCCCAAAACAACACGGGGGUGAGAACUAUAUAAAUAAUAGUUCCCAGUUACGGCCACCCAAAAAGAUCUCGAUCCCACCAGUCCAAAGGAGCAACAGAUAGGUAGUCUCAACAAAUAGAUAGAUAGAAUUUACCGAGCGAUACAAUAAAACCAUUAACCUCCCGCCUGCAAUGCAAUAGCAUGUUACCUGUAAUUCAUGUAAGUAGCAAUUAACUAUGAUUCUACUUAUUAUUAGCCUUCUCUAUUUGUAUGCUUUUAUUCUUUCCUAGCUACUUCACUUAUAGCUAUUUCGCUUUACUUCUUUUCUUUAUGCUUUAUUCUCUUAUCUUACCGUACUGCACACUGGCGAUUCUCUUAAGUUUAGCUUUACCUUAAGCCAUCUAGCCACCGACCGUCUUGGUCAAUUUAACCGCGGUACCGACGUCACAAGUCAGGCCGAGUGAAGACGCCACAAACACUUACCUCAGCCUAAGUCCACGCGACACUAGCUCCAUCACAGGAAUAGACCGUCACGCCCGUACCCUAAGCGCUUAACUCAACUGCGAGGAAAUUAACCGUCAAAACCCGUGCUCCGGAGAGAAACCGCAUCCCCGUUAAUCACUACGGAGAGAGAAACCGUCGAUACCCCUAGUUUGAUCACUUCACUUUUCAGGCAUACNNNNNNNNNNNNNNNNNNNNNNNNNNNNNNNNNNNNNNNNNNNNNNNNNNNNNNNNNNNNNNNNNNNNNNNNNNNNNNNNNNNNNNNNNNNNNNNNNNNNUAACAGAAUACUAUACAUUCAUGCAUUCACGCAUUCACACCGUAGUUUUACAUUCGAUGUUUAAAACAAAAGUUCCACGAAAAAUUUUUUGCAACUGUCAAUAGAAAAAAACUUUAUCUUAAGAGCUACCACGAGGGGUAGAAAACUCUUUUAUUUUAUCAAAUCCAGAAAUUCCUUUUAAUACAUUCAUGACAAGUCCACAUAUUCAAAUGUGAUAAAAAUACUGAACAUAUAAAUCUGACUAAGCUAUAACAACAGAAUAGGUAGGGAUAAAACUAAACGAUAACGCUGGGUCGUGAAGCUCUUAUCGACCGCUACGAACGUACCUACUCUCGUCCCAAAACUCAACGCUGCAAUAACCUGAAAAAAUAGAUCGGGGGAGGUGAGAACAUGUAAACAUGUCUCCCCUCCCAGUGGUACCGCAAGCCGAAGAAGGCGAGGAGUACUCACCGGAACAGGAAGAUAAACAAUAGUAUCAAGGGUAAGUGAAAUAUAGUAGGCUAUACGAAUCAUGAACGAAUGAGAUAUAUAUACGAAAGCACAACUACGCGCUACUGUAACUGUAAGCAACUCAAGCAUACAAUGGAUAUCAAAACUAAUAGUAGCAGACCGAACUGUAAAGAAAGAACUAGAAGUAUAUAUGCAACAACCGCUACUUGCUUAUGCUGUCACCGACGAUGAAGUCAAAAGUACAAAUCUUAUAAAACGAGGCCGAUUUCGCCGUGUCGGUCUAAGGACGCUCAGGAAAAGACCACUACCUGCUCACACCUGCAUUUAACCCUAGCAAGAGAACACCGCUGGGCUAACGGGUCGGAUGCACGACCACUUUCGAAAAAGAACACCCUCCUCGGGGGAUCAACCCGCUGGUGGUACGUGAAAUGCACUCGAGCUGGGCGACAAUGCGGAUAUGAUCAAUAGCCAAACCGCGCAAAUCAGCCGACAAUCACUGCCCCUCUGGGCCAUACCGACCGUGUAGUCAUCAAGUACAACCGGAACCGACCGAGAUAGGUCAAUGUACAUUAAAAGUAACAAACGACCAAAACGGUCACCGAUGCAAAUAAGAGAUUCCGACGCAACCAGGUCAGCAAGUAUAGUAUAAUACGAAAUCAUCAAUACUCUCGCCCUAUAAGCAGGCUACUACAACAUAGAAACAACUAGAGCAGAGUAAAUAAAGCAUAGUAUGAGAUACUGCUCGAUGUCAACUAAAGUACGAACGCAUAGAACUCGGACCGAUAGUCACAGGAGUGUAUUCGAUAUAGUCCAGAACUACCGUCAGCACCAGCCGACAAUCCUACCCCUCAGGGUACACCGACCUCAAAGUCCAUCGAACGACAGAAUCUAUAGAAAUAGACAACCCAAUACAUAAUGCAACAAUCGACAACCGGUCAACAGAUAUAAAUAACAGCAGCGGACAACUAGGCUCAGCCGAAACGAAGUACAGCAGAACGCGACCAAUCAGGUCACCGGGAACAAAGUAGCAAGAACGGCGACCAAUCAGGUCACGUAGGGAUCACAUAUUGAUAAAUUACUCUAGUCCUAACACAUGAUACUAAGCAAAGAAACAAUAUGAGUAGAGUAUAAUAGGAAGCAAACGGGCACUGCAAGCUCAAAUAGCUAUAUAAUCAAGAUAUAUAUGUAUACUAUAUAUACCAGAUAGAUACGAGAGAACAAAGGUAAGAAACAUACACCCGAGCGUGCACCACUUACAGACGUGCGGAUCGAAAGUACGCACCUGUACAAAUGCUGCGCCUGUCUCCUGACUCAAAAGGACGUCAACCGGCGACCUGAGGAAUGGUCCACCGGGUUUAGUGCUCAUCAACCCACAGCUAAUAACGCACUAAACCACACUACAACAAACCCUUGGGGCAUCGUUACCAAAACGCGAUCGCCGUACAUACGCGCGGAAAGCCGCGCGUAAAUCGCACGGGGAUCCGCCGGGACCCAGAAACUGUCCGCGGCACACACCGACUCAUACCGGAGUUACCCGCUCCUAAACACCAUUAUCAUGAUUUGCAGCAAACCAAGGAUACAAACCAAACAGCAAAUCGGCGCGAAGUAAUUGUUCGGAUUCGGUUCCGCGAAGUGUCAAAUUUCGACACCGGAACCCACGGCGUCGCCCACCGUCAUUUCCGAACGCGAAAUGACCCGCAAGUGACCACCAAAGGCUCAGCGACUAACAAAGCUCAAUAAAGCAGCCGUCGGAAUAACUUUCGAACCGAACCGCGUUCCGUCGACCGUUGUCGUCGAAAAACGCACCGGAGAAUGCCAUUUCCGAUCUUCGGCAAAGGGUCUAGGGCCUUGACAUCAAGUCCAGAGGUUAAACCUCAACCAACACUUGGCUGUCAACAGGAGGCUACAACGAACCAAAAUGCUAUAUAAAAGCCCUCCUGAUGACCCAAAAUCGCAAUUAUUUCUGCGAUUUCGUGGCUUUCAAUGUCCGACAAACGCAAACAGAGGUCCAAACAGCCAAAGACGAGAACUCCUGCUGACUGAUCUCGGUGUGGCCGGGGCCGUGCUCACCUUGUCGGAGGCACUGCGCGGCCAACUGUGGAGGACAGCAUGAGCGACGCAAAACAUAUGAAACAGCGCGCACAGGCGCUAAACUCGCGUCUAACACGCAACACGCCGGAGAUGCUCCUGACGUAAAUAACGUGGCCACGCAUGACCGCACUGAACAACGGAUCAUCGUGCUCACCUCCAGCAGCAUUCGGGGUGGCCUCGUUCACCCAAAGCCAGUGAUGCGGGAACCCAAGAGAACAAGGUGGUGGCAAGGAAGCGCAAAACAAACUUACCGGAGCAAGGUGGGUGCAACGGGGUGGCCGGCGCAGCCGGACCGGCGGGAUAUCGGCCAGAGGAGGGUGCUUGGCCAUGUGUGGGGAGUCCGACGACGCGCAUCGUCGACCAACUAGGGAACGGCGUGGAGGCGACAGCAUUGAUGGCCCUAGCCGCUAAAGUGUGGCUGCGGCGGCCGGUUGGCCGACCGGGCUUAGUCGGCGGCGCCUGGGCGCGCGCACGCAGGUGCAGGAAGAGGUAAGGAGCGCGCUAGGGGGCUAGGGCAAGGCUAGGGUUAGGUUAGGGGAGAAAAACCCUAAAGAGCUUAUAUAUAAAGGCGCAACUAGCAAAAAAGGUCCACCAAACACGCGAAUUUCAAAUCCGAGCCCCUCACGAAACGACUAAAAACGCAUGAACGACCCUCCACCGUGCGAUCUCACGCAAAACGGUACAUAAAAUGUCGCGACUUUCGCGAAAAAUACCAUUUGCCACCACCGACCUGCUCCUGAUCCAACGCAACGAUUCUCCGCAGAAUCCGUCCGUCAGAUUUGCGAACCAGAUUGCACCAGUGCGAAUCAGCACGAAUAGAGACAACAAUGCUACGAUUUCGUUUCGUCUUGGAUCGACCACGGAUUCACGACAAAAUCACCUCCUCGAAUAGAAGGACAACACACACAAAAUACAUAUUAAAACAUGUAUUUUUGGAUUUCUCGAAUCCGUGCUCAAACUCAAAAAUACGUCAGUGCCAUUAGUUUCGCAGAAUAGCUGAACGGUCGAGAACGAGCUACUUGGACGUAUGAACAGAGUCCGGUACAGAGCCAGAAGCCAACUUCUCACCGCGCGCUUCUCCGAAAAUCGAGUUAUCUAUUCACUUUAGUGAAACUUAAAACUUCCGCGUAAAUUCCGUUUUAACUCGUUUUCGCCCGAAACUUGACGAGGUGCUUUGUAAUUCAAAUUACACACAAAAACAUCGUCACUAAGAAGUUUAGGCUACACGCAAAAAUCUGAACAGUCUUACAUAUGUAUAAUAUAUAUAUGUAUUACUAUAUAUGAUAUGUAUAUGGUAUAUGUAUAGUACAUAUAUAUAUAUACAUACAUAGUAUAUACAUAUAUAUUACUAUAUAUACAAUAUAUAUAUAUAUAUAUUAUAUAUAUAUAUAAUUUAUAUAUACUUAUAUUAUAUGUAUAUUAUAUUAUAUUACUAUAUAUGCUAUAACCUAUAUAUUGUUAUAUGUAUAUAUAAUGUAUCCAUGUAUACUAUAUAUUGUAUAUUGUAUAUAUGUAUUAUGUAUUGUAUAUAAUGUAUUCGUAUAUAUUGUAUAAUGUAUAUAUUAUGGUAUAUGUAUAUGUAUAUAUGUAUAUGUAUAUAUAUAUAAUAUAUAUAUUUAAUUUAUAUGUAUAUAUGUUAUAUGUAUAUGCAUAUAUGUAUUGUAUAAUGUAUAUGUAUAUAUGUAUAUAUGUAUACUGUAAUAUAAUAUGUAUAUAUGUAAUAUGUUAUAUAUAUAUGUAUAUGUAUACUAUAUGAUAUAGUAUAUGUAUAUGUAUAUAUAUAUGUAUAUAUAUCUAUAUGUAUAUGUAUAUAUGGAUCGUAUAUUAUGUUAUAUAUAUAUGUAUAUUGUAUAAUGUAUAUAUAAUGUAUAUGUAUAUGUAUAUACGUAAUAUUGUCAUACUUAUAUAUGUUAUAUAUUAUAUUUAUUGUAUAUAUGUAUAUGUAUAUUGUAUAUAUGUAAUAUGUAAUAUAAUGUAUCUAUGUAUAUGUAUAUAAUAUGUAUAUUAUGUAUAUGAUAUAUAUAUGUAUAUGUAUAAUAACAUAUAAAUAUACAUAACAUAUAUACAUAUAUCUACAUAACCAUAUAUAACAUAUACAUAUAUACAUAUACAUAUAUAUAUACAUAUACAUAUACAAUAUAUACAUAUAUACAAAUAUACAUAUACAUAUAUACAUAUAUCAUAUACAUAUAUAUAUAUAUAUACUAUAGUUCAGCCUAUGGUCUUAUCAAAGCACACAAGCACUUCGUGUGUAAGUUUUUUACCGUUACCGAUCUAACUCCUCGGAUCCCAUUUUCAAACCAUUAUAAUUAUACUAUUCAACGCACCACCUCACUCAUCCUCUAGGGCCUACAUCAUCCUACCGCACUAUCUCUUUAAUCCAAUGCUAAAAAAUCUACACAAGCACCUAUAAACUUGGUAGCUUUCUAAAUAGCAUAGACUUCAAUUCUAUAUAUAUUAUAUAUAAUAUAUAUAUAUAUAUAUAAUACUAUAUAUAUAUAUUAUAUUAUAUUGUAUAGUGUAUACUAUGUAUAUGUAUAUAUGAUUAUGUUAUAUAUAUAUAUAUAUUUUUAUAUAUAAUUAGUAUAUUUAAUAUAUACUGUAUAUGUAUAUGUAUAUGUAUACAUAUAUAUACAUAUAUACAUACAUAUGUAUAUAUGUAUAUAUAUAGGCUAGGGCUACUAUACUCUUAUGAGUAUAGAGCACUUUGUACUCAUAAGUUUUCGACCAUUGGAUGAAAGGAUAUGCGGUUAGGAUGAUAAUGGUCCAAUCCAUUCGCAGAUCUAAUGGACAGAUCUCUUGAUAUCGCGUGAGGAUCAAGGAGGGUUCUUAUGUAGUGAAACGAAAAUUUUGCGAAAAGCCUACAUUUUAUAUAUCGAUUUGCGUGAAAUCGAGCAUAGGGGUACAUUAGCGCGUUUUACUCGUGCUGUGAAGGACUCAAAUUAAAAUAUUUGGAUUUGGGGGAUUUUUGCGCAAAAUGAAGCUUUGUAUUUAUAUUGGCCACCUAGGGUUUUCAUGAUCCAAAAACGCUAACCCUGGCCCAUUGUGUUCAACUGAGCUCCCAGCCGCCUCUCAUCCUUUACCCUCAUGCACCGCGCGCUGCCUGACCCCCGCUGACCUAGCUCUGGCCGGCCAACCACCUCCUCAGCCACUAUCUCCUUCUCUCCCUCUCACAUUGCCACCAACUCCUCUUUUUCUCUGCUCGAGUGCUUGGCAGGGUGAUCUCUCACCCUUGGGCUCUCCUCCGGCGACGCCCCGAACCUCCGGCGACCUCCCCCAGCUGGCCACAGCCACCCCCGAGCGCCACCGCCGAGAAUGCUAUAGCAUGCAGUCAGCUCAGGCUGGUGCGGCCGAGCCUUGCCACGCCGUCUUCUCGGCUGCCGACCGCCGACCGCCGUCUUCUCUGGAGCCGAAGGCCGUGCCCCUCCCCUGCUUACUCGGGCCAUCUCCGUGGCCGGAGAAGCGAGCUAAGCCCCUCUCGGCUUUACAGGAAGGUCAUGCCCCUCCCCUACUUACUCCGGUCAUCUCCGUGGCCGGAGAAGCGAGCUAAGCCCUAGGUGAGCCUGUGCGGGCUCAGUUUCUUCCCGUGCCGCCACCGCCGCCUCCUGCUGUCGGCCGACACGUCCGCCGGCACCCCUUGUCGGCCGCGCUCGGCUGCCGUCGGCACCUCCGUCGCCGGGGUCCCCUGUCGGCCGGAUCGAAGUGAACUCUCUUUUGACCCGUGCGGCUAGGUCAUCAUUGCCCGCAGCCACCGCCGCCUUCUGUCGCCGGCAGACGCGCGCCCCGACCUCCCCCUGCCGGCCGCACCCACCUGCCGCCGGCACCCCUAGCUCUCCCCUGGCCUGUAAGCUAAUUUACUGUUGUUUGUGCACUGUUUUGGGGUUGUUUGCACUGUUCCGGCGAUCCGAGGCUACCCCGAUGCCUCCGGAACUGAGCACGAUGAUCCUUGAUCAGUGCUGAUCAUCGUGCCCAUCUCCUUUGGGGUCAGCGAGCCCCUGGUUUGUGGAAUGAGCGUGAUUUAAGUUCAGUGCACGUAGUUCGUUGAAUUUCGGGUUGCCGCCGCACCCUCCACAGUGAGCCUGUAAGGACUGAACCUUUGCAAAUUGCGAGGUUCGAGUGUUUGAUCUGUGUGACGAGCCAUCUCAGACUUUCUGAAGGGUCGUAGACAGUGUGCCGACCCAUGGUUCGAGUCCCGAGAAUUGUGGUUUGAAGCGGUGUACCAAAAUCCAAAAAGUUGGAUUUUUGGUUAGCUCUCGGGUUGCCUUCAGCGGGCUGCGUACCGGUACGGGUUCGCUUGCUGUACCGGUACGUGAUCGAUGGCUGUACCGGUACGUGGUAGUGUACCGGUACACAGACCAUUUCCCAGCAAACCCGAGGCUCGGGUUUGGCUUUUCGUGGGUGGUGUACCGGUACACAAACCCGUGUACCGGUACACAGUGCAGAGNUUCGCUUGCUGUACCGGUACGGGGUUGAUGGCUGUACCGGUACGUGGUUGUGUACCGGUACACAGAGCAUUUCCCAGCGAACCCGAGGCUCGGGUUUGGCAGUUCGUGGGCAGUGUACCGGUACACAAACCCGUGUACCGGUACACAGUGCAGAGCGGGCUGUUUUCGUGGAGGGGUGUUUUUGCAAUUGUUGCAACACCUAUAUAUGACACCCCAGCCCCUUUGUGAGCUCCUUUGAGCCCUAGACCAGUGGAGAAAAGGUGAGAACUCCUCCCCUAUGGUUUCUUCUCCAUUUUUGUUAGGUUUUUGCUAGUUUUGAUCUCUUUUCUCUUCUCCUUCUUGCUUUUGUGGGUAUUUCACCAUUGGAGAAGAGUGAGAUCUUGGUUGGAGCUUGUUUGAGGAUCAACCUUCAACCCUAGAGGACUUUGGAGCUUGGUUUGGAGCUUUUAAGAGGUUUGUAGCUUUUUCUCUCCUCUAGAUUCGAAUUUUGUUGGAUGUUACUGGAUCAAACCCUAGAUUUUGAGUUUUAGGGCUAAAAAUGGGGAUUUUUGAUUUGUAGCUUCUAGAACCAAAUUGAUUGGUUUAGAACUUUGAUUUAGGUUGAAUUUGAAGGAAUCUAACUCCCUUUACGAGAUCGAGAGAGAUUCGUUAGCUUUCGGUGAGUUUUCUCCAACCUAGCUAGAAAAGCUUAAUGUUUGAGCUUAGCUUUGUUCGUGAGCUUUGUUUGACACAUGUUUCUAUACCUCUAGGAUACUAGGAGACUAGAGGACACCCUCGUUGGAGCGCACGAGGAGUUUCGUUGUCAUCGGUGGGUUUGGCUUCCUUGAAAUCGGAGGAAAUUCCUCCUAAGUGGUUAAAUGCUUUCAUUCUCUUCAAAUUCAUGCAUAUUCAUGUUUAGUAGCAUUUAUGGGAAUUUUGAAUGCUUAGAACUCAUAUGUUAUGCAUCAAGGAAGUUACUCUAUAUAGUAGAGAGACAAAUGUGCUUUGUUAAUAUGCAUGCGACGAAUACUCUAUGAGAUGAUAGGAAAUAAGGCUUCAUGCUUCGAUUUUGACUAGAAAUUAUAAGUUCUUGAACUUAUUAUCCAUGUUGGGACAAAAUGAGCCAUAGUGUCAUAAAGAGGCACUUGGACUAGAGAAUUAUUAAACUGCAACAUAGAGACUUGAUAAUGGGCCACAUUGACAUCAACUAUAUUCCAUAUUUGAGAUAUGAUAAAAUAGUGACUCAGCCACGAGGACAUUGCUAUAUACCAUGUUACUGAACAUGAGAAUUUGGUACUUGCGACUGAUCGUUUGAUUACUUGCCAUUGUGCUGAUUCGCACAUGCUUGUGAGGGUCGCUCCCUACAAGCCGGCACUCCGGAGAUGGCCAUCGCGAUACAUAUUCGCCGUGCGGGAUUGGGCGCCGAAGUGGAUUGCCGUGGGACAGGCUCAUUCCCAGGGUGGGGAUGAUGACUACCACGGGGCCAUCAGGCUCGGCACCGGCCAGACAGCCUACGGGUGGGUCUCAGGGCCAUAGACAGCCUUCGGGUGGGUCUCUUCAGAUUCGACUUGAGUAUUCAUCAUGACAUGUGGACAGAUGAUGACUUAGAGUAUUAUUUGGACAUUGACUAGAAUAGUAAACAUCGGAACUUUACUAUUUCGCAUUGUGAACAUUAUGAUAGUUGGAGACUUAUACUUCAUGCAUAGUUGCUUUCGUACUCAUGCUAUUUAUGCUAAGUGGAGACCUUAUGCUAUAGUAAGUUAUAUUUUACUUACCGUCUAAUUAUUACAUUGUUAGUCACUGACCUCUUCUUGUAGCUUUUGGGCCUUGUGGCGCAGUUCACUGAAGUCAGUAAUUGCCCACUGGGAACUAUUUUUAAUAGUUCUCAUGCCCGUUGUUUCUAAUGUUUUCUUUUCAGAGCUUCAGGCACCGCGGAGGCCACGGAUCGCGGCGCAAGGGUGUCGCGUAGCUAGCCCGGGAGAGUUCUUUUGCGCUAGGUGGUUGCUUCUUCUCCAUUUUUAUAUUUUGAGAGAGAGAGGGCUUUGUAUCCAUGUAUAGAGACCACCUGUGUACCCACUUAUAGCACUUGUAUUUGGGAUCCCUAUUGUACUACUUUAUGUCUUAUUUAGUAGAUUUACAGUUUUAUCCUUAUUCCUUGUUGUAGCAUUUAGACAUUUAUUAUGCUCUGAUACUCCUAGAUGUCUCUUAUUACUGCUUUUAUUAUUGUUAUUUUUAGACGCCUUAUAUGUUGUAGACAUAUGGCGGGUCUGGGCACGCGCCGGGCGGGCUUUCGCUGGGUCCCGGGGCGUGACACAUUUGAAACUAGUGAAAUAGAACACUACGGCAUUUGAAUAUAGGGAUAGUUGAGUUUCCGAGUAAUUGUUAAUCCUAGUUGAUAGGGUAUCCUUAGUUGGCGAGAAUUGGAUCAUACUCACAUAGUCUGUUAUGCGCUUGGUAGUUGUCGCCCCACCCAAGCAGUGCGCUCCGGAGUUGUCACGCAAGGGGUAGACGUAGUUGUCCCACAGGCGAUCUCGGGUGGGAUAAGAGCGGGGUAGCUCCUCACCUAUGAGAUUUGAGAUGUGAGUCGCGGCAAACCUUUGGGUUAACCAAGUGAUUGGGUUAUAACAUGGAUGACAUUACUUCUUGAACAUAAUAGCAUGAUAGCUGAUUUCAUUACUAUGUAGUUCAUGCAUUCAUUACAGUUGAUUGAGGCAUAGUAGUGUAUAUUUGUAGAAUUCAUUACUAUGUCAUAGUUGUUUUCAUAUCUAUCUAUCUAUCUGCUUAUGCCUGUUUAGACCUAGUGGGAAAAUCGGCGGAGUUAGCGGCUGAACCCACUGGAAACUAUUCGUAGUUCUCAUCCCACUUUGUUGCAGGGCCAAGUUCGAGCGCUCCGGGUGAGGAUCGUGGUAAGAGCAUAGCGACCUAGUAGCUAGUAGCUUUCCAUUUGCAUUAGAGUACCCUCGAGUACAUAGUGAUAUUGAUGUAUAUGUUGGUGAGGAUUUUGGAGAGUUACUUAUGUAUUUAGAUGAUGAACUUGUAAACCAUGUGUAUAUAUUUUGGGAGAUGUAAAUGUAAACCUGUUGCUAAAUGGUCGAAUGGUUGUAAUAGUUAGAACUCUCUCUCUUUUGCUCUCUUGUGUGCUUGUAUGUAUACUCUCAUUGUUCAUGUAUGUUGUUUAAGUUUACCUGGGCAACUUGAUGUACAUGACUUGUUGUUUAGCCUUGGGCGGGCAGGGGAGGUAAUGUCCGUUCGGCGUCUGUUUGACGUGCCCCAACCGGCCAAAUUGGCGAUCGUGGGGCGUGACAGCAUGUGUCUCAGCUGACCUCGAAAGCCCUCGGUUUGCAAUAUCGAGCUGAAAAACCCCGUAAAUCACAUGAAAUAAUGUGAUUUUAUGUAUUUGUAGGGGUUUUAUGCAAUUGGGCACUUUGUGGCUGCUGUGGGCAGUAUGUGUAGGUGGCCGGUGAUCUCUGGACUGAUUGUCCAAAAUCCGAGGCCUUUACGAAAAUCGAAUAUCGAUUUCCGGUGCGUAUUUCGGCGAAAUUCACCGACGGAACACGGUUUCGGUCCAGAUUCCUCCCGACGAUGUUCGAGUGUACUAUAUACUUUGUCGUUGAGCCUGGUUGGCUGGUCACUUAUGUUGUUUCGAAAGCCUGGAGACGACGGGUGAGCGACAGUGGGUUCCGGUGUCGAAAUUGACACUUUCGGGAAUCCGGAUCGAAACAGUUAUCUGACGAUAAUCGUUCCGGUUUGAGACUUGAUGUUUGCUGCCAGGACACCUUUAAUAUUGUGUUUUGUGGCAGCGGGUGACUCGUGGCACUAGUCGGUGAGUGCUGGGACACUUCGUGGGUCCCAGCAGAGUUCAGGUGCGAUUUUCGAAACUUUCGACGGAUUACGGUAAUCGAUUUUGGAAAACCGAUUCCCGUGGGAUUAUUUGUGGGGUUAUGGGUUUAGUGUUCCUUAUAUUUGGGUUAGAUACUAACUCGGUGGACCCUUCGUAGGUUCGGUUGAUAAUCUUCCACAAUAGGAGAUAGGCACGAUAUUCAUACAGAUGGAUACUUCGAUGCGAAGUCGGUGUAGUGGAACAACAACGAAACCUCUACCGAGUGCGUGUAUCAUCUUUUUAUCACAGAAAAUGUCACGCCCCGCGACCCGCCAAUUUGGCCAGAUCCGGGCACGUCGAUCAGACGCCGAACGGACAGCACCUCCCUGUCCGCCCAAGGCUCAACGACAAUAUCAUGUAUCAGAAUUUGCCCAGGAGAAAUUCAUUCAACAUACAUGAUACGACGAAGCACCACUAGUGCUAUACAAUUAAGAGCAAGAAUCACAAGUAACAUACAAGUGAAAUAAAGAGAGAUACAUCUAGCUAUUACAUUCAUUCAACCUCAUUUUUCAUAUUGAUUUACAUUUUCAUCUUCCCAAAUGAAUACAUAUUCUUCUCAUAAAACAAAAUGGCUCUCCAAUAUCUAUCCAAAAUAUACAUGGUAUCUAGUACACGAAGGUAGUCUAAUUUAUAAUGGAAAGCUACUAACUAACUCACUUAAGGCGCUAUGCCCUUACCGCGAUCCUCACUCAGUUAGCCCCUAUGUGUACCUGUACCCCAAAACCACAUGGGGUGAGAACUAUAUAAAUAUAGUUUCCAGUGGUUUUGGCCGCCGACGCCGCCGGUUUUCCCACUAGGUCUAAGCUGGCACAGAUAGAUAGAUAGAAAGGUAGAUAGAAAUACAUUGCUACUAUAUCUACUAUGCCAUCAAAUGCAAAGAAUGCAUGGAACAUCAUCUAGCAAUAAUCUACUAUUUUGCUAGUAUGCUUCAACAGUGUAAUGAAUACAACUACAACAUAGUUAUGCAGUCUACUAUAUCUAAUCAUGGUAUGAAUGCAAUCCACUUAUGCUAUUCAUGUUACGACCUAAUCGACUAGGCCAACUUGCCUAAAAUCUCAAAUCUCAAAGGUCCUAGGCAAAGAGCUACCCCGCCCCUUGCCCGACUCAAUCUCGAAGGUCCUAGGCAAAGAGCUACCCCGCUCCUCGCCCGACUCAAUCUCGCUCUACUAGGUACGAGCUGCCCGCUCAAAUCUCAUAAGUGAAGUAAUAGUAUGUCUCAACAAUAAAAAAAUGAGCUACUACAUAGUGAUGUCUCUACACAUGCUACUAUGUCUCAACAAUAAAGAAAUGAGCUACUACAUAGUGAUGUCUCUACACAUGCUACUAUGUCUCAACAAUCCGAAUGAACGAGCUACUACAUAGUGCGUCGUGCAAUUAUACCUCGAUAGUAUCCAAUCUCAUAGCCAACUCGAAGGUUGCCACCCCGGGGUCAACCCCGACUUACUCUCAAUCUCAUAGGUGAGGAGAAUUUGUACUCGCACACCGAGACCAUCUGCGGGACAACUACGUCUGCCCCUAGUGAAGUACUCCGGAGACUCGUGCCUCGGUGGAGCGACCACCGACAAGCAAAACAGACUAGUGAGUAUGAUCCAAUCCUCACAAGAGGAUACCCUAUCUACCAGGGUAAAUGUGCCUCUGCUGCACAAUACCAAAUGCAUAAUCAAUGCCUCAAAAGCACUAAUGCCAAAUGCAUAAUGUCUACAACAUGACAAUCGGAAAAAUCUACUAUCCCUAGGUUCAAAUGCCAUAGUGUUCCACUACACUAGGUUUGAUGCCACUCGUUUAUGUCAUGAUGUUAUAUGCGUUUUAAUACACUAAAUCGACAUGCCACUCGUCAAUAUUAUAGUGUCUUUAUUACACUAGUCCAAAUGCCACUCGUCUAGGCCAAUUACAUGUCCAAGUUCAUCAUCAUUCUUGUCACUAUAGGAUUCUUGUCACAAGACCCAAUCCUCAUGCAACCUAAGAUCAAGUGUCAAGCCCACAAUGCUACACAACCUAGGUAACAUGCAAGGAAUGGAAAUGUAAUCAUCUACUAAUCCUAUAAUGCACAAUAUAUCAACAUAUAGGAAUAUGAUCAAAAUAUAGAACUUAGACAUAAAAGGAAGCUCAGUUGCUUCGGGAUGGACACCCUCCUACCUUUCAAUGCUACCAAGAGGCUAGGGUUCCGAUUUCGUGAUUUUUGGAAGCUUUCGCCGCAAGCUGCGGCAAUCUGUACCUUAACGGCUUCGUUCUUUAAUAUCUUCGCGUACGCUAGUCGUAUCGCCGAACCGACUUCACCAACGCGUCAGAAAACCUAGCAAUUAGGUCUAUACAUGAUCAAUUUAGAUCAAACCCUCGCACAUUACAAAAUCUCAUUUUUGAGCCCUAACAUGCAAUUACCCCCAAAUAAUCCAAAUUAAACGGAGCAACAUGCUAAGAAUGCUCAUUAGAGGCUACUAGAACACUUAAGGUUAAGGAUUAAGCCAAAUCCCAAAAUUUUACCAAAAUGUGAACGCCGAGACGGAAGCACGCCACUCCAACGGGCGCAUGAAAACUCGAUCCGUUGCUCCCAACGCAUUCGCAAGCUCGUUCUCCGCCAACGCCGCGAAUUCGGGCGAAAGAUCUAGAGAGAUGAGAGAGUUAUUUAGAGAGAGAAAGUGAGGAUUUCUCUCACUACCACCAUGAACGUGUGGUGUUGUGGGGGUGGUGGUGGUUGUGAAGAAGAAGACUAGAAGCUUCUACUUAUAGCCCACACCCCAAUAGUAGCAUACACUAUUUACUUCAGGCAGUUCGAAAUCUGAUAUCUUUCGUCGGAGCUCUCUGAAUAUCCGUUUGAGCUCAAAUUUGAUAGUCAUGUUCGGUUUUGCUUAACUUAACGAAAGAAAUUUUAAUCUUUCAGUUUCGACCCCGUUUGGUCACCGAAAGCUGUACCGAACUGUAAUCUUUAUCAGACAAUUGUCGGAUUUUAUUUUCCACCUUCCGGGUGUCAGAAUGAUAUAAAACUUUAAAUCUAGUCUAAUAAAAAUAAUUCUGACUUAUCCUCCAGUUUUCAUAAUUUUUUGACACUCUGCAUUUUCUACUAAUUUAUCUGUCUCGUUUCACACAGAAAAUUUUAAAUAUUCUGUUUUCGCUCCGAUUUCAGUACAAGUCAUUUCUAACCUAUAUUUCACUUCUCUAAAUUCAAUAAAAAUAGUAUCUCAUACUAUUUUUAUUUAUUUUCACUUUUAUAUUUAAAAUCCGGUAUGUUACAUUCCACCGCAACCUCACCGGAACCAUUUAAAUGUACACCGUAAUUUCAUAAUUUUAAAAGUCCGGUACCCUACAGAAAAUUUGCUACAAUUUGAACUACUUGGUGUAAAUUGCAAUGGAGUAGCAAUAAAUAUUUUUCUUAUAUUUUCUACUGAAAGUUCUUAGAAUGUAAUUAAAAUAAAAUAAAAAAAUUAAUCAUUGUUUAAUAAUCAGUUAGUUCUUUGACCACUUCACUUUAUGAAUAUCUAGAUUAUCUAAACUUUUUGAAAUCCAAACAAUCUUUUGUCAUUACUCAAAAGAAAAAAAAAUUGUUUGCUGGCGAGCCAUUUGCUCUCCGGAUCGGCAAUGAUCGUUUAGAUGGGGAGGGCCCCACCAUACAUAAAAGGUGGGCCCCUCUCAUGGUGCGGUGCUCGCAGUUUCGGCGAGCCAAUUUUGGCGAGCAUAGUAUUGCGCUACUCGAAACGGGGAAAAGUAAAAAUCCAGAAAAUUGAACUCCUUGCAAUGAAAUGAAAUUAUUGGAGUAAAAUUCAAAGUCCUGCAAUUAAGAUAAAUAACGCCCAUGUCAUGGUCCAAAAGAUGACAAAAGCAAUGAGCUAUCAUAAUAAUGAAGAUCAAGAAAAUAAAAAAGUUAAGAAACGAAACGUAACUGUUCAUUUAAAUUUCUCAUAUACUAACCACACUAGUACAAUUUUUUUUUCUUUAAACCUUUAUAUUCCCUUCUUGAAACUUAGGGAUUGUUGGUUUUGCUGUAGCUAUAAAUAAAUAUAGUAAAAUUAGAAAAGCAUGCCGUUAGAGAUACAACAAACAUAUCCUUUCGACAGUAUGUAAUUGAGAGUGAUUUAACUAGAAAAUUUGCUUGAGUGUUCGAAGUUAAAAUUGCAUUCUGUGUCGAGGGUACCUCUAGAAAAAUAAAAAUGUAUCAUUUUUUAUUUAAGAGGUGAAUGUGUAAAUAAAGUUACUCGUUUAGAAGUACUCUUUUCCAUUACUUCUUCUCUAACUACGUAUGAUUUGUGAGCAAUUCGAGAUGUUAUAGUUGAGCCUCCAUCAGUAGGUCCAACUCAGCAUGUUGAUGUAAUUAUACAAUAAACUAAACAAGAUUUUGUAGUCUUAACGUAAUGAUACUUGCAAUGCAACGUGAAAUGCAAGUAACCGAACAAUACGAGCAACCAAACAACCUCUGUAGAGAAAUCAAAGUCACGACUAUUGUAUCCGGAAAUAAUACUGCUGUGCAUUUUCCAAACAUUGUAGUGGUAUGAUAUAUGGCUCGCCUCAUUGGAAGAGUUUUGUGCACAAGGUUGCAGAAAAAUCAGAUCCUUCAAUAUUUUGGAAUUUCAAGGAUUUCGAUUGAUUUAUGAGUUUGUGCACGCAGAGAAAGAGAGCCUCAAUAUACUUUCCAAUAUUGUAUGAGCAAUCGCGUUCCCCCAUCUCUUUCUUUUUUCUUUUUUUUUUUUUUUUUUUUUACCCCCCAAAAGGCAAGCACAUAACCCCUUUUACAAUCCUACCAAUGAUUUUUUUCACUAAGGACUGGGAGUCAUAAUAACAUCCCACCCCUCGCAUAGAUGCCGUAUCAUUGUGGGUAAGGGUGAGGAUGGUUUGAAUUUUAUUUGAUCGAAUCCUAAAUCGUACUUGAUCGGAGCCGGAUUCGAAUGUCAAAUUAGCUAUUCGAUUGGAUUUGGACUUGAAUUCAGUAAUAAUAAUAAACUUUUCUUUGGAUUCGAUUUUGAAUUCGAAUCCAGAUUUUGUUAUCCUUCAUAUGCGAUGCGUUUCGGCUAUAGAUACGGAAGCGGAUUUGAAUAUUAGUGUUCAAAUCUGUUUUCAACAUGUAGGCUGAGCACUGGGAAAAAGAAGAGUGAAUAUACAUAGUGCAAAGGCAUUUCAAAACUUGGCGUUUGGUCUUUAAAAUAAAAAAGUAAACCAAUCAGGGAUUCAGGAGAGCUCCUUAAGUGUAGAGUUUCUUUUUUUUUUUAUAUAUAUAUAUAUAUAAAAAUUUUUAACAUUUCAAUUUUUUUUUUUGAGAAAUAGGUAGCAAGCAACCUACUUCAUUCAUUAAGUAACAUGAAUUUAGCGUACAUAAUGGAAGCAGCUAGGGCCUCCGGACCGAGCCGGCGACAAAAGAAAAACAAAAGCAAAACAAAACAGGAACACUAAGUAGACAUAGAGAGACAGACAAAACGUUACACAGAAAACAUAGAGAACAUAGAGAUUGCAGGAGGGUUCAAAGUGCUUCGUUCCAGGCUCUGAUCAAAGAAGCGACACGUUCGGUAGCCCAGGAAGCGUUAUGAGCCGCGUCGCUAAAGCACAUGCUAUUUCGUUCCGUCCAGACGACCCACCAAAUUGCCACCAAGUGGGUUAAACUUUUCGAUCUUAUUUCGGUCACGCGAUUCUCGGAGAUCUGUAUCCAAAAUCUCCGAACAUCCCCCGCGUCCGAAUCAGCUAGCACAAGGGGUCCAACUUUAUAUCGGAGGUAUCUGACAAAGAUACAGUCAUGGAACAGGUGAUAGCAGGUUUCGGGUAGUAACGCGCAGAACUUGCAAUGCUGGUCCACCGGGAACCCUCGGCGAAUCAAUCUGUCCGCUGUGAGUAAUCUCUUUCGAAGUAGAAUCCAAACAAAAACUUUAUGCUUAAGUUGGAUUUUUAACCCCCAAAGAUGAUCGUACAAAGAAUCUAUCUGUCCUCCAUCAGAGAUAAAAUCGUAAAGGGACUUAACGGUAAAAUUUUGGUUCGCGGUCCAUCGCCAUUUAGGUAUGUCCUGCGUGAUCGAUGGUCUAUAUUGAGCGAGCAGGCUUUUAAGCGUCGUAGUCUGUUGGCGGAACAAAGAAGUGGUGCUAGUCGCCAGGCCUGUGGUUAUGAAGCGCCAUCUCCACUGUCACGCCCCGAGCUCCGCCAAUUUGGUCGGAUUCGGCCACGUCGACAGACCGCCGAACGAACAGAGCUUUCCCUGUACGUUCUAGGCGUCACAAUCUAAACAAUGCAACAGAAGAGGUCCCAACCAGGAACAGUAGCAAGUAUGUAGAUUGCAUAAGUAUCAAAAACAUAAAAGGCUAACUAUGCAAUUAAUAGCAUUCAUCUCACAAUUUUACAUUUAGAAAAUUUCAUAAGUCUUUAAAUUAUUACAUAAGCCCNGGUCCCAACCAGGAACAGUAGCAAGUAUGUAGAUUGCAUAAGUAUCAAAAACAUAAAAGGCUAACUAUGCAAUUAAUAGCAUUCAUCUCACAAUUUUACAUUUAGAAAAUUUCAUAAGUCUUUAAAUUAUUACAUAAGCCCUUAUACAGUUUACAACUUACACAAUUUAUUACAAAUUUGAUACAAGUUUGUUUCUUUCAUUCUGAACUCCGAGCUAGACUGCUUCAAGGGUACUGCUAUCUCUGGUCUCAGUGGUAGGGCGCUAUCUACGAAGCUACGCCCUGUCCUCGCGCCGCCGCGCCGUUCACGUGCAAACCUGUACCCCCAAAAACCACACGGGGGUGAGAACUAUAUAAAUAUAGUUUCUAGUGGCUACGGCCACCCAAGGGAAGAGCUCGACCCACCAGGUCCAAAAGAGGCAACUGCAGGUUAGUAAACUGAACAGAUAGAUAGAUAUUCGAUGAUACAAUUAGUAAAACCAUACCUUGCCUCACGAUAUGCAAUAUGUAAAUCAUGCAACUAUGUAACAAGUAGAUCGACUGAUCCUACUUUAUAUCUUUAACCAUUCUUUACUUGUAGCCGUUCUUUAUUAGCUAUUUACGUUCAUUAGCUAUUCUUUAUUUCUUAUUCUUUAUUCUUUAUCAUAUUGUGGUCACUGGCGAUUCUUUCCUAAGGUUACUUUACCUUAGUCAUCUAGCCAUCCGACUCGGUCUUGAGUCAAUCAAUCGCGGAUAGUCCGCGCACUAUCUAGCUCGAGGUGAAGGAACUCUCACAUGCACCUCAGCUGGCGACAGCUCACCGUACUCCUGUCCUAACCGUCUAGCGGUGAACGGAUCGCACCUCACCCAACAACUGCCUAGGUGUAUGACUUAGCCACCUGGCGGCGAAAUCGUCGCACACGCCAUGACUGUGGUUCAGUCAACAGGCGGCAGGAUCCACAAACUGGCUUAACUAUCUGGCGGCGAAAUCGUCGCACACGCCGAACAAUGGCUCAAGCCCCUGGGCGGCGAAAUCGUCGCACACACCUAAUGCUCCCUUGGUAUCAACCUCGGCGGCGAAAUCGUCGCACACGCCCUAGCCUUGACACCAAGGUUAUCACAGAUCUUGGGAUUCCGGAAUCCAUUUCCACAACUUAAGGGUUUACUCUUUUACCCUAUUUCGACGACCAUUCUAGGUCUAAAUCAAUCAUCUUUAUGUGGUCUCUCUACCACUAUACCCCAUAACUUAGUCCAACUGUACUAAGUGUUACAAUAUGUCACGACCUAGGUAUCCAAUCACACUAGGUUCUAUGUCAUUUCACCUAGAUCUCAACUCUAGGUUUACUUACUUGACCUAUGUCCAAUGACACUAGGUUCAUGUUCGACCUAUGUUUAUACAUUAGGUUCAUGCCACUCGAUCUAUUUAUUAUCCUAGUUAUCCACGCCUAGGAUUAUAAUUUGCACAUUUACAUUUACCUUGUCACCGUCAAGAUUUCUACUCAACUGGAGUUGUUGAUUUAUACCCAAUUCUUAGGGAUUUAACAUAAGGUUCACAGUUUACAUAUUCUCAUUUAUCUUGUUACCAUCGAGGUUUCUAAUCAACUAGAAUUAUCGACAUUCAUAUAGCUUGAACUAUAGUACAUUCACUUUCAUAUAUGUUUAGACAUAGGCAUCAAACGUUCAUAUUCAACUUACAUGACUUUAGUCUAUGUAUCAACAUUCACAUAUCAUUUAUCAUUCAUACGUUCAUGUAUGUUUAGUCAUAUGCAUCUAGCAUUCAUGUUUAUAUAGGCUUAGUCAUAUGCAUCUAGCAUUCAGGUUUAUAUAGGCUUAGUCAUAUGCAUCUAGCAUUCAUAUCCAUAUGCAUCUAGCAUUCACAUUUCUAGGAUAACCAUUAUAGAUCAUCAUAUAUCAACAAUCAUAUAUGCCUACUCAUAUGCAUCUAGCAUUCAUGUUCAUAUAUCGACAAUCAUAUUCAUUUAUGCGUCAAAUGAAAGCAUGUUUUACUUUGGCAUGGAAGUGACCUAAUCACUUUGGUAAAGCACAACCCACCUUUACUUGAUACCGGAAUGCGAGAAAUUCGCUUC